rnacentral:lncRNA from 1 species
GCAUGAAGAAAAAGGGAGUUGAUGAGUUCCCUUUCUGUGUGCAUUUGGUCAGUUGGGAGAAGGAGAAUGUCUCAAGUGAGGCACUUGAAGCUGCCCGUAUUGCUUGCAACAAGUACAUGACCAAGUCUGCCGGGAAAGAUGCUUUUCACCUAAGGGUCAGGGUUCAUCCAUUCCAUGUUUUGAGAAUUAACAAGAUGUUGUCGUGUGCUGGAGCUGAUAGACUCCAAACUGGUAUGAGGGGAGCUUUUGGUAAGCCCCAGGGUGUUUGUGCUCGUGUUGCAAUUGGUCAGGUUCUUCUAUCUGUUCGCUGCAAAGAUGGAAACAGUAACCAUGCUCAAGAGGCUCUCCGCCGUGCCAAAUUCAAGUUUCCUGGACGUCAAAAGAUCAUUGUGAGCAGAAAGUGGUAUGUAUUCUAUCAGAAGUUUCACUUUGUAUUUUAUGCUACUGAUUUGUAUGAGAACUUUGUACUUUUUCUAUUAAAGGAUUAUCCUGCUGUGUAAAAAGUGCUUUUUUUCAUUUAAUUAGUUAUUUUGUUUGUGAAGAUUUUUUUAUUCUAAAAGAACACCCUACAGUAAAUUACACAAGUUUCUUCCUUCCAAUGCCAGAAGUUGUCUUAUUUCACUACGGAAAAAUGAACUCUGGGCUUGUUUUCCAUCCGAGACUCCUAAAGUUUCAUGAUAUCUUGUUUUUUUUUUGUCUUCUCAUUCCGCAAUCUAGCCUACCCAUUGAGGCUAUCUUUGGUCAUGCAUUAUUUUCGUUGUUUUAGAUAGUUAGAAACUUGUUCUUGAAUCUCACGUGUGCUACUUCAAUUCAGGGGAUUCACCAAGUUCAGCCGAACUGAUUAUCUGAAAUACAAGUCAGAGAACCGUAUUCUACCAGAUGGUGUGAAUGCAAAGGUUUGUCUAUUCAUAUCCUUCUUUUUGCUUUGCUCGGCCUGUAGCUAUUUGUAAUUUUUGGUUGUGACAACUUCUUGUGUGGUGUUUUGCUUGUGCAGCUUCUUGGCAACCAUGGUCGACUUGCUGCACGUCAACCUGGAAGGGCCUUCCUUACAUCUGCUUAGGAAAUUGAAGUGUCAUAAUCUUCUCAGAAAUAGCACAUUUAGUUUUCUAGUCUGUUGAAUGGAACUUUGUUACUUGAAUUUCUGUCUUUGCAUGAACUUGAUCAGUAUCCAAUUGAACAAUUUUGAAAUUAUAAUGUUCUGUAUUUGAAAUUUCUUGUAUGAUUAAGAGCUCGUAUGUUUUGAUGAAUUGAUACAUAGUGACAGGUUGUAAUAACAUUCUUUAGUACCCCCUGCAACUAAUUAUUUCCGAGUAUUUGGCUAGUAUAACUGGAAACAAACCUAUUUGUGGUGAAGACGUCCACUCCUGAGGAUCUAGUUUGGUAAAAUUAGUACGGAGAAGAGUUUCUUACUUUAACUGAUAUUUUUAGAAAUAUUACUCCCUCCGUUCCUUUUUAUUGUCCUCGUUUUACUUUUUAAGAAUGAAUGUUUUCUAUAGAGAGAGUGCAUCCGAUUUAAACAGCAAAAUGGGUAAGUUAAAGACACUCGUCAAGUUUUGGCUGAGUUUGUUGUGCUCCCACUACCUCUUGGCAAGCUCCUCCAGUUGCAAUUUUGUAAUCAUAAACUUAAGAACAAGUACGUGAUUAUUGUCCUUUGUCCUUUAAUUUAUCCCUAUUUUAGAAGUUGUACAAUUCUAAUCCUCAAGAUUUAUAAAACAUUAAUUUAUUGUCAAACGCACAGUAAAACUUUGGAAUAAGGUUUUAAAUACUAUACUUAUUUGAGGUACCACAGAUAUUUUACUUUGACCAUUAUUUUAAAUUAUAAACUAUGUUACUUAUAAGAUUAUAUGAACUUUUCAAAUAUUCCAACUUUAAUUUAUAGCCCAUCCUUUUGACAUCAUAAAUCUACCUCAUCUUUUGUAGCUUCUAUGGUGCACGUAUGGAUCAGUGCAUUAGUAAAUCGACGCAAAACAUAACAAGGCUAUCUAAAAACAGACUUUAUAUUAUUUUAUGUCAGUAGUGCUUCUUGCACCUUCUGGUGAAUGUAAUAGACAAUGGUAAAUGAAAAAGAGUAAUGAACAGUAAGUCAAAAACCGAAUGAAAAUGUACUACUGCAAAGCUUAUAUAUGAGAUUAGCCAUCCCACAGAAUGCGGCAUUAAAAUGACUGAGAGUCUACAGACACACCCCUUCGAAUGCGAUACUUAAGCAGCUUAAAUGGAUAAUUAGACUGCUCACGCUGCACUUUCUGAACGAACAAAUAAUGGAAUCUAGAACGGUACAAACCAGCAGACGUUUGACAAACCAGCAGUACCAUUAAAAACAUAUUAAAAAGAAUUUUCAUAUUGAGUGUACAAGGUCAACCUCUAAAAAUAUUAGCUCAUCUACUUUUACAGAUCACUUAUAGAACUCGAAGUCAGUGUCCGGCUUCUUCACAUUGGUCCUGUAACCCUUUUCAAAGUCCUUGGGGAGUAUGACAUAUCGAUUCUUUCGCACUGCAUGCAUACCUGCUUCCUGACAUAUAGCUGCAAUCUGUAGACAUUGCAACAUGUGCAUCACAGUCGUGUUGGUCAAAUUGACUCUUCAAUUAUAAAGAUCAUUCACAUUUUAAAAAUAGAAGGACCAAAGCAGAUGAAGCAAAAUAAAGAACUACUCUUAGUUGUAACAGUAGACAUCAACAUUUUGAAUCAAUAGAGAAGAAUCCUGUUAUCAGUCGAAAAAAUAGAUGAAGUAUAAAGAGACAAACCUCAGCAGCACUAAUUUUAUCAGGGCGAGAAACAUAAUCUUCCAAGUCAACCUCGUCACCUAGGUUCAUCUUAGCAGUACAGACCUGGCCAAAAUCAUCCAACUUUCAGAUUUGAGGUUCAUUGCGAAAAAAUUGGAAAUACUGGUACAAUAUAACAUAAUGAGUGAGAGGCAGAAUUCAGAAGCCAAUAUAUCAUAACUUCCUUCAAUAUUAUUCCAAUCUUAAUUUCUUUAUGUUUGCUAAUGGGAAAUAGGUCCUGAGGCAAAAUCUUCCAAAUUCUACCUGAAAAACAAGCCUCUUUUGACGCCUAUCAGGCAAAGGAAAUUCAAUCUUCCGAUCAAGCCUUCCAGGACGCAGAAGUGCAGGGUCCAAAGUAUCAGCUCUGUUAGUUGCCAUGAUAACUUUCACAUUCACUGUCUGGUCAAAUCCGUCCAUCUGCAUAAGACAUACCAAAAGGAAACCUCGUGAACAAUGCAAAAACUGUAAAUUCUUAUGGGAUUACUUCAGGAAUUUGUAGAAGCCUACCUGAUUAAGCAACUCCAUCAAGAUACGCUGGACCUCCCUAUCAGCUCCAGUUUGAGCAUCAAACCUCGCAGUGGCAAUUGCAUCUACCUCAUCAAUAAAUAUAAUGGCAGGAGCAUUUUCUUUGGCAAGACGGAACACAUCACGAACCAUUCGUGGACCCUGAACAGUCAGAUAAUAAAAGGUGAAAGUUAACUUUGAGCAAUAGAAACAAAUGCAGUCUUGCCAUCAUUUUUUGGACAAACUUGACCAGUCCUAACUAAGAAAUAAAAGAUAUCUCCAGACAAACAAGUUUGGCUCCGAGAAUUGCAAUUUGAACUGAAGUUGCAUCUUAGAUAAAAGAGUUGUGGAGAACAUGCAGCAACAAGAAAGAUGGUUUGUCUUAAACUUCUCAAAAAGAAAAAAAGGCUUAAUGGCUUCUCGGUUAACUACUAAGUAUCGACGAGUAGUUCUCCUAUAUGGCUUUCUAAUUUUAAGGAUGGAUCGUGCACAUUAUGUUGACCAGUCAACACAACGGAAAUAGGAGAUUCUGUGUUCUGUAUCUUUACUGAUCAAUAUCUUUCUUGUCGAGGUAUUUACUGAUGUAGAUUCGUAGGGUCUUCUUUGACAAUGUCUAUAAGAUGCAAGAGGAGUUUAAACGAGUAUCCAGCUCGGUGCCAGAUGUGUGAACAAAAGUUUGGAGUUCCUGCAGAAGAAUGCAAUGCUAUACGCAGUAUUCAUGGUAUUACUCAGGGUUAUCCAUCUUUUUGGUACUUUCAGUUGCACCUUUGCUAAAAAGUCUUAUUACAGUGACAAGUUGGAACUGUGGUAGUAGCCUAACAUAGUGAGACACAAACAGAGGCAAUAAGCCAUACGAUGAAAUUAAAGAAAUUGAAAAGGUUUUGAGACAAUGGGCAAUCUUUACCACGAUUCACGAGAGGUCUCGAGUCAAACCCUAUGGAACUAUAGUAGAGAAAAAUUCCAGCCUCUAAACAAGAGAAUGCAGAUAGCAGUGAGUGUGUUAUUUUUAGUUUUCAUGGUGCCUUCUAGCAAUGUUUCCAUUCCGUUUACAACCAUCAAAUUUCCAACAAUUGGCUCCACAUGUUCACCCAACAAAGAUAAAGAAUUCAGCGUUCAAUUAUACUUUCAUGGAAAUGCAAAUUUAAACAAAGACAUUUGAUGUAGCGGGAGAGGGUAUAUUUUCUAAUGGUGCUUUUUAGCUUCUAAAUCAGUAAUUUUCUUUUAAUAAGGUAAAAUGUAAUCUUUAAUUAAUUUUUUACACAAAUUAAUAGCCUAAUCUUUGAUGUCGAUAAAAAAAAAAGUGAAUUACAGCAAAUAGAAUUAUAUCAUACAGUUUGCGGUAGAAGUAAUAUUCAUUAAUUAAUAAUUACCUUAUUAUUGCACAAACAAUAGCUACUAAUGAUGAAAUUAAAAAAUAAAAGAAACUGAGAUAAUACACCAAUUCCUUUUAUCUUCCAAAUUUCUUUCUAUACAAUAGAAAGGAAGACCUCAAAAAAAGAAAUUGCAUUUCAAACAACGCUGUGCAAAUAGUCUGAAUCAUCAACAAUAGGUGUGAUUAGUACGUAGUAACAACACAUUGAUGCAUAACAAAAAAUGCUCAUGGUAUUUCAUUACUUCAAUGCAUACCUCACCCAAGUACUUCUGAACAAAUUCUGAGCCAACCACCCUUAUGAAGGCAGCAGUAGUGUGAUGAGCAACAGCCUUUGCAAGCAUAGUUUUCCCAGUACCUGGUGGACCAUAAAGCAAGACACCACGGGGAGGGUCUAUACCAAUCUGCUUGUACAACUCAUGAUGAGUCAAAGGUAACUCAACAGCCUCACGAAUUUCCUGCUUUUGAAUGUCACAUCCUCCAAUAUCCUGGUGUGAGGAAAAAACGAGAUUAAGAUAAAGUAAGAAUAUAAAGGAAGGCACAUUAACAGCCCUAUAUAUAUCAGACGUCCACUUGCUUGCCUGUAGCUGUAAUGUGACGCAUAUACAAGCUUAUAUAAAAGGCAUUUAUAUUAGGAUAAGAACAUAAUGCCUUUUCCUCAUUAGUGUUCUGACUUCUGAUUAUAGAAUUAGAUGCAUUCUUUACUAAUACCCAGUACCUCACUAAUGUUUCACGAUUUUGAAGAAAAAUAAUGGAGAGUAGUCUACGAGUUGUGCACUCCACACCCAUGUUCCUUUUAUGAAUAGAUAAGUGGAUUCAGAUCACCAAAUUGUGAUUCGUCAGUUAAUUACAAAAUCAGUUCAAUCAUUUGCAAACCUAUUUCCUACUUCCCCACAAUACAACAAGGGCUGCAUACCAAAAGUAAACCACAAUAUCCAUAUUCAUCCAGGAUACAACAUUUAUGGAGCACCGGAUAUCCAAAGACACCAAUAACCACACUUUGUUAUCCUGAUUCUUCUGAGAACAUGUCAUGCUUGUUGUAUCACCCGUUUUUCUAGCCACAAUUUUAAGGCAACAUAUGCUUCCUUCUGCAACCAGUGAACAAGAUUUUCCAAUUUCCUUCUCACUUGAUGUGGUUGAUAGAAGUGCUGCACACAUUACAACUACUCUAAGGACUAGAGUAUAGGUACUAAUUGCCACUUAGCUGCCUUUUAGAAGCCAAUAAUAGGAUUUUGAAUAAGGCCAGGGGAAAGUGAUGGCUGCAGGUGUACUUAUCUUUCACGGAGAGGCUGAUAGGAACAGAGGUUAAAUAAGAAUAUAUAGCGCAAUGUGAUUGUAUGAGUAUGCGACCACUGAAUUGAUUGAUUAGAGAGAAAUAAUCUCCCCAAUGAGUUCAUAUGAUUUUUAAAAAGGAGUUUCUUCUCUUGGUUUUAAAAUUACUAUUGAAAAUAUUGUCAUUCUGUCACAAAACGUGUUCAGAAAUCUAGGAUAACCAUAUAAGAAGAAAUGAGGCAUUCUAACAUUACAUUGAGACUUGAAAGCAGCAUUCACCUUCUAAUUUAACUCGCUAAAUAAUUAGGAUUAUAUACAAGCACUUUGCUUCCUAAUCUACGUAAGUUCUUGGUGGUGACACCUUGACUAAUUAAUCUUCAUUCUACUAAGGUUGUUCAAGCUCUUAGUGAGCCUAUCAUAAAAAUCAAUUCUUGGGAUUCAUUAAUUAAUAAAGGCAAUGAACUUUAGGAGUAACGGGAAAGCCUGCAUUCAUCUAAUGAAGUCUACACUAGCUGAUAGCAAAAUCAGAAUCUAGAACUCAUAAUCACUAUGAAGUAAAACCUAACGCAAGAGUUCCACAAGUCAUUAGCUCACACUACAAACUCUAAUGAACCAAUUAAGGAAACCAAAUGGCAAAAUUAACCAAUAAACCCUAAGAAAUAAGAAACAUAUCAGACAGAAAUAUUACAACCCUAAUAAGCAGUAACAUAUAAACCCUAAUCAGUGUAUUCAACCAAUAACUAACACAAUUCAGAAAUAAUAGACUUACGUUGUAGGUAACAUCAGGCUUCUCUGAUUGGCUUAGCAGCGAAAUACUCGAGUCAGCCUCAGGAGGCAAAACAUCAACUAGAGCAUUCGAGUGACGAUGUAAAGCCACAGAAGCCGAAGGCUUAAGUAGCUCCCGAUUAAUCGUGCUGAGUAUCCUCACGUAGUAAUUAGAUCCCGUCGUUGAACCAACUAUGGCGUUAUUCUGGUCAAUCAUCUCCAUGAACUGGCCAAUUACUAACGGCACCGACUGGAUCCGUUUUACCUCUUCCUGUGCCCGUAAAUGUUCACGGCGGAGAUUCUUCAGUUCGUCCUUCACGUAUUCCUCUUGGAUCUCGAUGAACUCCAGCUGCCGUUGUAGAGAUUUCAGGCGAGCGUAGAGGUCGUCUUCGCCGUUUUCGGAAGGAACGUCGUGUGACGAUAAGUCGGGUCGAGUUGCAGGUAGCUCCGGUGAGGGUUUUGGAUCGAGAACCAUGGCUGAUGCCAUUGUUGGAAGUGGAUAAAAAUUACGGCAGUUGAUACACACAAAGGAGAAGGUGAGAAUGGCGUGCGAAAGAAGAAAGCUUGAUAAGCCCGAUGAAAGCAGAGAACGAAUCGGGUAUAGAGCUACCAGUUUGUAAUCGUUGGAUGACUCGGGUCAAGUUUUUGGAAAAGGAGACUCAUGUGAUAUCAUAAUGGGCUGGGUCAAUUCAAGCUAAUUAAACUCUAAUGGUUAAAGAGUUAAAUGGGUUAGGACAUAUUGAUUAAUUAAGGGAAAAUUGUUUAUAAUAGUAAAUUAAAAAUCUAAAAUAAAUAAAGUAAUUAGGGUUUGAUUUAAUUGUGCUCCAUAAUAAAUGUUAGCCAAAGUUUGUCAGACGCCUCUCUUCCAAAAAUCUCGCUCGUCACUUUUCCAUUCUCGCUCGCCACACUCCCUCUGCUCGCCCCUCUUGCUUUAUACACAGAAGUGUAUAAAUUUUGUUUCUGUUUUGUAUAAAGCGAGACAAAAUUGUAUAUACACAUGCAAAAACAUAUAUCUUCGUGUUAUACACUUAAUUAUACAAUUUACAAACAUUUUACUUCAAUUCAAUUGUAGACAAACGCAAAUUUUAUACAAAUAUUGCAGAGAAAAAGGUCAACGAAUUAUACAAUUGUGAAUUAUACAAUUGCAGUGAAAUACAAUUUUCUCUAGCUUUAUAUAACAGAAGUGUAUAUAUUGUGUUUCUAUUUUCGUAUAAAGCGAGAGAAAAACAUAUAUCUUCUUGCUAUACACUUAUAAUUAUGCAAUAUACAUACAUUUUAAUUCGGUUCAAUUAUAUGCAAAGCAAAUUUUAUAAUAAUAUUGCAGCGAAAUAGGCAGCGAAUUAUACAAUUGUAGUUAAAUAGGAUAGCGAAUUAUACAAUUGCAGCGAAAUAGGCCAGCGAAUUAUACAAUUUAGGUCAGCGAAUUAUACAAUUUUAUGUUUGCUAUGGAGCGCAAUUAUGCAAACUUUGUUAUAGCAUACAAAUAUGAAUUUUUUGUUUGUUAUAUGUGAAAGUUGCCCAUUAAUUAAAGAGUCAAUAAAAUAGCGGUCUAAUCAAGUCCUAAGCAGCCCAAGGUUUGACCCGUCAACCCAAAAAUGAAUAAUAUUAUGGGAAAAGGGUAUGAUAUACCCCUCAACUUUGUCAUUUGAAACUGAUAUACCCCUCGUUAUGAAAGUGGCUCAUAUAUACCCUUACCGUUAUACAAAUGGUUCACAUAUACCUCUGCCGUUACAAAAUGAGCUCAUAUAUACCCUUCAUUUAACGAAAGUGAAAAAAUUACUUUUAAAUUUAUAAUUUUACUUUAAUUUUAAAAAAAAAUAUAUUUAGGGGCAUAUAUGAUUCUUUUUUCAAAGUUCAAGGUAUAUUUCAAAUUUUUUUAAUACAUAAAUUAUUUUUUUGACUUAUUUAUUAUAAUUAUUUGAGUUUAUUAUUCUUGUUUUUUUUCUUUCAUUCCUUAGUGUAAAGAAAAAAUAUUUAAAACUAUUUUUUAUGUCUAUAUUGUAAUUUAAUUUUUGUAUUCGAAGAAAAGAAAUGGUCAUCUACAAUAAGUUUUACAAGAAUAUUAGUGAAACUUUAAUAAAUUUGAUAAUCAAAAAUAAUAAUUCUAAAUUAUUCAUUAAAAUAAAAAAAUAAUGUUUGACGAGGAUUAAUUCUACUCAUAUGGGAUUAUAUUUUUUAGAAAAAAAAUAAAAAAUUAGAUUAAAAUAUUAUUAUUUUCAUUUUCCGUUAGGAAAACGAUAUAUGUGAGUCAUUUGUUUAUAAGUAGGGGUAUAUAUGAGCCACUUUCAUAACAAGGGGUAUAUCAGUUCCAAAUGACAAAGUUGGGGGUACAUCAGACCCUUUUCCCUAAUAUUAUUGAGGAAAAGCUUAAAAUUGUCGCUCAUCUUUGGGUUAAGAUUGAAAGUGAUCCUUAAAUUUUCAUAUAGAGCACUAAUAGUUUCUCGUGUUUGCAAUAUUGGUGCACUUUUGGUCCUUCCCAAAACUUUGCCUAUUUUUUAACAUUAAUUUUUGUCCAAAAUUUAAUAUAAGGAAUGUUCAAUCGUUUUUUAACAUAUUUAAUAGAAUAAUAACUUUAUCUGAGAGAAAUGAUAAGAAAAACACUUUUUUCUAUUCACGGAAAAUAAGAAAAAAUUGUACUAUUGCACGUGAAAUUAUCGUGAUGAACCUCUCGACUUUACCUGUAAUAUGAUUUCUACUAAACAAAACAAAGUGUUAUUCUUCUCACAUUCUUUGAUAUGAAGUUAUUAUUUCUGCUAAAUAUAUAAAUGACUAUUGAACACCCCAUACGUAUGGAUAAAAUCAAUGCAAAAAAAUAGGUAAAAUUUUGGAGAUUGACAAAAAAUGUACCAAUAUUGCAAACAAGAGGGACUAUUAGUACUAUAUGUGAAAACUCAAUGAUUACUUUGAGCCUUAGCCCAAAGAAGAUGGACUAUUUUGAUUCUUUCCUCAAUAUUACUCUCUUAGAAAGAGUAUCGAAUGUUGACGUCUAUGAACACGACAUUAAUUCAUACAAAAAUUCAUUUAUAAAUACACACUUCGGUGAAUACUUGCAAAAAUACAUCUAUGAAUCACACUUUGGUGAAUACUUACAAAAAUACAUAAAGCCAACGUAAGAUUUAGCGGAUAAAUGUUGAUCGUUCCAUCAUUUCUUCCACAAAAAAAUAGUUGGUUUAAAAGAUUUCCAUCAACACAAAGCAGCCUAAUACUUAAUAAAUCUAAAUUUCUAAAUAUUACAUGACUCAUUAAUUAACGUUUUACAACUCAAUUUCUACUUCCACCAUAGAUCACAUUUGAAUCAACAUGUGAUAUUAUUUCCUUAAGAAAUUCAUCAUCUACAUUUCACCACGAAAGAUGAUAUUAUGAAAUAUUUUUAAUUUUAAAAUAUUUAUUCAUAAAACCUUUACAAAUAAAUCACCAUUAAAAAUAUAUAAAAAAAUAUUUUAAAAAAUUAAUAGCCCACGGGCUGGCCUCUAGGCAAAGGGUUGGGCCUACUAGAGUUGAGUUGUGCCGACCUCGCGGGCCAAGCUCAUUUUGACGGUUCUAGGUGUAUUCAUAUUAAAACUCGAUUAUUUCAAACAUAUGUUGCGGACUUUAUUCGAGUGGAAGCAUUAUUUUUUGAAAAAAUGAUAGAAAUCCUAUCUCUAAGUUCUGUUAUUAUCAUUAUCCCCUGUUAGUUUUUCAAAUUUUCAAAAUCCCUCAUUUUUCGCGCAUCAGAUUAAUGUAUCAAUGCAUCAAAUUAGUAUAUGUCGCGCAUUAGAUUAGUGUAUCAGGUAUAAAAUAUACAUCAGAUUAGUAUAUUAUGUAUAAAAAGUAAUGUAUCUUAUUUAACGAUGAAUGUAUCUCGCGCAUCAAUUAAUGUAUCAGCGCUUAUACUAUUAUAUCAAUUUGAGUCAGUUUGAGAGAUUUAUGUAUGUGAUUUAUGUCCUUUGAUAUUCUUUUGGGGAAAAAUAAAUAUACCCCUCAACUAUCGUAAAUGGUAUGCAGAUACAAUUCAUCAUACUUUAGGGACAUUAGUAUUCAUGCAGUCCAAAAACUAAAGUGUAUAUGUCAUUCAUUCUAACGGAAGACUAAAUAGGGACAUGUGGCACAAUCUUAUCCAUCGAUCCGAUGUCGAGUCGGUGGAUAAGAUUAUGACACGUGUAUGACCGUUAGUAUAAAAGAUAUAUAUACUUUAGUUUUUGGAAGACAUGGGCACCAAUAUCUAUAAAGUAUGACGAAUAAUAUCUAUACCAUUUAUGAUAGUUCAGAAGUAUAUUUGUCUUUUUACCUUUUUUUUUUUUUAUAUAUAUAGUGCUUAAAUUUAAUAUUUCUUAAGAAGCACUUUCAUCCAUUGCAUCAUGUUUUUUGAUAUUUUUUUACAAUAUUUUUUUUAAAAAAAAAUUGUAUCAAUAAAAUUUGUAAUAGAGUAAUAACUAUUCUUUUGACUUUUAUUAAAGAUCACAAAUACGUUCUAAAGAAUAUUGAUAUGUCUUUGUUAGAAAUUUUUUCCCUCAUUGUUGUUUCCGGGUAAAUUUUUUGUUGCCCAUAUUCUUAGUUUAUUUUUUAAUUUUUUCACUAAUUGUUUAAAAAAAAGUUGGAAAUAAUACUAGAUAUCAAACAAUUGUAUCUCUCUUUUUAUAAUAAAAAUUGAUGUAAUAUAUCAUGAAUAUAAUAAAUUACCGUAGAAAUAAAAUGAAUAAAAAAAUUUUUUAGGUUGAGACGUGGAUAUUUCGUCUUCUUUAAGAAUAUUUAAAUCCACUGCGACAUAAUUUACAAUGAUUUAGCAAUAACACUCUUGACUUGUCCCUCCAGGAUACAACAACUCAUCAACAUUGUACAACUCAAACAGCUUUGGAUUAGUCGAAGAGUACAAAACUCCAUAAAAAAAUAUAUUCUUUCAACAUAUAAUUAUUUGCUAUCUUUUAAAUAGUGAGUAUAGUUGAAGAUUUAGAAUAUUAUUCUUCGUCUCUCGCUUUCACUUUACUAACUCAGUUUAUACACCAUACAACUCUUCUCAUCUCUUCAUACACUCUUUCACAUGUCUUUUGUUAUUUACAAUCCAAAAAUAGGCCAUUAUUUAUAGGUGAUAAUUAUUUGUUGUGAUAAAUAAAGAGAUAAUUGGUGAAAUGAUGAGUUGGUGGUUACAAGUAUUAUAACAACUAAUGAUCACAUUCUUACACAAUUAAUAAGAGUAAUGAGGCAAAAAUAUAAUGUCCACUCACUAAACAUAAUAUGAUAUAUGAUAUUUUUUUAACUUUUUUGGGGUAAAAUAUGAAAAGCUUACCAUAACCAAUAAAGCAACAAUACACACUAAAGAGCACCUAACAAUUAAUACUAUUUUCUAGGAAGGGUUAGAGGCCAUAACAACAUCAAAGCAAACUAAUUACAAGUCAACUUUUGUAUGUAUCCUCGACACCUAUGAGCUUUCAACUUAAUAAUGUGUAAUCUUUCUACAAUUUCCUUCUUAAGACUAUCACUAUGUGUCUGUGCAUUUGUAUGCUUUAAAUUUUUUCAACAUAUAGCUUGAAUCAGUCACACUUAGCCAAUAAAUUUUUGUAGUUUCAACUGGAAUAUGCAUAUAACUAACUUUUUCUUUGCCAAUAAUCUUUUUUGUUCAUUUAACCACAAGAUAAACCUGUGUUUAGGUUGAGCAUUGAUAAUUUAUACUAGUUUAGCAUGUUUUCUUUGAUACAAUUAUUUUUUCUUCUAUAUACUAGCUAUCAAGACUCUCUACAUUCCUAGCCACUAAAAUCACUGAUAAGGGCUUCAUAUUUUUAGGGCGUAUUAUUCUUUUAAAAAAAUACUUAUCAAUGUUUCUUUUUUUUUUUUUAUAAAAAAAGUAUAUAUACCAUGAGUGUUAGGAUUUUAUUACUGAAAUUUCAAUUAAGAGGAAUAUAGAACCUGAAUUUUGUAAAUAACAAUUUGAUGAAAAUAUUGAUAACGAAAUUAUAAAGUCCCUUGAAAUUGACCAUAUUACAUGGCAAAUUAAAAUCACUAGAUGAUGAAAAAUUUGAAAGACAUUAACUUUUAACCUUAAACUUUAUUUAACACAUUAUAGUUAUCAUGAUAUUGAGCGUUUAGAUUUAUUUUUUAAAAUUAAAAGUGUUAAGAGAAAUAAUAAUACAAGCAGAAGAUAAUUAUUUAAUGAAGAUAUUAAGUCAAAUAAAAAGACUUGAUUCUUUUAUAAAUACACAUAUUACCUAUAUAAUAAUGUUAAUAGUUCGUGUAACUGUUGCCUUAACCAAAGAAGUUUUUUGAAACUAUAAAUGAUCAAAUCUUAUUCAAGAUCAAUAAUAUCUCAAGAGAUUCAAUGAAUUAGCUAUACUAUCCAAUUGAAAAGAAAUUAUUAAAACAAAUCAAUUAAAUAAAACAAUAACAAACGACUUCACAUCUAAAAAAAUAUUUUUUUUUAAUAAAAAUAUAUAUAAUGAAAAAAUAUAAAAUAUUAGAGCCUUUUCCUUAAGUUUUGCUUAGACCUCCAAUCUUGUUGAGUUGCCGUACCAGCUACCGCCUUAUUUGGGAAAGAAACCUCCUUCUCAGAACACAUAAUUAUGCCAUAAGAGAUUUCGAAAACAGAAUUUAAAAGUCAUGUUUGCUUUUCCAACCAAGAAUAUUAUAUACUUUACAUGUUUUUUUUAAAAAAAAUUAUUUUUUAGUAAACAAUAUUAUUAAUAAAGUAUAAUACAAAAUAUAAUACAAAACACGACGGGUCAAGUAACUUAUGCCAAAACCCGGCCUUAGUUUGCUGACAAUGUCGGCCCAAGCCCAUCUAUUUGUUGUGACGUAAGCCCAAACAAUUUCUAAGCUAAGGUUUAGGGCAUUUCUCUUCCUUGUUUCUUUACAGACAAUUGUUAAGCCGCAGAUCAAUUGCAGUGACGCCCCAUUUGAAUAGCCAUGGGGAGAAGUAAGUUGCUUCGCUUAAAUCCUUAUUUAUUAAAUUUUAUUUGUAUUAUAAUGUAUUGUUCCUCAGAUCUGGAAAAAAAUUUGGUCUUUUACGUAUAUCUCCAUUGACGGAUUCAUUGGGUUUAGCAUUUCUGGUAUUUUUAUGAUUGGAUUUGUGUGCCAUGUUUGAUAUAUAUGAAUCAUUUGGGAAACUGUGUUAGCUAUUUUUUAAAAUUGUAUUAAUGUGAAUAUUUUUUUUUAAAAAGAGUUUGUUGCGUGAAGGCCUGUAUAUUUGUUAUGUGAAUGGGGUGUUUAUUUGAUAUAGAGUAAUUUCGUUAUAUAUUUGUUUGUUUGUGUAUUUGAUUGUAAAACUAGUUUGUUUAGAAUUUGGAUUAUUGAAUUUAUUUUGUUGGGGUUUUCUAGCUUUAAAGGUUUGGAAUUUGCCGUUCUAUGUUAAGCUAAUGGAUUUGAACUAAUACAUUAAAAAUGAGACCUAUCAUGGUAAAAUGUGUUGCUUCAAGAUUGAAGUAUGUGGCAUUUUCUGUAGUCUUUGAGGCAGAUUUACUUGCGAAGCUAGUUUUUUUCGAAACCCUGAAAGACAUAAAUCACGGAAAGUAUGAAUGCUGUCUUUGUAAGAAUAUUACUUGCUUGGAAAAUGGAAGGGAUAUUUAAUCAUUUUGUGUCAAAGGAAUCCUUUCUUCAUGUAUGAGAGAAUGGAAGUACUUAAUAAAAUUACAUAUGAACUACGUGAUGAAUAAUGACUACAUAAGUUGCAAAUGAUUUAUCUAGGAUAGUUGUCUGACUAGCCUUGAUCAUUACUAUUUUGUUGUUAAUUGUUAAUGUGUAUGGAAAAACAUAUUCGAGUUCUCGCACCACUAGUUGUAUCCUGCUUAAGUUCCAGUAGUGGCAUGGCUAAUUUCAGCAUAUGUUGUAUUGUAAUGAUUUUUAUAGUGCGCUAUGAGUCCUUGGCACAUUUCCAUCUUUGGGCGUUGAUGUAAUGGUCUGAAUUAUUUUUGACAGGACCUGCAAGAUGUUAUCGUCAGAUUAAGAACAAGCCUUACCCAAAAUCAAGGUUUUGCCGUGGUGUCCCUGAUCCAAAGAUCAGGAUUUAUGAUGUGGGCAUGAAGAAAAAGGGAGUUGAUGAGUUCCCUUUCUGUGUGCAUUUGGUCAGUUGGGAGAAGGAGAAUGUCUCAAGUGAGGCACUUGAAGCUGCCCGUAUUGCUUGCAACAAGUACAUGACCAAGUCUGCCGGGAAAGAUGCUUUUCACCUAAGGGUUAGGGUUCAUCCAUUCCAUGUUUUGCGAAUUAACAAGAUGUUGUCGUGUGCUGGAGCUGAUAGACUCCAAACUGGUAUGAGGGGAGCUUUUGGUAAGCCCCAGGGUGUUUGUGCUCGUGUUGCAAUUGGUCAGGUUCUUCUAUCUGUUCGCUGCAAAGAUGGAAACAGUAACCAUGCCCAAGAGGCUCUGCGCCGUGCCAAGUUCAAGUUUCCUGGACGUCAAAAGAUCAUUGUCAGCAGGAAGUGGUAUGUAUUCUAUCAGAAGUUUCACUUUGUAUCUUAUGCUACUGAUUUGUUUGAGAACUUUGUACUUUUUUCCAUUUAAGUAUUAUGCUGUUGUGUAAAAAGGGCUCUAUUUCAUCUAAUAGUUAAUUAGUUUGGGGAGAUUCAUUCUAAAAGAACACCCUACAGUUAAUCACACAAUUUUCUUCCUUUCAAUGCCAAAAGUCCGCUUAUUCCACUACGGAAGUAUGAACUCUGUGGGCUUUUUUCCAUCUGAGACUUGUAAAGUUUCAUGAUAUCUUUGUUAUUGUUGUCUCAUUAAGCCAUUUAGCCUAACCAUUGAGGCGAUGGUUGAUCAUGUAUAAUUUUGGUUUUUUAGACAUUUAGAUACUUGUCCUUGAAUCUCACAUGUGCUACUUCGAUUCAGGGGAUUUACCAAGUUCAGCCGAACUGAUUAUCUGAGAUACAAGUCAGAGAACCGUAUUCUCCCAGAUGGUGUGAAUGCAAAGGUUUGUCUGUUCAUAUCCUUCCUUUUAAACUAAUAUUUUUGCUUUGCUCAUUCAUGUAUCUGGUCGCCAGUAGCGAUUUGCACUUUUUGGUUGUGACAACUUAUUAUGUUUUCUUUUGCUUUUGCAGCUUCUUGGCAACCAUGGUCGACUUGCUGCACGUCAACCUGGAAGGGCCUUCCUUACAUCUGCUUAGGGAAUUGAAGUGGCAUAAUCUCACAAAUAGCACAUUUAGUUUUCUAGUCUGUUGAAUGGAACUUUGUUGCUUGAAUUUUUGUCUUUGCAUGAACCUAAUUAGUAUCCAAUUGAACAUUUUUGAAAUUAUAAUGUUCUGUAUUUGAAACUUCUUGUACGGUUAAGAGCUCGCAAGUUUUGACGAAUUGAUACUUCUUUAGUGCCCCCCGCAACUAAUUAUUUCUGAGGCGCAUAAAUUGAAACAGGCCUGCUUGUGGGGAAGUAUAUUCCCUUAAAUCUAGUUGGUCAGUUGGUACGGAGAAGGCUGUUUAUUAUCAACUUAAUAGUUUUAGAAAAAUAGUUCUUCCUCUGUUCUUUUUUAAGUAAUGUCAUUUAUUUUGUUGAGAAUGGAAGUUUUUUAUGGGUAGAGUGCAUCACAUUUAAACAGUAAAAUGGGUAAUUUAAAGACACUCUUCGAGUUUUGGCCAAGUUUGUUGUGCUCGUACUGUCUCUUGACAACAGUGUGAACUUGUUGCCAUUACUGAUGAGACUCCGAGAUUUUCAUGACACACUUUUUCAGUGAAGUGGUACAGAUUACAGAAGUCUACUAUUUCCUUAAAUCUAUGAUCUUGCUGAUCAAAUUAAUAUGCUCACAUACAUGAAUACACCUUAACAAAUUGACAAAGAUUAGAUAGAUUAUCCAAAUAUUAGACGUGUAUUUGGAUCUCCAUAGGCAGUGUGCAAGUUUGGGAAUCCUAUUCUUGAAUGAAUAGUUAGUUAUGCUAUAUACACCAUAUUUUAUUUCAGAGUGAACGCAACAUUUGAUGAAAUAGCAAAUAAAUGAGGUGUAUGAUGAACUAUUUGGCAGACUCCAAUUCAGCACAAGAUUCAGGAUACAUAAAAGUUUCAACAGACCAUAAAACAACUAGUUGCAUUUAAUUAACCAUAAAAGUAAAAUUCCUUAAAAUGAUGGUAGCAGUUCCAAAGCAUGACUUAUUUCCUAUUCAAACAGAAAUAGAAAUAGCAGUCCUCCCCAGACAAGUGACAAACAGAACUUCAUUUAUACGUUGGUCACCGGACAAAUGACGAACAGAACUUAGUAUCUGUGUUCUAACUUCUCCUUCUCCAGGAAAUGCUGCACGUACCUGCAUGCAUAAAGAAAUACCUUGGCUAUGAAUGGAGCAACCACUAGAACCACAUAUAUAUAUUUGUUGGAGAUUCUCAACCAAUAACAUAGGAAUUUCUAGAACCUAACUUAGCAAAGAAUCGCUCCAGGUGACAAUAAGUCAAAACAAAAUCCUUACAUCUUGGUUAUCUAUUAUUAUAAGGAGAAAAGAGGGGAGGGAUAACUGACUCAGAAAGCUCAAGCCAACAGAAGAUGAAAACGAUGACCAUAAUCUUGCCAAUAACCUUCAACAGUCUAGUCUAUACAAGUAAAUUUCCUCUACGCCAGAAUGCAGCACAAAUACUAUGAUGAUCCAGAGUAAUAUCUCAUACUUGAGAAAAAUUACAACUUAAAAUAACUAAGACUUUUGCAGCAGUCACUUUUACUUGCUUGGAGACAAAAAUGAACAGAAAAAAGAAAAUAGAGGAGAAAGAAGUUAAUCGGAUUUAUUUUGACCAUAUAAGAAAAAUGAGAAAAAACAAGAACACUUAAGUUAAGAUUCUGUUAAAGAAUAUGUUCUUGAACAAGUUACUAAUAUACACAAUAUGUGAAAGUACAUGAUAAUCUAAACUAGUGCUAAAAAAUGUCUCAAAUUAUAUAUCCUAGAAAAUCAAACUACAUCUAGUUACUAGUGGUGAAAUAAUUUUAUAUCGACACAUUUUACUUAUCGAAAAGGAUUAUAUAGCUGCAUAUCAACUUUUUUCCAACAAAAAUAUAAACUGAGAUCAAUUUGAGGUUUAACCUCGCAUGCUUUACCAAGAAAACUUUUUCUACUCAAAAGAUCUAACAUACACCACGUCCUUUCCAACCCCAACCCUCAAAGAAACAGGAAUUAAAUAAGACUCCACAGUCCACACCACAUGAAUAAUACAGAACAAAGGAAGAUCUUUUAUUGACCUUGCCUUUCCAAUCAGUAAGCAGGCUUGAAAGAAAACCGACCAGCUUCAUACUUAUAGAAGCCAAUGUCUUCAACAAUUUCAAUUGGCAUUGUGUAAUUGUAUUUCAUCAAAACAAAUGAAGGAAGAUUCACAAUGUGUGAAGGCUUCACGUAUCUCAUGGGUCAUCUUAGUAGGUACCUCCAAAAGCUCUGAUAUGCCAAACAUGAAUGUUUGGUAUUCAUGCUCGUAAGCAUAUUCUAACAGCUCUCCACUCCCAUAUGUUAUAUUCCAACAAAAGCCUGACCAACUAAGUUCCCCUUCUAAGCUGGCUAUAAAUUUCGGUCCUUUUAUUGUAAGCAUAUCCAAAAACAAGUACGAAAUGGACCCGUCAAUUUGAGCCGUCUCAAAGCACACACAGCUUCAAAUUCAGAGGUGUGACAUAGGUCAAUGAAAACGUCCUAACAGUCAUAACUGUGAGGUAUCCUUUGAUACAAAAUUAACAGGAGUGUGCUUCAUCUAGGCGCUCACUAAAUUGGAAUACAUAAUUUUGAAUUGAUUCAUAGUUAAUUAAUUGAUUGAUUUGGUAAGAAUCGAAUAAGCUGUCAUAUAUUGGAUAUAUAAGCAACUUCAUUCUAUUCCAAUUAAAAACAACGAAAUUAUACGGGAGAGCUUAAAUCUAUGCAAUCAAAAGUGGAACCAAUUUGUUAACAAGUACUUUGGAUGCGGGAAUCAGAGCCUGAGAGAAGAACUGUGAAAACGACGAAGCAAAGAAGACAGAAAUGACAAAUAUUUACAGGUACAAUAUCACGAAAUGCUUCCAAGUAUAGAUGAUUAAUUAACACAGCCGAUCUCAACAAAGUUAGGGAUUGAGAUUGAAUUUACUUGAUGGAACUACUUACGAGUAGGUGCCAAUGAGAGGACCGAGCAAGAGAGUAGCGCUGAUCCAAUUUUCAGAGACUUUGUGAUGGAUUUUACCAGGAAGGUCCUUCCAUAGACCUGGCAUAAUCUUCUGUUGGAAUGGCGAUAAAGCGUAAACAACUGCUUUCAGCUUAACUGGUUGUUUCCCCAUCUUAGCUGAAACUUAACGGUGAUUUCUCCGAUCGAUGAACAAGCUAGGGUUCGAGAUAGAGAAGAAUGAUAAUUGACAUUUGGUGGAUGGAGGAGGAAGCUUCUCCUUCCGGUGAAUUCGUUUGGGCCUAAGAACUGUAGCCCAUUUGGGCCGAUAAAAUUAGCCAUAUGAAGGGCCCGCUUGGCUUUAGACGAACUAGUACUACGCUUCAAGGUGUGUUAUAAUACACAUAUGUUUAGAAUAAAUAAAAGGGAUAAUGCCCAAGUACCUCCUCAACCUAUGCCCGAAAUCCCAGAGACACACUUAUACUAUACUAAGGUCCUAUUACCCCCUGAACUUAUUUUAUUAAUAAUUUUUUACCCCUUUUCGGCCUACGUGGCACUAUCUUGUGGGCCCAACGCUGGUUGAUUUUUUUUUUCAAACCAGUGCCACGUAGGCUAAAAAGGGGUAGAAAAUUACUUAUAAAAUAAGUUCAGGGGUAAUAGGACUUUAGUAUAGUAUAAGUGUGUCUCUGGGAUUUCGGGCAUAGGUUGAGGGGGUACUUGUGCAUUAUCCCUAAAUAAAAAUUAGAAAUAUUUUUACAAUGUAAUAUUUAAUAUUUAUUUUUGUAUUUUAUAGUUUUAUUAUAUUUUGUAUUCAUAAAUUUGGAAGUAUACAUUAAAUUUUGAUACUGUUUUAGUCAGUAUGUAUUUUUAUAAUAAUAGUUGUAUUCAUUUAAAAAUUAUGUUGCAUUGUUUCUGAAUUUUUUGACUUUUUUUUUUAAUUUGUAUUUAUUCUAAAGAUAUGUCAACUAGUUAUACAUUUUAUUUAAGAAUGAGUACACCAAAUAUUCAAUUAUUUCUUUUCAAUUUUAUAUUUCACACUUUUUCAUCAUACUAUUUUUUUUGUAUUUUAUAUAUUAUUAUACAAAAUUCUAAAUAAAAACUAGAAUAAAUACAUAUUGAAAUGAAUAUAUACAAGAUUUUAAAGAAAAAAAAUAACUAUAGAGGGAAAAAAUAUAUGAAUACAAAUAUAUUUCUUAAAUUACUAUAUAAAUACAUUCGACAUAUCUAUUGGAAUGAAUACAAACUAAAUAAAAAAUUAUAAUAAAUAUAAAUAGAAUAUAUUGUAGAAUGAACAUAAUUUUAAAAAGAUAAAAAUUAUGGAGAAAAUUAAGUGAUUCUUAUCUUCUUCUUUUUUUUUAAAUAUUCUCUCCCUUGAUUUUCUCUCUUUUAUUAUUAAAUAAUUAUAUAUUCUUUAAAUAAAAACAUAAAUUAGAUACAUAACAAACUAAAAUUUGACAUUCUUACUAAAUAUUGAAAUUGUUGCUAAUGAGCCCUCUUAAAUGUUAAAAUAUUGACAUUUUGAAAAUUUUUCAAUAUAAUAAUUUAGAUAUGUAUUGGUAAUAUUAGAUUAGUUAAUAUAUGAAAUUCGUAAAAGUAUGACACUUUUGGAUGGUUUUUUUCCACUAAAAAAUGAAAGAAUUAAUUUUAUAGGCCAUUUACAAAUUAUAAUUAAAAAAUAUUUAUUUCUUUUAUGUAAAGAUUAUUUUUUAAAAUUGUAUUCAGAGUGACCAAGAAAUAUUUAUUUUUUAGGAAUAAGAAUCCGAAGUGUAUUAGAAUCCGCGUGAAAAAAGUAUACACCAUACUUAGUUACGUCAAAUUUAGGUUGUUUUUACGUUAUCUGCCAUAUAUAAAAUAUUAUUAACGUACUCUUUUUAUGGUAAACUAUAUUACUAUAUUAACAUACUCUUAUUAAGCCUUCUUCUAACCAUAAACCCUAAACAAUUCUAACGUUACGUCUUUCUUUAAGCUUGAAUCAUGAAGCGUUUAAUCAUAUAUGGAUUUUUCUUCGCUUGCAUUGUUGGAUUUUUGAUGAACAAUAAGCCUGAACCUGAAGAACAAAUUGUUGUUACAAAUACAACAAUGUCGUCAAUUUCAGCUCAAAAUUGUCACUUUGCAUCGAUCCAAGGAAGAAGAUCAUACCAAGAGGAUUGCGUAACGUGCAACGUUGAUCUUAAAAUUCCUCAAUUUGGACUUAAUGAUGGCGUUGAAGAGGUCAAAAUUGGUGUUGUAGCAGUUUUUGACGGGCAUAUCGGAUCGGAAGCUAGAGAGAUGGAGUCUAGGGUUUUUUUAAAAUAAGUUUCUCCAGAAGAACUACCGGUACAAAAAUUCUAACCCUAAGGAAUUUCUGAAAUCGUCGUUAGUUGAAACGAUUGAAGAAAUUGAUGCAGAAUUCAGCAAACUCGCUCUGGAAUCCCAACUUGAUUCCGGAUCUACUGCAGUCGUUGCUCUCAUAUACAAUAAAAAACAGGUAUUUAGUCGCAAAUGUUGGGGAUUCGAAGGCGUUUAUUUGCUCUGGGAAAUUGGCGAAGGAAUUGACAGAAGAUCAUAAUGCAGACAGAUUGGACGAGAGAGCUAGGGUUGAAGCUUCUGGAGGUAAAUUCACAUUUUACACCAACUAUGUUCCUCUUCUCAAUGGCCAUUUUCCGAUGACUCGAGCUAUUGGUGAUGUUACUUUGAAAAGUGUUGGAAUCAUAGCUACUCCAGAAGUGACUGAUUGGCUUAAUUUAACAUCAAAAGAUGAGUUUUUGGUUGUGGCAUCUGAUGGAAUAUUUGAAAGCUUAAGUACCAAAAAAGUUUGUGAGUUUUUAUAUGAAGCAGAGGACCAUUCAGAUUUAACAGCAUUGUCUCAACAAAUUGUUCAAAAAGCAUUUUUAGAAGGCAGCACUGAUAAUUUAUCAAUUGUUUUGGUUCCCUUAUGAUCUAGAUAAGCAAAAAUUGUAGUAGUCUGAGGCUUUGGGGCCUACCCCAGACUGAUGAGCUCUGUAGGUGUAAAUUUUUAAUUUAAUGGUUAAUUUUCUCAUUUUAGUCUUCUCUAAUCUUAUUUUGAGCAUUAUCUUCUAACUCUAUUUGCUUAUUGGUUUGAUUUCUACUUAUAAUUUUUGUAAGGUUUUGAUUGAACUUUAAAGUAAUAACAAGAUGAGUGAAGGAAAAGUGUAGUCUAGCAUUGGUACAGUGUGAUAUUUUCUCUAAGCUUUUGAUUGAACUUUUAAGUAUUGGCAAGAUGAUCGAAGGAAAAGUGUAGUUAGCAACCAUAAGUAUGAGCAACAAUCAACUCGAUCUAUAUUAAUUAGAGAGAGAGAAAGGACAAACAACUAGCUAGCAUUGGUUGGUAUUAUCUUUUUUUUUUAUAAGCUUCUGAUUGAACUUGAAAGCGUAACGGUAAGAUGAUCAAAGGAAAAAUGUCGUCUAACAACAAAGAGAUGAGUCACCAUAAGCAAGGUUACCGACAACGGAAGAGUGAUCGAUGGUAAAGUGUCGUCUAGCAAUAAAGAGAUGAGGAACCACAAGUUAGCGACAAACAACUUUACCGAAAGUAAUUAGAGUGAAGGAAACGCAAUGAAGAGAUGGGUGACAACAAGUUAGCGACAAAGAACUCGAUCAAAAGUAAUUUGAGUGAAGGAAACGCAAUAAAGAGAUGAGUGACAGCUAGUUAGCGACAAAAAACUAGAUGGAAAGUAAUAUGAGUGAAGGAAACGCAAUAAAAAGAUGAGUGACACCAAGUUAACGACAAAAAACUAGAUGGAAAGUAAUUUGAGUGAAGGAAACGCAAUAAAAAGAUGAGUGACAGCAAGUUAGCGACAAAGAACUCGACCGAAAGUAACAGAGUGAAGGAAACGCAAUGAAGAGAUGAGUGACAGCAAAUUAGCGACAAAAAACUCGAUUGAAAAUAAUUUGAGUGAAGGAAACGCAAUAAAGAGAUGAGUGACAGCAAGUUAGCGACAAAAAACUCGACCGAAAGUAAUUAGAGUGAAGGAAACGCAAUAAAGAGAUGAGUGACAGCAAGUUAGCGACAAAUAACUCGAUCGAAAGUAAUUUGAGUGAAGGAAACGCAAUAAAGAGAUGAGUGACAGCAAGUUAGCGACAAACAACUCGACUGAAAGUAAUUAGAGUGAAGGAAACGCAAUAAAGAGAUGAGUGACACCAAGUUAGUGACAAACAACUCGACCGAAAAUAAUUAGAGCGAAGAAAAAGCAUUUUACUCGAAUUAGAUUAAUUGAAUUGAAGGAAACGACAAACAACUCGACCCACAUUAAUAGCGAAGAAAAUGGAAAAUAUCGUCUAGCAAUAAAGAGAGGCACGAACAACAUUAAUUAGAGUGAAAGAAAUGACAAAUAACUCGAUCAACACUAAUUAGAGCGGAGGAAACGACCAACAAGUCGAUCGACAUUAACGGCCCGUGGAAUCAUGUGAUGAAAUUAGAGUUUUGUUUGGACAUGCGAUAUGAAAUUUUUGUGUUGUAUAUUUUCUUAUAAAUAGAAGAAUCACAUAAGUUGUAAAACAAUUAAAAUAACCCUAAUUGUUUAUUCAAUCUUUACCAAUAAACAAAAAUUCAUGAAAUCGCAUAAUAAAUUAUCACGAAGCUAUUUGUUCCCUCACAUAAGUAACUGUUUCAUCAAACUUUAAUUCAACAAAAGAAAUUGAACAUAAAUUGUAGUAAACUAGUCUUUAAUAUAACCCCAUAUUACAAACUAUCUCCUCACAUUGAACAUGCAUUUUUCAAUCAUGUGACCGAGAAGACAAACCAACAUUGUUAUUUUGAGCCAUUUGUUGGUCAAAUUCAUCCACAACUAUAUUUUUAUGCUCAUAGACCAUAAAUAUUUCAUCACUGCUCGCAAAUUAUCAUGUAACAGUUUUCACUUAUGUGUCAAUAUCAUAAUGGUUCAUGCCUUGUUUCAAUAUUUUGAAUCUAUUUUUCCAAGCUUCAAAAGUCCGUGAAAUUGAUUUAACAAAAUAUAGACUUGUGGAUCAAUUUUUAUAUUUAAAAAAUCUCAAAUGAUAUGAAAUUUUCAUACCAUGAUUUUCGGAGAAUAUGAUAUUCUAUAUCAUGAUAUGGAAUCAACAUGAAAUCACAUGUCCAAACGCUAAUUUCAUAUCAUGAUAUGAUAUAGCAUGACCAAACGCCUACUAAGUAUAGCGAGGAAAAUGUCAUCUAGCAAUAAGGAGAAGCUCGAUCGAUAUUAUUUAGAGCGAAGAGAAAGUGUCAUCUAGCGAUAAAGAGAUGUGUGACAGCCCGAGCCCCAACUCCGGUUACCUUUGUAGAUCUCCACUACUUGCUUUUGCGCUAUUGUUACUUCUCACGUUCCUUCUCUUACACAAUUCAACUCAAGAGUUGAGUUUAUCCGGUAGACAAGUAUCUUGUGAAAUUUAUCAAGGUGUACGCAAACAAACCAAACACACAAUCACCACAAAAAAAAGAAGAAAAAAAAAAGAAAAAGAACAGCCCCGGAGCAAUCAUGGAGUGGACGAUAGCUCCAGCAGUUGUAGAGAUAACAUGGUCUUAAAUCCAUAUCAUGGGAUUUACAUAUAGCAAUCUAUAUUUAACGAAGGAUGAAGUAAAUUAUAAGUUACAAAUCCCAAAAAGGAAAGGAAAUCACCCUUGUUAACUUAGCUGUCAAGAACAAAUAAAUCAAAUUAAUCAUUCUACUUCAACAACAAACAACUACAGUCAACAAAAUCAGUUUUGAGGUUUUCUUUGAUCUGCUAUGUUUCCUUUGUCACAUACUAUUUUCACAACGUUAAGUCCACAAAAGCGCGCUGUAUUUAGGUGCAGAUUAGCAUCCUCCUGUCUGGAGAUGCGAAGCAGCUGUGCAUACCAUAGCACUCAUCACCAACCAGUUUUUGCGCGUUUCAUCCCGCUUGAACUAAAAGGAGAUAGACUACCCCUUGGUUGGGGGCUCUCUUCUCUAAAAUUGUUGUUCAGCAAAGCAAGCUCUCUAAGCUGUUGCCUUUUAUAUAAGUCCUGCGACUCAUCCUGCAAUUCAAGGCAAAUGAACAUGAAAUUAGCAAUAUGAUCCUAGGAAAUCACAAAACUAUAAAAUAAUUAUCUUCUAACACUAAUUUCUUACCUACCUUUCAAACUACUUAUAUUCACAACUCUCUUGGUAAAUCACCAGGUCAAGUCAAACUAAGAUAAUCAGUAUAACGUUGAGGGAUCUUUACAUUAGACCUCUCGCCUAUGGGGAUUUAGUUCUAAGAGUUAUUAGUCACCAUCUUAGGUAUGAAACAAAAAGAAGUAUGAAACUAAAAAACAGAUCAUAAGAGAUGUCUUUUUUUUUUUUCAUAUCAGAUGUUUGCAUAUGUCAACUCUUUUAGUCCGUCCAUUUCAAUUUAUGAUUAAGAACUACACAAGUACAACAUUAUGAGUGCUUUGUGUGCAAUUGCUUACAGUUGUAUAUGUCGGAAUCAAAAUGUGCUUACCACAGGUCUGAGCAACUCUUCAAUAAUUUGGCUAGCUUGUUUCAUUCGUACAUCCACUAUAUUGAUGGGUAAGUCUGCCUCAAGUAGAACAUGCAGUGGCUCAUUGAGGUGCUCAUAACCUGGAAGACCUCUCAGACUCUCCUCCUACAAUAAUAUAAGACAAACACAAGCAUAAGAAAUAUAAGAUGAACACAAGUAAAAGCAAAACACCCAGUGGAGCGCAGAUAUAAAAUGGAGGACAGAAAUGUACGGAGUGCAUCAUAGAAAAAGCAAAGCCUUUUACAAGAAUAUUGGACGAAAAGCAGGACAGUUAGCAGAAAAAUGUCAAAAGAACUUACUUUUUCAGCAUCUUUUAUUGAACCCUUUCCUCUGAUAAAUACGCGACAUCCAGUAGAUGCUUCCACUCGCUUCAGAGAAUUACCUCGAGGACCUAAAAGCCGUCCAACAAAGUUGAACUGUGCCAUAUGAAAUGUACGAUUCAGUGCAACUGAUUUCUACUGCUCAAAUAAUUUGAUGAAAUAUCAAAAUGUCUUCAAACACAUCCCUCUACAGUCUACUCCCUUCUUUUGAUUUAAGUGAGUCACUAAUUAUGAGGAGUUAUCACAUAAUUUUUGGUACAAAUUGGCACCUCUGGGAGUUGAAAUGCAGAGUUUAAUGCAACAUGUACAUCAUCAUUAUAUUUACACCAGAUAAUACAACCUGACACUUCAAAGGUAAAUCCAACCUAGAUCCAUAAAGAAAUAGAUGGGAUCAUUAAACAUUAUCUACUGUCAACAAAGUCAGCUUACAUUCGGAUAUCUGUCCACAGGUAUAUCCAAGCGCAACACCCGCUUCACAACAAAUGAACUUGGACUCCCUGGUGAAGCUUGCCAGUCGAUGGGCCUUCCCUGUGGUCCACCUAAUCUUUGCUGCAAAAUGAAUUUCAGGGAUAUCAAUCCAACCAGAAAAGCAUUAGGAGUACAAUAAGCAAUGCCGCAUGACAGAAAGAAAGACCAUGGGGAGGGUCUCAGUUAGCUCACAUAUCUUUCUGGAAAACCAAAGAACUUUUCUAGUCCUCAGCUUGAGUGAAGAAUAAGAUUAAUAGAAAAAACAAUUAUUUAGUUCAACUUAGAAAGAGAGCAUUUGCAAUGUCAGUUUUUCUGGAGAUGGAUUUAAGCUGGCUGUAUAACUUCUAGAAUGCCGCCAAACCCCUGAUAUAGAAAUAAACAGACAGGCUUCUUGAUGGUAUGAAGAGUUAGCAUAGUUAAAGAAGAAAGGAAACAAUGCAUGAUGUGUUUAAAUUUCUAACUCAAGCAGAAAGAGGAACAUCUAGCUGUUUUUCUCCGCGUUUCAUCUUCUUCCUCCAUUUAAUGAUUUUGCUUCAAUUCUUUAGUUCAUCCUUUUCCUUUGAAGAGUCUCGGAGCUUCAGCAUUGGAAGUGCCAAAAUUUUGGCACUAUCUGGCAUUGGCAUUUAGCACUAUCUCAUUUCAUCUUCUUUGAAAGUUGUUUGUCCUAUAUUCUUCCAAUGAAUAGUAAGUUUCUAAGGCACUUGAUGAGUAGUUGUUAUCCUACGAAGUCUAGACUUGCCACAAAAUUUAGACUGAAGCUAACUCCUACUUCUUCGUUUGGGGGUGCUUUUCAAGAACUGAAUUAAUUUCUCAUUUCUAUACAAGGAGAAGACACAGUCAGUCUUAUUAGUCAAUGUGAUACUGAAGACGAAUUCACCAUAAGUCCAUAACAGUAAUGGCUCAGACGAUCUUUGUAUAAAUACUAUUCUGCUCUCCUUAAGUCUCCACUCCAUGUUAACUUACUACGAUUACCAUACACAAUGUUUGUGUUUCAAUAAGCAUAGAAACCAUGAGCUAGCCCCUAUUGGCAGACACAUAAGAUAUCUAAUAAGGAGCAAUACAUAAUUAGUGGAAAGAGAAUUUAAAUAUUGUGCCUAAAGAUGAGAUAAGCAUAAGCUGACCUCUUGAAAGGCGUUCCAUCCAUUCCCAUUCCAACCACCUAAACCUUUUCCUCCAACAUGUUGCAUCAUGUCAAUUGAACCCACAGGACUAGGGCUUCCACGUUGUAGUCUGUCAUAGUCACUGAGUACUUGAUUGGGAAUCAUUCCAGAAAGUCUAAGUAUUUCUGUCAAAGAAUUGAAACUAAAAUUCAGAAUUUCCAUUCGGAGAAUAAUUAAAGCUAUUAAGAAUAGCGUACAUCAAAUUAAACCGUUUCAUCGGCAUAUGUGCCGACACAAGGAAAAUAAGAUAACCCCUUACAACUUGCUAUAAAAGUGUUCAUCUUCUACAAACAUUUGUUCAAAGAAUAAUUAGGUCACAAACCAAUCUGUAAUCUGCCUCUUUGAAAACACCAUUCGACUAAAGUUUAUGUGGAACAGAAUACACACUUCGCAACCGACAUGCUAACCUUAACAUCACCUAACAGCCAAUACUUGAUCCUGGUAAUCUAUUCCUGCAAGAAUACUGUUUAAACAAACAAAAUCUAAACAACACAUAUCGCUUGUUCUGAAACUUAUCAAAAUCUCAUUUCAAUCCAGUCUUUACUACUAAAAUCUGUUCAGCUAAAAACAUACAGCAAACCAGUAGAUUUGAUCAACUUGCACCAACAGCUACAACUUUCUCAAAACAACAGCAGAGGAUUAGUUUAUAGAUUAAAAAAAAAACAGAGCAUACAAAAAGUUUCAGAGAAAUGCACAAACAACUCAUAGAUAUUCUAACAGCAGCAAAUAAAAAUUCAAGAUUUAAUCCAACCUUGAUUCAAGAGUCGGCUGCAGAUUGGAAGAACUUGUGUAAAGGGUCCAAGCUUCUGCCUUUCUGCUAACAGCUCUGUCAAGUACUGACUACAAAAAAUUUCAAGAAACACCCAAAAACAAAAACAACAAAACUUGUUAAAGCAUCAAUCUUGCACAAAAGCUAUCAAAUUUCAAACCCCACAAAUUCAAGAGGAAAGAAAAAAGGAUUUUUAUCCCUUACCUAUCAACAUCUUGGUUGGUUCUUAUAUGAGGAGAGACAGCUCUUGCAGGUGAGAAAUUCAAGUUGUGAUUAUACAGAUUAGACAUGAACUUGAGUUCAGCAAAAGGGUCUGUAAACAAUUUUUUUGGACAGCAACAGGAAAGGGAAGAAAUCAAACGAGUGAAGAGACAAGCAAAAGAGAAAACUUUUUUUUUUUUUUGGUUUAUAAAGAAAGGAGGAGGAGGAGAAAGCUUUGAAUCAGUGAAACCCUGGAAAACAGGGGAGAAAUAAAUAGUGAACUGUAUUUUUGUAGACUUAAAUAGGUGUGGGGCAUGUACUAGCCCACGUUAGCAGCAACACUUCCUUUUUGUUCUUGUUUUUCUCUAUCUAUCUAGUGAAAACCUCUACGUAAUUGUGGUGGGAUAAAUACAAUUUUUUUUAGAGGUUUAGUAGAGUUAAGUUCUAUGUAAUUCUGAUGAGAUAAAUGCUGGUUUUCUAUUCCCAUAGAGAUUUAGAAGAAUCAAGCUUCACGUGAUUGUGGCGAGAUAAAUAAAAUUCUUGUGUUUCUGUGGGAAGAAGGUGGAUUUCAUAGAAACAAAAGUCUAAGUUAAUCUUUGUUCGAUAUAUACGUAGCGAAAAUAUAAAUUAAUCGAUGUUCAAUACACAUUAACGAGAAUCUAGAUUAAUUGGUGUUCAAAACUUCAAAUACGAGUAUCUAAUGUUGAAUAAAAUAUGAAAUCAAUCACAUAUAUACUCUGUUUAGAUGAUUGUUAUGUAUUGUUUCAUAAUGUGUUGUAUUGUAUUAUACUGUAUUGUUUUGAAGAAUAUAGUGUUUGUUAAUGUCACAUAUCAAUAAUUUAAAUGAUAAAACUAAUAAGAAGAAUAGGUACAAAGAUAAAGCGACUAUGAAAAGAUGGGGUAACAGAUAGAUUGUGAUUGAUAAAUGAUAGGUAAAGAUAAAAUGAGAAGAAAACCUUGAGGUGACGACACGAUCAUACCAAAUCGAUUGUUAUAUAAAAAUAUAUUUUUUAUCGUUAUUUUGAGAUAAUUUUGAACAAUAAAAUACAAUUUAAAUUUAAGUAACAAUUAAAAUGAGCAAUGUAUUCAAACUAACAAUAAAAUACAAUGAAUAACCACCAUCCAAAUACCGUGUUAAUGUUCUCUUAUUUUUCGAAAUCUAAACCUCUUCGGGACAUGUAUUUACCUUAUUAUCCACUAAGUCACUAUUGUGUUUUUCCUUUUUAAUUUAGUGAAAUUUGAAAUUUUUUAAAAUUAACAUUCACUUUAUUGAUUAUUAAGUCGUUAAAAUCAUAAAUUAGCAUUUUACUUUUAUGGACAUUAUUAAAGAGUUUUAAUUACUAUUAACUCACUUUAAGUAGUAACUACAAGUGACAAAUCAUGACUUUAUGGUUAUUACUUGAAAAAUAAAUAAAUAAAUCAACUGCAUGAUUUUUUUUCUCUGUCUAUUUUGCAAUUUUGAAUAGAACCAAAUGAUUUUAUAAUUACACAUUUUCAUUUGUUAUUUUUGUUUAUUAAACAUGUACCAAACUAAUUAACAUUUAUAAUAGAUCACAAAAUCAAAUCUCUAAAACAAAUUUGCCACAACCCCCAUCCCCACCCCCCACCCCCAAACAAUAUCACUAUAAAGAAGUAAUUUAAAAGAUUCAAUGUACUAUUUUAUUUUUGCUUUUUUCAAUAUCCACACUCAUCAUUUAAUUAUGAUUAGUAAAUAUAUAUUUUUAUUUUGUUAAUCACUAAUUAUAACAAAAUUAUAUUAAUUUAAUAUAAAUAUUUCAUGCAAAUAAAUAUUUAUUCAAUAUAUUAAUUUUAUAUAAGUAGUUUGUACAAAAUAAAAAUUAGAAUAUUACAUUGUAAGUAAAUUGAUAUCAACACUAGCACCACCAACUACAAUGAAUAGGCUAUUCUUUUCUUAAUAAGCGAUUUCAAAUUCGAACAUGGUAUAAAAUACUUUUAGUAGAAAAUGCUUCCCACUGAAUAACUAGGCAAUUGAAAUUCGAGAUAAUCGAACUCUAAUCAACACAAGUGGCAGACUCCAGAAUGCAUCUUCCAAAAAUUUAAUUGUUUCAUUACAAAUAUAGUUAGAAUUUUUUUUUAAUCCAAUGUGAUAUUUAUACUAAAUCAAUAAAUACCAUACACAAAUUUAUUAUUAAAUCAUAAUUAAAUAAUAUAUAUUAUCAAUUUAACUUUAAGUUAACUAUAAUUAUAAUAAUUAACUGAAUAUAAAUACUCAAUAAAUAUUCAGAAUACUUGACUAGUAAAGUGAUAGAUACUCACUUGUCAUGAAUUGUUUUUUUGCAAUAAAUUUUUAAUGACUGACGAAAUUCCUGAACAAACGAGUCUCAUGACUUCUCUUAAUAGGCGCCAUUGUCUUUUUCUAUUAAAUUAAUUAAUUAAAAGUACUAGUCCUAAUUAUAGCCAAUAUUUUUAUUUUUUUAAAAAAUAUAAAUUAAAUCAUGUCUAAACACUUACUUAAAUAUACAAUAUCGUUAUAUGAAAACACUAUCGGCUAUCGCGGCGUUCAACCUUUAUAUAUAUAUUUAUCAAAUCAAUUAACAAAAAAUUAUUCGCAAUCUGCUGGUAUACUUACUAAUAACUAAUCUGAUAAAUAUAAAACUUGAGAUUGUCGUAGAUAUCAUAUGUAAGUAAGUUUUUUACUUUGUCGAUUUCAUUUUAAUAAUAUCGAAUGUAAAUAAGUUUUUGUUUAUAUUUGUAUAAGCGUAGGUAGCAUAGGAUUCCAUAGAAGGGGGAACAGUGUACUUGAAUGAAAAUAAUAUGACCAUGCAUGUUGGACAGAGACAACAAUGUGUGGAUCGCAAUAAAGCCUCCCACCUUCAUAAAUUAUUAAUUCUCUUUUAACUUUAUAUACAACCAUAGUGUAAAAUAUAUAUAUACGAGAUCACCUAAAAUAUCUACGAAUAAUUUCUAAAAAUAAAACAAAUGACUAUAUGUUGUUAUUACAUAUAAAAGGCGUGACAUGAGACGUUACGAUUCUUUAUAUCAUGCGUGAAUAUUAGUUGAACUCUUAUUAAUGUUAUACAUAUAUUAUACAAUCUUUACUUAGAAAAAUAUAAAUUUUAUCGUUAAUCUGACUAAAUUAUUCACAAAAUUAGCAAUGAAUCUGAUUGUUUAAGUAAAAAGAUUGAGUUGAUGGGGCCCGCAUAAGCGGUGAAGCAUGUGAUUUAAUUUGAUUCUUUGCACCAUCUGGAGGUGUAGUAUAUUUCGGAAUUGAACUAUUUAUCCAUUAUAACGAUGAAUGAGUUACGUUCAGAUCAUUAUAAAACAACUCGAUCCAUAUUCAAUACGAGCAUUGAGAGGACCUUUCCCUUCUACGCUAAUGCCUACAUUUUGGUAGUGAGGUGAGCUUAGACAAUACAUUCUUGAUUUUAAUAUUUGUGUUGUUAAUUGUGCAAGUAAAUCUGUUCACACGAGCUAUUAAUUAAUUGAUAUUGUACUUAUUACUACUAUUUUCCAUAAGCAUAAUUACCACUUAUUAGACAACUUUACCUCUUUAAGGUUAAUAUAUUAUAACAUACAUAUCAAGGAAUGACUACACGUUUUUUUGAAAUUUGAAUUUAAAUCUUUUAUAAUAUUUAUUUGUUUUAUUAAUUAUUGAGCCAUCUAGCCGUGCAUUUUAUAUCAUUUUUAAAAAAAUUAUUCAUCAUUUAUUUUAAUUCGAGACUUUUAAUUCUCAUGUCUUAUUUGUUUUGCCGUUCAAAUAUAUAUUGUUGAAUGGGAUUAGCUUAUUUAAUAACAAUUGAAAUCAUUUUAAAACUAUUAAAAGUAUUCUAACAUAUUAUAUAUCAUGUUUUAAAUAUAUUUUUUCUAAAUUAGUAAUUCAACUAAUAAUGGAUAUUUACAAUCAAUCACUUUUAGGUUAUUUGAUAGUAUUAACUUUAUAUUUAUAUACCGUCAGCAUAUAUAAGAUCAAAUCACAACUCAAUUUAAGAUGAACUUUACUAACUCUAAAGGGAAAGAGGAAAUUCCGGGCGACAACUUCCUUGAUGACGACAUUCACUCGGUGUUGUGUUUGAGAUAAAUAAGUUUUUUUCGAUAAAAUUAAAAUAGAAUUCAAGGAAUUAUCUUUAGAGAAAAUUUUAUAACGUAAAAUAAUUAUAUUUGUCUUUGUACUUUUAAAAGGAAAUUAUAUUUAUCUCUCGUUAUAUUAUUUUGAUAUAUUUAUGCUCGGGUUAUUAAUUCCUAUGUCUCCACCCUUAUUAUUCUAAUGUGUCACCUAGGAUAAUAUUUUUAUCCUAUAAUUUUUCUUUAAUAUAAAUUAUACUAAUGUGUCACCUAGGAUAAUAUUUUUAUCCUAUAAUUUUUCUUUAAUAUAAAUUAUACCCGACCCAACUAAUCCAUUAAACUCAUUUCUAAUGCCACUUCUCCCGUAACCACAAAAUUGUAAAAAAAUGAUUUUUCUUUUUGAAAUUUGAGCCUCAAAAUGACAUAUUUGUAGGUACAUUUUAGUUGCAUUUUUAGCUAGCCAAGAAUUGGAAAAGGUUGCACCAUCACUUGAUAUUAAAAACUGCACAAAACUCUAAACAUGACCCUUUUUCGUUUGCAUAAACAUUUGUAGUUUGGAUCCACGUUAUCAGUUUGCUUAUUCUUGUAUUAAUACAUACAAUUUGAAUAUAUUGUAAAUGUUCGUUCAACACAUAAAUUUGUUAUAUAUAUUGUAUUCACAGGCAAGUGAAAAAAAAUAUUAUGUUUAUACUCUGUAUGAAUUAUUUUAUCACUUCUAGUACACUUCAAUACACUUUAUAAUCAUUAAUCCAAAACGCCACACAUAGAAUGACAUGCACACAAUAUACAUAUAAUGACAUGCACACAAUAUACAUAUAAUGACAUGCACACAAUAUACAUAUAAUAUACACUUGUUUAUGAGCCAUAUUAAUCAUAGAUAAUCCAUAUUUUGUCGCGGGCUUCUUGGUCGAUGGAUUUAUAGGACUUGGGCUGGCUUUCAAACUAUAUUGUUCUAAAUUAAAAUCGCCCAUCCACAUCGAUAUUUAAUAGGAAAAAUUACGCAAUAAAGCAAAUAUAUUAGCUAACAUACCUAUCGUUUGCAUUAAUUACAAUUCAAAAUUUAUUUCUAGCUAUAAUUUUAUUCUCUCUUGCCUCUCAUCUCCCUUCCUCUCCCUAUCUUUGAAAUCUCGGUCGCCAGUUUGCCACUCUCUUCUUUUCUAGUCAUCUCUCUCUCACUUCUCUCCUCUCCUUGCCCAGGCUCUCUCUCACUUCUCUGAUGUCAACCUCUCUCCCACUUUAUACAAACACACAUGUAUAAAUUGUUCUUGUGUUUGUAUAAAAUGAGAGAGAUGAGAUAUACAAAUACAAAUACAUAUCUUUCAGUAUUAUUCACUUAUAACUAUAUAAUUACAAAUCUUCUCCUUCCUAGUUCUCUUUUGUCUCUCUCUUUUUAUACAAACACAAAUAAUACAAAUACAAUGUAUAUAAUUUCUGUUUAUAUAAAGCGAGAGAGAAAUUAAAUAGACAAAUACAAAUCUUUAACUUGAUUCAAUUGUAUAAAAAAAAAUAAUUGUACGCAUCUAUACAAAUACAAUAGUUGAUGCAUAUACAUAGUAGUUACAUACAUACAAUUAUCUAACCAAUAUAUAUAUACAAUUUACGUCUCUAAGUUCGCUAUUUAAUACUCUCGCCAUCACAUUUUAGUUGCCAUAGUUUCUUUUGGAGAAUGGUAUGAAUUUUGACAAAUAUUUUAAGUUGUAUUUUAUUAUCAUAAUACAGAAAAUAUGUAGUAAUAUAUAGUACAUUCUGUAUAGUUUUGAAAAUCUGAAAUUUUAUUUUAAAAUAUCAUAGCUUUAAAAAUAGUUAAAUUAACUUUUAAAAAGAUAACAUGACAACUAAAAAAAAACAUAAAAAACAAAAAACAUAUACAUAACAACUAAAACUCCAAAAUAUAUAUUAAACAAAUCGAACAUACUUCAUCUAACUUUAUAAACCAUGCACAACCUUACAAUUAUUCUAGAAAGCAUUAACUUAAACCCCAAAACCAAAACCUAUGAAUAUUAAAAAUAUGCAAUAUAAAAAUUAAAAAUUCUACCUCCACCUUUGUCAAUCCUUCCGUUCAUCAAAGCCCCGUAUAUCAUCGGCUAAAUCAUCAUCCUCAUCCGGAAGUGGCAGUUUGGGUAUGCAAUUCAAAAACUCUGUUUCCCGCCAUUUCUCUGUAUCUAAAUCAAACUUCACUUCCGGCGGAGCAAUUGCAGGCGACUCCUCAAAAUGAAGAUUAUCGUCGUUGACAAGCUUCCUAGCUAAGAAUAAAAAAGGAAACUCUAAAUUAUAAUUACUCUUCGCUGAGAUCUCAUAAUACUGCCAAUUUUUCUUCCUCCGGUAGAAGUUAAUUUCCCUCGCCUUAAUCUGUUUGUGCUUGAUAUCAAUCCAUUUUGUUUCCGCAAAGAACAAAAGGAACAAUUUCACAAAACUUAAACAGAUCGCGAUGCCAUGUAGGUACAUUCAGGUAACUCAGGCGGACUGUAAAAUCGAACAUGAUAAUUGCACAUUGGCCAUCAAUGUAGUAACUAUCACGAAGACAUCCCAAAUUCUCUUGCCCAACUGUAUCCCAACAAUUGAAUCGAUUUUUUCCGUAAUUUGUGAAGAAAUCCAAUGGAUGAACCUCCACACUAAUAGUAGGUUCGUAAUUUCUAUCGAAUUCGCCAUUCAGAUGCCUUUUGAGAAAAAGUAGUUUUACCAGUACCGCCUUCGCCUACGAUUACGAGCUUGAAGCUUGAACAAUCAACAAUUUGUUGAGGUAAAGUUUAUAUAUUGGGGAAAUAGCUUUAAGUUGAAACUAAUUAUUUUGAAUUUUUUCUGCUUAAAUAUUAGGCUACUAAUAUUUUGUGAGUUAAAUCUUUGCUCUGUUUAUACACAAUUAGGUAAUCCAGUCCUAUUUAUACCGUAAUAAAAUUAAUAAAUUUGAUAUUAAAGCUUUAAAAAUUAAAUUCAUAAAAUUUAAAUUUAUAUUUAUCAUAUGAUAUCGUCAUUUGUUUCAAAAUUCAUACUUUAAAAGCAUUCACAAUUGAAAAAGAAGUAUCUGAUUUGGUCCAAAAAAUAUUUAUUUUAAAAAGGUAAGGUGUUUGAUUAUGAUUUUAGAAGAAAAAAAAAAUAUAUUUUUGUAUGAUAGCAUAAACUUUUUUUUUAUAAGCUAAAAAAUAUGUAAUUUUUUUUUAUAGAAGUUCUUUUAAAACCUUAGUUAAGCAAAACGGCUAUUCUAAUAUUGAUAAAAGUAUUUCUAAAAUUAUUAAUUCAAAUAUAAAUUAUUACUCUCCAAAAUUAUUUAUGAUGUUCGACUAAAUAGACUACAAAAUGAUUAAAGGUGGCACUAAUUUGUUUUUUGUUUUUUUUUAAUGAUUAACGCAUUUUUAAAAAUUAUUAUAUUGAGAAACUUCUUUUAAUUUUUCUUCUCCACUUCAGGUAAUACCCCACCAUAUUAUAUAAAUUAUUAUACCAACUUCACCACUUCAACUUUUUCUCUUUAAUUAUACCAAAAAGUAAAAGGUUAUUGAUUAGUUCAACUUAAUGACUGAUUACUGAUGAAAUCUGCUACUUAUUUUUAAUAAUAAUUUAAUUAUUAUUAUAUAUAUAUAUUUGGCUCGAUAAUUAAUACUUUAUAUAAACGUCUCUAAAGUUUAUAAUGACAUUAAAUUCAAUGAUAAUUAACUAAUGUCGAUUUAAUACUCUUUACUACUAUGUAUAUUUAUAGGCGCUAAAACUAUUUUUCAAUAACUCCGCAUAAUUCUUUGGGUACUACUAUGCAGUGGAAGUUGUUCUUAUUUUCACAUUAUUCAAUCCAUCUAAUUCAAAUUUACUUUACUAAACCUAUUUAAAAGAAAAUACUUCUUAAUCAAGACUUUCUUUUUUUAUAUUUAGAUUUGAACGCGAAAUCUCUAUUAAUGGAUGGAAUUAGGAUGAUUAUCCCUCUUAGCACAACCCUUAUUAGUCUAUGCAAUGCUAGUUAAUUAAGUGGAAAAUUAACUUUAUUCAAAAUUGACAUGCUAAGUGGGGAAGGCCCAAUUCUUUUUUUAAAAAAAAAUUAUAUUAAUUUUACCUAAAAAUGUAAGACAAAAGUCAUUUUAUCUAAUGACUAUGCCCGAUUUUUGACACAAUAAGGUACAGACGGGUUAAAUACCAUUUAUUUUCGAUUCAAAAUGAUGAAGGUUAAAGUAUUCGAUCGGCUUUAAAAAUGUUAUCGUAUCCAAAAAUGUUAUCGUAUUCGUAUAAAUUUUUAAAAGGUACACUAUUUUUAAGGAUUCAAUACUACACAUUCGAUCACGUACAUAUUUGAAGAGACAAUAUGGUAUGUAUGUUUUCCUUUAAAAAUCAAUCUUUUGGUGAAUGUUUUCCUUUCGACCAAGCACACCUUUAAGGAUAGAAACCCAAAUACCUACCAUUCAAUAAGUUUUGCUUAAACAAUAUAUUUAUGUUACAAAAUUCACUAAAUAUAUAUCUACAUAUUAAACUUAAAUUCAGAUAUUAACACUUGAAUGACUUGAUCAUGUUUUAAAGUUCAAAAUUCAUAAAAUCAAAAUUCUGACUCGAACACUCUCGGAGUCAGUUCAUUGUCUCUUCCUUUCCUUUUCUAAUUCCCCUUUCAAAAUCAUCACUAUUUGUGUUUUGAUUUUCUAUUUUGACUUAGCUAUGGUUACUAGAAGCACCAUCCAAUAUUUUUUCCUAGUCUAUGGGAUUUGGCAACUAACAUAUCAUAUAUAUUUUCUCUUUCCAACCAUUAAUUUCUAUAUAAAUAUAAAAUAACCACUCCACUUUAAAUCCUCCAUAACACAACAAAAACAAGAAAACUCAUUGAGCCAUAUACAAAAAUGGAGUUGCUAGCAAUAACACUAGUAUGUGUAUUUGGUCUACUGUUUCAUCUUUACAAUUUACUUAUAACAAAGCCAAGAAAGCUCCAAUUAGCUCUUAAAAAGCAGGGAAUAGUUGGGCCACAACCAAAAUUUCUUCUUGGAAACAUCUUGGAGAUGAAAAAAUCAUAUGAGGCUGCUAAAAAAAUUGUCUCAAAUGGAGAUGUAGUGGACUCACAUAAUUGUGGAGCAACUAUCCUUCCCUUCUUUGAUCAAUGGCACAGACAAUAUGGUAUGUUUAAAAUUUUGUUAUUUACGACCUUUACGUCUAACUUUGCCUCUUUGAGGUAUGAGUAAGGUCUGCGUAUGCUUCACUUCAUUUCGUGUGUCUACAAUAGAUAUGUUGUUGUUGUUAUAGGGGAUGACUUAUGUUUAUGCUCAUGAUACUAUAUUGAAUUAUGCGACUAUCUCAUUUAAAAGUCGCUUUUAUGUAUUUAACAGGUGAAGUAUUCAUGUUUUCUCUUGGGAACACACAAAUUGUACAUGUGACACAACCAGAAAUGGUAAGAGAGAUCACUACUUGCACAUCAUUGGAUUUGGGAAAGCCAACAUAUCAAGUAAAAGAGAGAGGCUCUUUGUUAGGCAAUGGGAUCCUAACUUCAAAUGGACCUUUUUGGGCACAUCAAAGGAAAAUUCUUGCUCCUGAGUUAUAUAUGGAUAAAGUUAAGGUAAAAAAUUUGGACUUUAUGGGUUCUCAUCAAGUGAAACUUUUUUUUACCAGAAAGAUACAUGAUCUGUCUCAAAUUCUAUAUAUUUGUGGCUUUCAUGUAGGGUAUGAUAAAUUUAGUGCAGGAUUCUGCAUUAACAUUGUUGAAUUCAUGGAAUAAUGAAAUUGAAGCUCAAGGUGGGAUUGCUGACAUUAAAAUUGAUCCAGACUUGAGAAGAUUCUCCGGAGACGUAAUUUCUAAAGCAUGUUUUGGAAGCAAUUUUUCAAAAGGAGAAGAAAUCUUCUAUAAGCUUAGAGCCCUCCAAGAGGCUUCUUCCAGAAGGGUCAUGUCUACCGGAAUCCCCGGAAUCAGGUACAAUAUCCCGGAAAGAAAAUGUGAAAUUACUUUAUCCCACGUUUAGUUUAACAUUUGAUUCUGAUAUAAGUUUUCUCGAGAGAUAAUAAUAACUCUUUGUGCGAUGAGAAUCACACGAUAAACGUACUAGAAAUGACACAUUUACAUGCCCUUAUCAAAAGCAGAGAGUUUUUCUUCCAAAGUCUUAAGAAACUACGGGUUAAAAUUGAAAAUACUCUUCUACUCUACUAUCUAAACUUAGAUAUACCUUCAAUCUGUCACGUGACAUAGCAAGUGGUUUCAAACUCUUCUAGGAAUAUGUGACUCUUAAUUAUAAAAAACCAAGAGAAGCAUUGAAAAUACUCUAAACUUGAUGAGAAUUUAGGAGUGAAUUUCAUUCAUGUUGCAAGAUCGGGGGUGUAUUUAAGUUGAGGGUGUUUUGAUGAAACUAAUAAUUUUUAUGCUGAGUAUAGGGUGUUUUCAGUACUUCUCUCAAAUCGAAAAUGAAAGUCUAUCUAAUGCUUUUUUUGUAUUAUAACCCGAAAAUCCCAUUUUAGUCUGAUGAUAUCAAAUCUAUAUCUAGUGAUUACUUAAAAGCAAAAUAGAUAAAUAUGCUCUUUAACUUGGCCUUAGCUAAGGCAUUUCGCGUGAGACACACUCGAGCUGAUUUGCGUUGUGCCACGCAUAAGACGUGUGUGUCUACUUGUUCAAAAUCCAUAAACUAAAUAUCUCGACCCAAUUUUUUAUUUUUUGUUGUUGUUGGAUGGAACAGAUAUAUUCCUAGCAAGAACAACAGGGAGACAUGGGCAUUAGAGAAGGAAAUCAAAGCAUUGAUCUUGAAAAUAGUGAAAGAAAAAAGAAGAUCAGAAGCAGCUCCAAGUGAUCAAAAGGAUUUACUGCAAAUGGUUCUUGAAGGAGCUACAAUAAACAUGAAUACUCAAAAUGCAAUUGAUAAUUUCAUAGUUGAUAACUGCAAAAACAUUUACUUGGCUGGUUAUGAAACCACUGCUGUUGCUGCAACAUGGUGCCUCAUGCUUUUGGCUGCAAAUCCAAUUUGGCAACAACGUGUUCGCGAUGAAGUUGUACAAAUCUGUAAGAGUCGAAUUCCUGAUGCUGACAUGAUUCGACAGAUGAAACAGGUACGAGUUAAUUUCACAUAUGAUCAUCCUCCGAAAAAUUCAUCAAAGCUAACAAAGAUUAGUAUUACUAUGAUGUCUUGAUUUGCAGCUAACAAUGGUGAUUAACGAAUCAUUGCGUCUUUAUCCACCAGUAGCAGUGAUAUCAAGAGAAGCAUUAAAAGAAAUGAAGUUUGGAGAAAUUAGUGUUCCUAAAGGUGUUAAUCUUUGGACAAUUGUGACAACAUUACACACUGAUCCAAAAAUAUGGGGAAAUGAUUCAUACAAGUUUAAUCCAGAAAGGUUUGCAAAUGGAAUUAGAGGUGCAUGUGAAUUUCCACAUGUGUAUAUGCCUUUUGGGGUUGGACCAAGGGUGUGCUUGGGACAAAAUUUGGCUAUUGUGGAACUUAAGAUACUCAUUUCUUUAAUUUUGACCAAAUUUUGUUUAUCAAUUUCACCAAAGUAUGUUCAUUCUCCAGCUCUAAAUUUGGUCAUUGAGCCUGGACAUGGUGUGUAUCUAUCUUUGAGGAAGUUGUGAUCAAAUACAGAGUUGAUUUUGGAUGCUACUUUUCCAUUUAUUUUUAUUUAUAUGUAAUGAGCAGACAACAGUAGCAGAGUCAAAGUUUAUUUUAUUUAUAUAUAGAAAAGAAAAGAACUUAUGCAUACCGUAUAGUUUUAUGUCGAAAAGAGUUCAGAUGAAUCUCUUCUGCCCCUAUAGCCCCGCCCUUGAUAAUGAGGUAAUCUAACUAUAACUUUUGAUGCAAAAAAAUAAAAUAAAAUUGAGUUUUAUUUAGUCUUAUGUAUACCCAGCUCUCCAUAUUUUUUACGUGUUCACAAUAAAUAGAUGCAAGUCGCAAAUCACAAUAUUCAUUUUAUCGCAGCAUUACUGAAGAAAAAGUAAUCAAAUAUAUAUAUAUAUAUAUAUAUAUAUAUAUAUAUAUAUAUAUAUAUAAUUGGAUGACCUGACAGUGUCAAAAAUAUUUAGUAUAUGUAUUUUUUCAUAUAUAAUAUAAAUCCUGGAAUUAUGCGGAAAAAAUGGGUAACAUAUGGUAAUGGUGCAAUUUUGGUCACACCUUUGGCUCUCAGUUCGUUGGACUCUUUGAAUAAUUCAGUAACAGUCUUAAAACAAGAAGAGUUGAAUAGCUCUAUGAGUCACUUCUUCAAACACAACAAACAAGAAGCUAGAUAUAUCAAAAUUAAGGAGAAAAUCGAGCACGAUUCUGUACCCAAUUCUUACUAAUUAGAUCUUGUACUCAUUUAUCUUUUAGGUGAUCUGACAGUAUAUCUAUAAGUCCAUUGAACUUGUUGAUUCGUUUAUUUGAUGAGUUGAUAUUUGCAGGAGAAUUGAUCAAAAUGUCCAAUCCAGUGGAGGAAAUUGUUGGUGAAUCUACAAUGGAGAAUAAGCAAAAAGCCUUAAAUCACAAUGAUUUUUCUUCAUCAUCAACAACAGAUGAUUCUAGACGUCCAAUCGAUAAGAAGAAGUGUCAUCUCUUCAAUCGUCACAAACCUGUCCACUCUAUUUUAGGUGGUGGCAAAUGUAUGUUUUCCUCAAAUUCUUCAUGUCCAUUUUUUGAGUUUUUGAUUUAAAAAUGGUCUCUUGAAUGCAUAUGAUCUCUUAAGUUUGCGGAAAAAUUGAGCACUUUUUGUCCAACUGACGAACAUCUAGACAUACUAAAGAUUGAUCAUUGAUGUGCAAAGAGUUACAGUUUUGAGUUAGACGAACCUGAUAGAGAUCUUCUUCCUCAAUUUGCACUGAUCAUAGUGAGAACAGAGAGGUUCAAAUAAAGAGAAUCACUGAAAAAAAACGUCUAUCAGUAACGAAAAAUAAAGCCUCAUUGAAAACAAAAAUGGGAAUGUGGAGACGUAUGAUAUUUCCGUUAAUUUAAGAUGAUUCAUUUAGAAGUUUCAUCAGUUGGACUUAACGUGCUCAAUUUUAGGUUUUUGACAAACUUAAAGAGUCAUAAGUGUUGCGAGUACUAUAAAAAGGACGAAAUUCAACUGAAAUUUGCGUUAAAAGCUCUACACUAAUAAUCAUUCUUGAAGUAACUGGUGAUUAUUGGUUUGUUCUGAAAAUGGAUGGAUCAGUGGCUGAUAUUCUACUAUGGAGGAAGAAGAAGAUUUCAGGAGGACUGCUUGCUGGUGCCACAGUCAUAUGGUUUCUCUUUGAAUGUAUUGGUUAUCACUUGCUCACUCUUAUUUGCCAUUCUCUCAUAGUCUCAUUGGCCAUCUUGUUCUUUUGGUCCAAUCUCUCCCUCUUUAUCAACAAGUGAGUUCACUUCCUUUUCCUUGGCCAAUGUUUUAGUAGUGAAGUAUUUUUUUAGUUUUCCAUCUGGUAUCUAAACCUGCAUUAGAGGAAGCCCCACAUUUGGGCGGGGGAUAAGUGCUCACUAACAAAGGCGACUCCAUACCUGACUCAAACCUGAGAUCUCGGGUUAUGGAUGAAGGAGUUAAAUGUUGAUAUUUAUGAGUUGGUUCCAACCAUCUAACUCUCUGCAUUCAUGCUUUUUGCUAGUUGUGCCUCUUGCUCGAGCAUUGUACUAAAUUGAUCAUCUUUUUUGAGAUAAGGGUAAUUUUUGUACUAAAUUGAUCAUCUAGUAUUCACUGGGCAGGAGCUUUGUAGAGUUACCAAAGAUUGAAUUGCCAGAAGAGUUGUGGAUGCGAUUGGUCCUCUUACUGAGGAAUCAAUGCACCAGUGCAGUUGGUAUCUUUCGGGAAGUAGCAUCCGGAAAUGAUUUGAAGAAGUUUCUAUAUGUAAAAUUUUCCACUCCUUGAACUUUGUUAUUACUAGUAAAGUCCAUUUCAACUGCAACAAGUUCAUGUGAUUAAAUGCUCAUCUGCAGGCAAUUUUUAGCUUGUGGAUUGUUUCCAUUGUUGGCAGAUGGUUCAGUUUUCUGACCCUUGUAUACCUCAGUAAGUUCUCUAUACACUUGCAUUUUGUAUCUGUUGGCUGCAGAAGCCAAACUUAUGAAAUUUGCUCACUGGUAUGUGGAAAUUCAGUAGUUCGGUUGAUGCGUGACCUGUUUUCUGUGUUCAUAAUGAUUUAUCAAGAUAACCAAAAUUUUCAUUUUUUGGACAGUAACUGUCAUGCUGUUGACGGUACCAUUUCUCUAUGAAAAGUAUGGAGAUCAAGUAGAUACCUAUGGAGAAAUGGCUAUAAAAGAACUCAGGAAACAGUAUAGUCAAGUGGAUGAGAAAGUUCUUCAAAAACUACCAAUUCCUUUCAUUAAAGACAGUAAGCAGGAAUGAUGCAACUCUUCUCUCAGACAGAUAUUGCUUCACUUCAACAGUAGAUGCAGUCUUCUACUUAUUUUUGUUUCAUAAGCUGUACUAAACUUUACAACACUCGGUUUCAUCCUGCAAUAUUGGCUAAUUUAUCCAAUCUUGCUGAGACGGGUUGCUUUAGUAGUUGUCCCCCAUCCUAAUCUCCGUUCAUGCAUUUAUUGGUUGAUGUAGAAAAAUUGUUACACUAUCAUGUUCUGGCAAUUUCCAUCAAAAUAACCAUAUUUGAUAUAACAUGGAGUGGUCAAAAACUAAAUGCUUGAAACAGAUCAAAGGUGACCAACCAAAUAAACAGAGUAGUAUUGCAAAUUAAAAUUGAACCACAUACAGGAAUUUGGGAUGGAAUAAUGGUGAACCAAAAAAAUCUCUUAGAUCACAUCAGAAUUCAGAACCAACAAAAAAGAACCUGGAAAAUGAAUAUUCAGUUGCUAAACAAGCUCGAUAUAUGCCAUCGGUGCAUUGUCCCCUCGCCUUGGUAGAGUUCUUAUUAUUCUAGUGUAUCCUCCAUUCCUCUCUCCAUAUCUUUCGGGAACUUCAGCAAACAAUGCAUGCACUAUCUGCUUCUCAUAGAUGAACCCAAGAGCUUGCCUUCUCUUAUGAAGAGAGCCAUCCUUCGCCAUUGUGACCAUUUUGUCUACAUAUUUUCUCACCGCCCUGGCCCUCGCUUUAGUGGUCUUUAUACGCCCAUGCUUGAGGAGCUGAGUUGUGAGACCUCUCAGAAGUGCUCGGCGCUGAUCAGGAGGUCUAUUCAGUUUGGGCACCUUCCUGCCAUGUCUCAUGGCAAAAACUCGGCCACCACUAUCAAUAAUGGUGAAUGAGUCCUCAAAACUUUUUGAGUCUGCAAUAUAAAUUAAAGGUAUACUUAUGGUAGAGCAAUAUAUUCACACACAAGUUUGAUCAUUGAGUAAUGUGAACUCAAAAUUAUAGGCAAACUUGAUCAAAGAUAAUAAAACAACAAAUUUGGUAUAAAACAACACUAUUAGGAGAGUCAUAAAUCAAGAGCUCAAUCAUAUGCUGCAGACUGACAGGGAAGGAUGUUCACAGACUAAACUCUAGCAGUAGAAAUGCAAUACCCGCUGAACUAUGUAUAGGAGCUAAUCAAGAAUUCUCUAUUAUAGAGUGAUACCAACCACUAUACAUAGGACUCCACAACUCCCACCAAGGGUAGAGCUACAAGCCUGUCAACAGUCCAAUGCACUAAGCUCGCAAUAUGCGGGGUACAAGGAAGGGCUCUGAAUCACAAGGGUCAUUAUACGCUGCCUUACUCUGCAUUUCUGCAGGAAGCUAUUUCCACAGCUUGAACCCGUGACUUCCGGGUCACACAUCAAAACUUUACCGGUUACACCAAGGCUACCCUUCGUACUCGUGCUUGCAUUUGUGGUUAAAAAUUCAGUCAGGUGUUAGUGUGUACAGAAAAAAAAACUGUCUUAUAAGAAACUAGAAUCCAUAAACUGAAUAUCAUAGCUCCGCCUAACUUCCCACCCCUAUACACCACAAUUAACAAGAAGGGGCUUAAAAAAAAAGGAAAAUUGGGUUUCCUUACACUAAAAGAUGCAAACUUUUGUUCAAACACAGACAAUGCAACAUCAAAGAAAUUACAUAUACUAAGUAACACCAAUUGGAGUAAAACGUAAAAUAGUGGUUUGAAAUCUUGAAAAAAACAUAUUUUUUGCACGAAUCUUAAUCAGAAAAAAUGCUACCUUGAGAAGAAAGGGACAAAAGUGGAUGCAGGGGAGCAAGACCCACGAAGGACUGAAUAAUUGUUGAACUGGACUUGGGUUUGCAAAUCCUGAGACGAGAUGGAGAAGACCCAGAAGAGAAUCUAAGUGAUGAGUUUGAAAUUGGUUGAACUGUAGGGAGAGCCGAUUUCAAGCAAGACAUGCUCCAAGUUGCAGAAGCCAUAUCUUUCUAACUUUGAUUUCUUGCUUCUCUGCUUAUGUUCCGAAUGAGCUGUGGGUUUAUCUGAAUGGAUAAGUGAACUUUUAGUACCCCAACUCUACUCUAUAUUUUUCCUUUGGCCCUCUAACUUUUGUUUCUGUCAUUUCGACUUUCUUACCUUUUUCUUUUUAAGCAACCUGUCAUAGUUUUUUUCAGGAGAUAGAUAUAUUGUUUCCGAUAGAUCCUCCCUCAGUAUAAGGAAUUUUUUCAUCUAUCACAAUACUUUUUCUACCCUGUUUUCUUCGAAAUUACUUUUCGACUUAAAGCAAAAAAAGUAAGUUAAAAUGUGUGUAGUAGAUAUUCUUAUGUGUUACCGGUUAAAAGUGUGUUAACAAAGAGGCUGAGGUUACAAAAUGUUAUAUCAAGUAGAUGCCUAAUGGGCCAUAAAAGAGCUAAGAAGACAAUAUAGUCAAGAUUUCACGUAUUUGACAUUUGAGUUUCACUUUCUAUAUACUGAUGGUGUAAAAUAAGCUUUGCAAUGUCAUGUUUGAUUGCAGCAAUUUCCAUGAAAACAACUAUAUUUGAUACAAUAUGCAGAGGUCAACAACUAAAUGCUUGAAACAUAUCAAAGGUGACCAACCAAAUAAACAGUAACUGCAAAUUAAAAUUGAAUGGAAUAAUUGGUGAAACUAACAAAAUCUCUUAGUUCUCAUCAGAAUUAAGAACCAACCAAAAAUAUCCUUCGAAAUGAAUAUUCAGUUGCUAUACAAGCUCAAUGUAUGCCAUUGGUGCAUUGUCCCCUCGCCUAGGUAGAGUUCUUAUUAUCCUAGUGUAUCCUCCGUUCCUCUCUCCAUAUCUUUCCGGGACUUCAGCAAACAAUGCAUGCACUAUUUGCUUCUCAUAAAUGAAUCCAAGAGCUUGCCUUCGCUUGUGAAGAGAGCCAUCCUUUGCCAUCGUCACCAUUUUGUCAACAUAUUUUCUAACCGCCCUGGCCCUUGCUUUAGUGGUCUUUAUACGCCCAUGCUUGAGGAGCUGAGUUGUCAGACCUCUCAAAAGUGCCCGACGCUGGUCAGGAGGUCUAUUCAAUUUGGGCACCUUCCUGCCAUGCCUCAUUGCAAAAACCCGGCCACCAUUAUCAAUUAUGGUGAAUGAGUUCUCGAAACUUGUUGAAUCUGCAAUACAAAUUAAAGGUGUAAUAAUGGUAGAGCAGCACAACUUAACAUGCAAAAGCUGCAUUAGUAAAAUGAACUUCUUUUUAUAAAGUCAAGAGUAAAAUUGACUAAAUAAGUACGCCUCAACGUUCAAGAGUACACUAGGAAUUCACGUUUCUGAGACAGUUCCAAAUCUCAGACAUCAACAUCUUCAACAUGAUGUCUCAACAUCAUCAGCUAAUCAGUUCGCUCAAGUCUCCUUCUGUUAAUGCUACAAUUAUAAUGAGAUCUGCUAUUUAGAUAACUAGUAGCGUGUUUGUAGUGAUACAACAUCUAUACAUCAGACUCUAUGUAAGUUUGUACGUGUGCUACAGUACCUAGUACACAAAUAUUAUACAUGUUUUCCACAUUUGAAUUAUUUCAUUCUUGACAACCCAGAUGAAACAUUGUGACUUCUCCAGUUAGACACCCCCUUUCCUAGAGGCUAGAAGUACCUUGAUUACCAUAUCGCAAUAGAAAUCUGUAGCCGCUAUCAAUUGCAUCUUCACACCUCCCUACCUUAACAUCCCACAACUUUAAUGAGAAAGAAUAGGAAAAUAGCUAACCCUCUCGCCUAGUGGGAUGUACUGAGGCUAGUCUCUCUCAAACCCCACUUGAACAACAGUAAACUCAAAUCUAAUGAAGGAGAUCCACAAUUUGAACAAAGGUACACGGUAUCUUUCCUACCCCUUUCUAUUUCGAGUCCCUCCUUUAUCAGAAUGCACCAACCGCGCAAAAUAUAGCUUGGCUUUCCUUACUCUAAAAGAUGCAAGCUUUUGUGCAUUCACAUGCUUCAGGGAACAAACUAACACACAAUGUGGCAAUUUCAACUAGCAGCAUACAACCAAAAAUAAUGUAGACAUUGCCAAUCAUAAGAAAAAACCAGGAAUACUAAAAGGGAUUCAAAAAUUUUCAAGAAUGCAACCCCUUAGAAUUGAACUUGCAACCAAAAGCAAAUUUUCAGCCACAUUUCCCUCUACACUAGAAACUUCUGUAUCUUAGAAGGAAUUCAACAAUUCAUCUAUACAAAAAAAAUAAAAAUCAUCUGUUUCAAUUGAACCCCUUCAAUACAUGUAACUCCUCCCCUGUUUCCGAGGGCAAUGUAUCAGCAUGAGUUAUCCAACCCCCACACCCACACCCACACCCACACCCCAUUUUUUAAAACUAAAAGUAACACCCAUUGGAGCAAAAGGUACAAUGAUGGUAUUUAACUCUUGAAAUUUAUCUAUUUGCACAAAAUUAAUCAUAAAAAUUUUACCUUGAGAGAAAAGGGACAAGAGUGGAUGAAGGGGAGCAAGACCCUCGAAGGACUGAAUAAUUGUUGAACUAGACUUGGGUUUGCAAAUUGUGAUACGAGAAGGAGAAGACCCAGAAGAGAAUCGAAGUGAAGAGUUGGAAAUUGGUUGAAUUGAAGGGAGAGCUGAUUUCAAACAAGACAUGCUCCAUGUUGUAGAAGCCAUAUCUGAUAUCCUCAAGCUUGUGUUCCUAAUUCUCGUGGGUUUAUCUAAAUGAACAAAAGUGAAUUUUGGUACCCUAAUUUUGCUCUAUAUUUUCCUUCAGCCCUAGACUUCUGCUUCCUGUCAUUUUUAACCCAAUAACUUCUUUUUUUUGGAAAUAGCCACAAUUUCAAAAGUUAGGUUGUGUUCGGAAUUUUAGUAGUUCAUUUGGUUGUCUACGUGAAUAUUCAUUGAUUAGAUACGGCUACUUCCUCUUAACAUAUACUCCUUUUGUUUUGAUUUAUUUGUCUUUUUAUAAAGUAAAAAAAAACUUUUUAAAAAAAGUUUGCCUUCGGGGUGGCCAGUGAUUAGGGCUUGGACUUCCAUGUUGGAGGUCUCAAGUUCUAAAUCCCCUGCCAGCGAAAGCAAGGGGUUUCCCUUCUGGGUCGAGCUCGUCGCACCCGACUUGCCUAGUGUGGGUUACCUCUCCUAUGUAGUUUGCGAGUUAUUGCAUAGGAGCGGAGUUUUUACCCAGUGCAUAUUCAAAGGGUAGCAGCUAUGAGUUUUCCUUGUCAUAAAAAAAACCUUUUAAAUCUUGUGAUAUUGAGCUAAAAAUAUAUAGAAUGUAUCCAAGUAUCUUUUGCGGUCUCAAAUAUGUCAUUUUGAAAAAUUAGGAUUAAAGAAUUCUCAGAUUAAGGAGAAGAGACGUUGUUUCUUAAAUUGACUAAAAAGAAAGAUAAGACAAAUAAAAAAAAUAAUUCUCACAUUGGCUUGUGCAUGAAAUUAGCAACUCUUAUUUUGGUGAUCUACAAGAAUAAGAAACUUAUUACUAUAUUGUUUAAAUUUUUAAAAAUUAGUUUCAUUUUGAAUUCACUAACUCUACUCGCAUCAAUCUAUCCGAUCGCGACCCUUGAGAAGGCCAAAAGAUAGACGCGUAGAAAGUUUCAUGAAUGUGGCGGCCACACAUAAGAUCCCAAAUUUUUGGUGGCUGAUUGAGAAAUUUGAUUUGAUUAUGAUAGGAAAGUGAUAAUCCUUUGGGAAUGACAUUCAAAUCUUUCAAAGUUUUGUGAUCCCACCCUUUUCGUAUGUAUAUACAUAUAUAUAUAAAUUUAAAUUGGGUUAAAAAAAUUUGAAGUCUAUCGCAUGCUUUAUUCGUAACUCAAAAAGUUAAAAAUACUGACUCCGCCUCAAAAGAUCGAAAGGAUCCUAUGAGAAUUUUGUUUUCUGUUAGUACAUUUUUGCUGUUUGAAGUACAAUAUAAUCGGAAGAUAAAGCCACUAAUAUGAAAGGCAAUUAGGCAGCCAACCUAUAAUAGCAGAGAGCAAACAAAACAUAAAACGACAAGAAUGUGUUACUACAUGAAAUUGAUUUGAUAGACAUAAGAUAUCUAACGUUAAAUAUGUGUAUAUAUCUAUAUACACACUCACAAUAACACAUCUAAUAGAAGAAGAAGAAGGAGGAGGAAAUGUUACAUACUUUACAAGAAUAAAUAAUCGUGAGCUAAAAUUUUGGUAUCUUAUUUAAUUGUCAAGUUUGAAAUAACUUACCUUUAUUAUUUAUACUGUAGUGAUAUAAUAAAUUAUCUCUUAUAUAUUAGGAUAACUUAUCACAGGAUAACUAAUACCAGUACCAAAAUAAUUAAUGUGGAAAACUAAGAGAGGAUUUGAGAUUCUCUUUACUAGCAAGUUGACAAAUGCAAGUAUAUAUAUAAGAAAGUAUAAAUAACAACUCCUGCCCCUUCACUGCCAAAAGACAAGAGAAAUCCGAACAUGGCUAAAUUUUUCGUUAAAUUACUUGUAGCUAAAAUAAUUUUUUUAAAUAAUUCUUCAUUUAAAAAUAAAAUUAACGAUAAAUUUUUCUUUUAACCAUAAUUUAAUCUGUCACUAAUUCCUGAUUUUGUUUUAGUAGUGAAGCAUUAUGCUGGCUUGGUCCUAACAUCAUUACAGUAGCAUUCCGUCACUAUUGAAAAUAGAUUAUUUCUUUUCACUGAUUGAAUGAAUAAUAUAUGAUGUGAAAUCUGACUUUUUUUUCACAUUUUUCGUCGAAUCAGACUAACUGAAAACACAUUUUUUUCAUAAAAUACUAAAAGUUUCCUCAAAAAUAUUUUUGUAGGAGAACACUAUUUUUUAGAAAUAAAAUUAGGAAAAAACUUGGGUCGAUCAUAAAAUUAAAAGUGUUACUUUGCAGUCUAAAUAAGAUUUUAAUGCAAAAAACUGUCGGUAGGUAUUUAAUUAAUUAAGCUCUAUAUCAUGCAUGAGAUAGUUUUUACAGAAUAAAAAUGUCUUCUUGUCAUUUGAUUUGAUAUUGUUUCACGGGUAAAAAAGAAGCUACAACCUCACUUUUAAUUUAUUUAAUUGAUUUUAACUCGUCAUAUAAUUUUAUUAUUAUUAUUAUUUUAAAUUAAAGAUAUAUAAAAUAAUUUAUUUGAUCAGAUACUUACUUUUUCCUAUUUUUAAUAAAAGAAUAAGAUGAUAAAUUAUCUCUAGUAAUAUACUACAGUAUUCUAUAUCUCUUAAAAAAAUACAAAUGAGUUUGAUUAAAAAAUUACCGAUAAGCUUAUUGCAUAUAAGAUUGAGAAAAUAAUUAAAGCUUACGAAUUCUAUACGGAUAUACCUUUCAAUCUUAUGAUCUUAAACAUGUCACGUGAAUUAUUAUAAUAAAAAAUUGCCAAAAAGAAUUUUUUUUUGAACGGACUAAAAAAAUCACAAAUAAAUCAAAACGAAAAAAAUAUAUAACGUAGAAUUUAUCCAUAUUUCAUGUUUUUUUAAAAAAAUAAUGUGAUCAUAUAUAAGUAAUCUAUUUGAGACAGUGUGAGUAAAACCUUUUUAGAUCUAAUUCUCCUUACAUAACCACAUCAUCCUACUAUAGAAAUUAAAACUGAAUUUGCAAAAUAUAUGUUCAAAUUAUUAUUUUUUUUAAAAAAUAAACGGCAGCAGAAAGGUCAUUUUCCCUUAUAUAUUGUCAAGUAUAUAUUGUCUCAAAACGUAUUUCAAUUAAUAUUAAAUCAAUAUUGUCACCUACACUAAUCAUUCACCCAAUUAUCCACACAAUAAUAAGUAGAGAAAAUAUGCAAUUUAUUAAAAUAUAUUGUUUUUUUAAAAAAAAAAUAGACAAUACAUUUAUUAGUAACCCUCCGUGAAACAAAAAACUACAACGAUCAAUAAAAUAAGACAAAUAACAUGUUAUAAGAAAUCAAGUUAAAUUUUUUUUUCUCUACUAUUCGAAUAUAUAUAAGUGAAACUCAAAAUAUACUAGUGAUGAAUAACAAUAAUUGAUGUAAAUUCUUCAUGUCAAGCAGUUUCCAUUUUGUUCAAUGAAUUUUAUGAGUUUGAAAAUGACAGUGAAAGAGAUAUGAAGGUUUUAUUACAACUUGCAAGAUCUUAAUUAAUUAAAAUUAGGAUCUUUAAAGAUUUUUCUGUUCUUCACCUAAUUUUGUGGACCCUAUGCUUUACUAUAUUAUGUCCUUAAAUACUCAAUUAAGUAAGUCGAUUUGUGUUGAUUAAAAAUAAAUAGUGUCAUAUUAGGCAAGUGUUUUAAUAUAAUAUAAUAUAAUAUAUAUUUGUGAGUGAUGAAUUCUAGAUUAAGCAAGAAAAAUAAACAUAUGCCAUGUUCAGCAUGUAAGCUUCUUCGUAGGCGAUGCACUAAAGAUUGUAUUUUCUUGCCUUAUUUUCCACCUACUGAACCACAUAAAUUUGUUGUUGUUCAUCGUAUUUUUGGUGCUAGCAACAUCACCAAAAUGUUACAAGUAAGUAUCAUUCGUAAUAUUAUUCUCGUAGUUUCUUGUUCUUUCAUUUUCCAUUACCGCAUACAUGUGUUUUUUUGUGCUUUCCUUACCAUCUAUGAACUUUUUACCAUAUUGUAUUUAAUAAUUCGCUUUUGUCAUUACUAUCAUCUUUGUUUGUUUUUUUUCAAAUUACAAAUUGCUUUGAAAUGUUUUACUUGACUGGAGGGUUUAUUGGAAAUAAGAAUCGAUAAAAUCUGCAUACAUUAUACUUUUUUCAGAUUUCAUAUGUAAGUUUAUAAUAAAUAUGUUGAUGUCGUUGUCUCUAGACUAGGUUGUGCGUCACACCAGCUAUCUAUUAUAUAUCUCCUACUAGCAAAAUAUUAGAUAACUCUGCUACCGUGAGUUAAAUGAAUUGGAAGAAAUUACCAAAGCCUUUUAAUUGCUACUUGAAUUUGAACCAUAAUGUUUAACUUUAUAUUAUUAUAUUAUACACAAUGAAAAGAGAGCAUAUAAAGUGUAAAGAACUAGCACAUUCAAUUUCAUAUUUACUAAUUAUGUCAUUUUAAAUUUUUAAAUUUAUAAUAUAAUAGUGCAAAAAAAAAAAAAUCAUUAAAAGUUAACUACAGAACUACCUUAUAAGAUAAAGUAGAAUCAGUUCAAAAAAAAUAAUAAGGCUGACAAGAUACUAUAAUAAUGUAUUAAAUAAUACACCCAUAAACGAGCCAUCAGUAGCGGAAUCAAAAUUUUCAUGAAAUGAAUUUAACAUAUAUUAUGUUUACGUAUAAAAUAAUUUUAACCUUGUAUACAUAGCAUAUCUGGGAGUUUUUUUUUUUUUUGUAUGUUUGAGAUUAAUUUUUCAGCAGGAGAUACCAAUGGAUAAUAGAGAAGAUGCAGUAAUCAGCAUGGUUUAUGAAGCUACAGCAAGACUCAGAGAUCCAGUUUAUGGCAGUGUAGGCAUUAUUUCUGCCCUCCAGAAACACAUAUUUCACUUACAAUCCGAGUUAAACGAAGCUUCAGCUGAAGCAAUGUCUCUCAGAACACAAUUAUCCGAUGCUUCAACAUCAUCCUUACCCUCAUCCUUAAUGCAAGUUUCUCCAUUCACACCCGAGAACCACGAGUUUCACCAUUCCCAGAACUCGAGCCAGCAAAAUGCAUAUUCUAAUAAUGACUUGCAGCUUAUACCUCCAGAAGCAGCAGACUAUUGUUUCCAACAAACUGAUCAAGUUCUUCAUCCACUGCCUUACUAGAAGAACAUAUAGUUAUCCCAACAUGGACAAUAUAAAGUCAAUAUUUCCUUUUCAUUUAACAAACACAUUCUCAUGUUUUUUCCUUCCAUUGUUGCUCAUCUAGUAAAAAAUUGUAAGAUUAUACUACAGAAACUGUACUGAACGAAAUUGAAACCAAAUAACUACCAAUGAAAAUUUCAUACAAACUAUGAAAGAAAGGUAACUGAAAGUGUGCAUGAUCAUUGUUAUACAUUUCAGUAUCAUUUAACCGAGGAGGGAACAAACUUUCAAACUCAGUAUCUAGUAUCAAUACUACAAAAGCCUGGGCAUUCUAAACAAGAUACCCAGUGAAAUAACAUGAGUGGGGUCUUGGAAUGGUAGAGUGUAAGCAGACUUUACUCCUACCUCGUGGAAGUAGAGAAGCUAUUUCCAAAGGACACUCCGCUCAAGUGCAACAAAUCAAAAUAGUUAUGAAAAGGAAAAACACAAUGAAGAAAACAAAGCAACUAACAAGGAAUUCUUCUUAUGCAAUCGACUGCAUAUUUUUGAAUCCUUCACAGGGGUUAUCCAGAAGAACGAACAUAAAAUCAUUGAUAUAACAUCAGUAUCUUGUACAACUUUCAAGUAUAUAUGACAGGACAACAACAUCAGAGUAAAAGGCUUGAAGGAUAUUGUGAUGGACAGAACUACUAUCUAAGCCUAUCUUGUAAAGAAGAUUUAAGAAAUAUAACCUUCAAAUUACAAGGUAAAAUCAGGGAUGAUUGUUAACAACUGAGAUAUUCACCUUCCGUGACAAAAUGAAGGGCUUACAUUGGCUAAAAGGUAUGAGUUUAGUAAGGAUAUAGUUAUGUGAGAAGCUGGGAAGAAGAGGAUCAGAGGCCAACAUGAUUUAGUGACCAUGUAAAAGAUCCUCGGGUUCCAGCUCCAUUCCUAACCGAUGUUUAAUGGAAGAUUGACUAUUCACUGGUAAUUUGAUUUUCUUUUGUAAUUCGACAAACCUCUGAAUAUCAAAAUCAUGCUUCUUGAUCAGCUUCCUCUGCCUUGAGAGGAAAAGCCUCUUCAGCACAUCUUGGUAUGAUGGGUCUCUAGAAGUAACAAGGAAGUAAGCAUAACCUAUUACUAUUCCAGCAGAAGUUGUAAAAAAAGCAAUUGGCUCCAUCACAUCCCAAGAGAAUUCCCAGAACGUAAGACGGAAGAAGAGCCCAACCUGCAAAAGGCCAGCCCCUAAACCAGCCCACAAAACGCGACGCACAUGCCUAUGGGCAAGCUCAUCUAUUUUAUCCUUCUUCUCUUGCAGAAUCUUUAGUUCUUCUAUUGUGGGGUCAUCUUCGGGUAGAAGUGCCAAGGGAACUGCCUUUCUAAUUUCAUCCACUACCUGAAAGAAAAGAAGGAAGAACAUGAAACUGAAUAUUUCAAUAGUGAGAAAACUUUUAAGAGGGCCAGCUAGAAAUGGACGUUCUAUUAAGAAAUGUCACUAAAAUUCAAAUCCAGAAACAACCAAGUAUGCAUUUAGAACUGCAUUCUUACUCUCUAUUAAGCGAUAAAUUUGUGAUCAAAGAAAGCAUAGUUCUAACUCUUUCAUGAUUUCCUAAUUCUCGUUGUCUCAUUAAAUUAGAAAAUAAGUAAUUGGACGAUGUUAUGCAAAUAGAGAAAAUACAAAAUAUGACCCCUAAACUUGUCCACAUAACUUAUUUAUGCAAAUUGUAUGUAGUUUAUUGAUAAAAUAAGUGAAGGCUAAAGCUAAAAAGGAACAAUAAAAUAAGACAGUAAAAAUAAAACCAAUUGAAAAAAUGGUGUUGUACACGUGGCAGGCACGUAGCCCUCCUGAAAAUGAAUCUAGGAUUUUUCGGGAAGGAGUAUUAAUUUCCCUUCAAAUUAAAAAGGGGGUAAAUAAACGCUUGUAAAGUUGCAGUGCUAGACUAAAUUACGUGGAGAAGUUUGGGGGAGAAGUUACACAUUUUCUCAUGCAAAUACAGAAAAGAAGUAAUAGAAGCAUGACGUGUCCAUGCAAAUGUGACAACCCCCUCGGGAUUCACAUAUUCAGGUAUUGUCUCUGCCAUGGGCGGCCAUGCAGCUUAAUUGGUGAAAGGCGAUCUCCUUGGGAGGGAUGUAAAGGAGCCAUAGGUCACGGUUCGAUUCUCCCUUGAGGCUGCAUGCCAAUAAGAGGGGAUUAAAAGAGCGAAUGGCCGCCCAUGUUGGUAAGAGGCGAUCUCCUUGGGAGGGAUGUAAAGGAGCCAUAGGUCACGGGUUCGAUUCUCCCUUGAGGCUGCAUGCCAAUAAGAGGGGAUUAAAAGAGCGAAUGGCCGCCCAUGGCAGAGACAAUACCUGAAUAUGUGGAUCCCGAGGGGGUUGUCACAGCAAAAUAAGGCAUAUUUAUACUAUCAGCUAAUGGACUGAGAAUCUAGCAGAUUUUAGGCAAUAUGAGACGAUGUCUACAAUAAGGGAGGUGGUUAUGGAAUGAGAAAACUAACAAGAGUUCGUUCUCCACAAUUCUUAUAUUAUUGCUUAUUGAAAGCCUAUUCAAUAAGUUUCAGCAUGCAACCAGCAUAUCAAACAUCACCAAUCUCCAAUCACCAUCACCAACCCCUGCCAGACUGCCUUACACCUUUCAUUGUGAUUCUCAUAAAUACUCCAAUCAAAGGCAGGACAUUCACACUGAUUGACUCUGCUAGUUUAUAUUGAUCUAAGGAAACUGCGAUGCAACUACAAAACACAUCAGUUAAUCCAAGCUCACACCAUUGAUUGAUACCAUGUUCUCGAAUUAAUGGUUCCAAUUUUCUGAUGAAAUUGAUUACUAACCGUUAACAGCUAAUUCUUAGGAAAAACUAAUCAAUAUACGUCCUUGUUACGUUGCAUAUAUUACCAAAGGCUGACAGAAAAAGCAGAACAAGUGAGCGAAGCUAAAGAAACUAUGUCGUUCUUGGCUCUGGAAAUUUUAGCAUAUGCUACUGACUGUAUGCUUUCCUGUUUCCCCUUCCUUCUACGUUGCCGGUAAUAGAUUCUCCUCACAACACCAAAAAGCGAAUAAUAUUCCUUCCCCCGUCUUAGAGGGCAAUGAAACCAACCACCACAGUGAUACCCUCAAAGAUCUCAUCUUUUUCAUGAUCUUAUUAUCCUGAUGUUGUCACUACUUAUGUCUUCAUAAAUGUUCUGUUUUUGAUUCCCCUGAGCCGAGAAUAAAACAACCUCCAUACCUGCCAAGGUAAGGUAAGAUCUACAUACACUCUAAUUGCCGUUUCUGGUUUCCUUAUAUAUUACAGUUAGACAAUGUAAUUUAUACAUAUCAAUCAUCAAUCAAACACCUUUUACACAAAACAUUGAAAACAAAUCCAUAAACAUAAAAAACUUAAAAGAGAAAAAAGCAAAUAAUCACCUUAUCAGGAUGAAGAUAAACUUUAUCUCUGAAUAGCAAUAUAACACCAGCCUCAUCAAGAACUCUAGCAAAACCAACAGCUUCAUCAUGGGUUUUAGCCACACCCAUAUUCUUACACGCCUUUAACAGAUCCAUAUACCCAAUAACCUCCGUAUUCUUCAUCCCCAAUUUCCACUUCAGCUCCUCAACAUUCACCAAUCUCAUCAACCUCUUAGCUUCCUCAUGAGUAAUACUAUCCCCAUUCUUGUUUUCCCCACCCCCAUUUGACCCAGAGCUAAAAUAGUACCCACCCACCAUUCUGGUCGGGCCACAAUAGCACCCGAACUUAUAAUCCACACCCAAAAACGGCCUCACCCCAUUGUUAACCGUAUUUGUCCUCGCAACCAAUGUAACUGUCCGUUUCAAUAGAUUACAGGAAUUUCUCCACAUCUUUGACAAAUUAAAGUUGAAAAUUGGGAAUAAGAGUUGAAAUUGUUUGAGAAAUAGAGUGUUUAUAAGAAACGAGAAUGGCGGUAUGGUCUUGUAACUGUUGAAAUGGAGUUUACGAAAGCCAUCGAAACUCCGGCAAAAUGAGAGAGAAAAUAGGGUUACGAGCAACGCAUUUGACACGGUCACACGCUUCAAUUGAUGCGACACAUGUUCUUUUACCAAACUUCCUAAUUUUUUUUUGGAUAAAGUGGGUCAUCAAAAGAUUAGAUGUCUCUAAAGAUCAUGGUCUAUAAUUAAUUUUGAUUCGAUUAAUUUAAAUUUAUAUUUUAAAUAUUAUUUUUUAAAUGUGAUUUGAAAAUUAAGAGAUUAAAUCAUUUUAAUUAUAAUAUUUUAAAAAACUCAUUUUUAAUUUCAACGACAUGUUAUAAAGUUUAUCCAAUUACACGAAAAUCAAGAAACUUUACUAAAAUAAAGAUAGAUCAUAAAGAAUUAUUUUCAACAGGAUAAGAAUAAUAGGUAGAUUCUCCCCAAUAGUUCACAUCGAUGAAAAGGCUUUGCAUCUUAUGUUGCUAUCGCAGCGUUAGCUAAUGACUUAAAAAAAUUAUUUUCGAUAGAUCUUCAAUCAAGAGAAAUUUUAUUAGAAUUGUAAAAAUUAUUAACAUGUUAAUUUUUUAUUUUUUUUUUACAUGGCCCUAAAAUAAGAUUAUGAUACUCUUAUUUAUUAUUUUAAAUUCAUAUAUUUUUCUUUUAUGCAAUUAAUUAGAGUAUAUGAAAUUUAAAUAUAAUGAAAGGUCUUUAAUUAUCACACUUAUAUGUGUUUGAAAUAUUUUAAGAGGGUGAAUAUAUACCAUAAUUUUGUAUGUUGAUAAAAGGGACGAAGCACUAUUAUUAUUAUAUUAAUUAAUAUUAAUAAAACGGAACAAUUGCUUGAUUAUGAAGAAUCCACCAACAAACGUGAUUUAAGAACUUUUUUGUUUCUUAUCUUUGAAUAAAAUAAAAUAAAGAUUCUUGUUAUUGGCAUUACCUUUCCUUGGUAGUAUAAAAUUAUUCUGACCAGAGUCCCUUUGAGUGUUCUAGCUAUUUGUUUAAGAGUUGAUGUUAUCAUUUAAAAAAUAGUUAAUAGUAUAAAAAAAUUACAGUACUUACUUUAGCACGUAAAUUAAAUCCUUUUAUUUUAAUAUUAGAUUUGAAAUAUGGACACAAGUAAUACCAAAAAAGUCGGUAUUACAAACAAACAAAGAAUGUCAUUUUUUUUUUCAAAUUAAAGAAAUUCAACUUGUUUGUAAUCGUUUUUUUCAAGGAUGCUUGGCAAGGCAUGACAAAUUUGACUUACACGGCUACCUUUCAUCUCUAAAUUAUAUUUUGAUAUUUUUGAACAUUCUUUGAUUCAAAGCUUCAUUUUAUUUCAAUUGAAAAAGUAAAUACCGUUUCAAGAACAAAUUUAAUUUUAUUUUCGUAUUAAUUUUGUAUUGUUUUUUAUGUUGAUGCUUUUUUUGUGUCUAAUUUCACGUAAUCUUUUUCAAGAUCAAUUUGAUAUUUUGAAAAAAUAGAGCUCAAAUUUCCUUUGUUUUCUAUAUCUGAUCCACACUCUCUUUGACUUGGAGGUUGUUUUGCUUCUUUUCUUUUUAAUUUGAAUACAGAUGAAAAUGUAAUUCAAAAUAAAAAAUAAAAACAAAAUUUUUUUCUACCAUCAAAUAAAAAUGACACGUCCUUUGUGGUGUUGUUUUUAUAUGUUUUAUGUCUUAGCCAAAAUCGAAUUUGUCAUGUCAACAAAUCGAGUUAAUUGAACAGGUAACAUUCUAUCUUUGAAAGAUCUUGCAUGUUUUUUCGUUCUUUUAUAUGAGGAGUAUAAAUUACUAUAGUGAAACAAAAUUUACUUUACGCACACUAAAAAAGAUAUGGAGUAUUUAUCGACAAGAAAGGAAUAAAAUUGACAUGCGGAGCUUAGUCAAUUUACGGAAUUAAGUAAGACCUUAGGCCAAUGGAUAUAGAUACAACUGUACUCGAUCGUUAUUGUUUCUUCGUAAUAGAGCCAUGUGUGUGCAUUCUGAAAAGGAAAAGAAAAACGUAACGUAUUAUAGACAAAUUGUCAAAUGUCAAUUGCCAUCAACCACCAACAUAGGUACUCGUUGAAGAAUCCAAUAAUGGAUGAAAAUCAAAGAUUCAUUUUUUUACGUGGUUAAAUCUCAUCCUGAUUACUUCCUCCAUUUUAAAAAAUAUAUCCUAAAUUGAUUUGAAACGAAGUUUAAGAAAAGAAAGAAUGUUUUUUAAUCUUGUGAUUUUAAAUUAAAUUAUGUCAACCAAAAUGACUUUUAAUCUUAUGACCUUAAACAUGUCAGGUAAAAAGUUAAAGUAUUAUAAAAAAAAGGAAAGGAGUCGAUUUUUUGAAACAAACUAAAGAAAAUUGAAUUAAGGGAUUUCGAUCUUGAGACCUCCAAUAUGAAAGUUCCAAGCCCAAAUCACUAGAUCACCCCAAAGUAUUAUUUACCAAUGUUGGAACUCCAUAUUAAAUUCUGACGCUCCAAAUGUCCAGCCUUGGUACGAGGUGGAGUAUUAAAGAGUCUCACAUCAAAUGAAACAGGAUGGGUGGUCUCCUUGGCUUUGGAAUAUUAGGCGCUUAGAUAGAUGAGAAAAAAUCACAUGAUGCUUUGAACCCUAGGUCUACCAGGUUUGCACCAUAAGGGAAUGAAUUAGAAACAAUUUUUACUAGUGGAAUUCAAUCAAAACUGAAAACUUUGAAGGCAACCAUUUUGCACCAUCUUCUCAUACCACAUAUUAGCCUGCUCCAAAUUCCCUUCAUCAACAUACACUUUUAUCAUAUUAUAGUAGCUGAUUGAAACCCUUCUUAAUGAUCUCCUCAAACAACUAAAUCGCCUUUGACACCUCAGAAACUUUAAGUAAACCUCAUAAUCUAAUAUCAUAACUGCAAGUAUCAGGAAGAAUAUUUCUCUUUUUCCAUCAUAACUCACAAGUUUUCAGCCUCAGAAAACCUUUUACUAUCAGAAAGUGCUUUUAACAAUGUAUUAAUCCCCCAUGCUUUUCAAUCUUAUCCAUCAAAAGCACAGCAGAAUACACAAAACCAGCCUUGCACAACGCCUUCAUCGCGAGGUUAUAGGAUGUUAAAUUAGGCACAAUUGACAAUUUCUCGCGUAAUUCACGAAACAGCAAGCCAAUUUCAUGAUGCAUGAUUUCAAAAGGACGUUGAAGGAAUAGACAGUCCGCUGACAAUCUAGUUGUGGCAUUUCGUCAAACAGGUUAAGUGCAUUUUUGUGAUCUCAUACCGGAGAAGUAUUUGGCUUUGGCAAGGCGGUGAACAGCCAUGUCAAAAUUGAAACGCCGCCGUGGGAACUCAGGACAUAUUGAUGAACUUUUCAUGAAAUCUACAAUUCCUUGAUGUGUGUGAUUGGUGGGGUUUAAAGAGCUAAAAAUUACUUCAUCCGUCCAUUUUUACUAAUCCACAAGCCCCGAUAUAAUUUUGAAAAUCAAAAGAUAAUUUAUGUGCUAAGUAUUUAUGGUGAACCUUCUCCUUAUGGUGCACCUUUAACGCCUCUUUACUUCGCAAAUAACAUGAAAUGAAUGCAAACGAAUUACAUAAACAAUUUUCAAGUAGGGAUAAGCCUCUGGGCAAAUGCCACUAUCCAUAAACACUAAAUCAGAAUUUAUAUUUCUCUCUAUCAGGAAAAAGGGCUAAAAUAUCUUUCGACUAUAGGAAUUAAAACAAUAAAACGGUUUUUCCCUCCGUUUAAAUUUCACCAUGAAUGUUCCCUUACCACACUGCAAAAUCAACUACUGAUGGCUAGUUGAAGCACCUGAUGUUCCAUGGCAGUUUUCUCAAUAAAAAAUACAAAACUGAUGUGUUGAUUCUUAUUGAGGUAAAGAAUCACCUAAGAUGCUUUUAGUUCCACGGAUAUGAUCGAUCAAAAGUUUAUCCUUGUUUAAACUGACUGCCUCCUCUAUUCUCCCACUGUCAGCCCAAAUCCGAACUUGUAAUCUUUCUUUUUAUGAUCAAUCUGCAGGCACCAUCAGGAGCAGAUUUAUAACAGUUGAGUAGCCAAAGUGCACAAGAUAGAGACUUGUAAAAACGCGAAAGUUGUUUUGAAAGUAAAAGCUCAAAGAGUAAAGCAUAAUUGAAAUUUGUAUGCCAUCUCCUUGAGAAGGAAAAAACUGCACCCGAGAUGAGAGAGGUGGAUGUUGAAGAGAAAUUAUAUAAAGAAAAAGAAUUAGACCUGCAGCACAUAUGACACUUACCUCGGCAGAAAGAAUGAAAUUAAGACCCAUGUUCAGGCGUUCUUCCAGGAAAGCAGCAACACAGCCGUUGGAAUCAAUCUUUCCUCUAAGACGACACUGCAAUGCACACAAUAUUACUGAUCUUGACCACCUUUAAUAUAAAUGAGCCAACUACAGCUAUGCACCCAAAAUAACAUGAGAAAGUCCAAACAUAGACUUAUAAUAUUAACUAUCUUGUGAUCAUCAUAAUACAUGUAGCAACUAGAAUAAUGCCUAAUCUUAUGCGUAAAAAUUUACAGAAGGGAAUGAGAAUAUUGACGUCGUUUUGGCAUCAAGGUGUCGAAAAAUCAGCAAAAAUAAUCUCUUGGAGUCUGCAUUUAAUCAGUUCAAAUUUAAAAGAUAAUUUUGCCAGAAUCAAACAUGCACACCAUUUGAACUAGCUCAAAUAAUUGCAGCAGACCAGCAGUGCAAUACACUCAUCAAAACCAGAUGACAGAUAGAUACUGAGUAAACUACAACUAGCAAGUGCAAAGCUUUGCAGCAAACAUUCUAACAGUUUGUUUGCCACAGAAAUUACCUGCCGAAGGAUGUAAUCAUAACCAACGCUUGCUGUUACAUCCCUAGACAUAUAGUUGUACAUAAAGUCUGAUGCUAGAGACACCUGCAUGGAAGAAAGUCAAUUAUCAAGCCUACUCAUCAUUAACUCUAUCUCUAGACUAGGGAAUGCCUUUGUAAAACCUUGUCAGAAACUUUCUGAACAUAGCCCAGUGCAACCAUUCCAGUGCUAGCAACUUGCCCUGUAGCAACCUGCAGGCAGAAUGAAACAUACACUACUUAGCAGAAAAAUUGAAUCAACCAAGCAAGUUGUAACACACUCAUUAAGCAAAAACCAUAAAUAUUGAAUUCUGGUGAAAUCAGCAAAAAUACAACACAAUGAAUAAAGGUGCUACUGUAAACUGCUUAAAUAUGUUUCAUAAAGGAAGAGAAGAACCAGUGCGAUUCCAUGAAAUUCUGCAUCACAAAUUAUUAAGAAAAGCUACAAAUAUAAAGCAAUUUGCUUUCCAGAAAACCUUUUAAAUUUAAAGGAGUUUAUAAUACAGAUAAUAGGGAGAUGCCAACAAUGGCCUCAACAUUUCCAGAGAUUUCUUUCAAAGGCGCUUACUAGUUGAACCCUUUUAAAAGAGACCAAAAUACGUACUGGUAAAAAUUGAAGUCCAUCAACUUUUAAGCAUGAUGACUAUGUAAACAAACACAGGAAAUUAACUAGUAGGAGUAAAAGGGAUAGCAGGGCUAGAAAAGGAAAUACAACAAGUAGUUUCCUUUUUAAAGGAAUAGAUCAAAUAUUUUCCUAAGAAGCAUGUGUCAAUCAUUAGACCAUGAUUACAUUCCAGAACACCUGAUUGGCACGAUAAAAACACAAGUAUUUAAGGGAACAAAUCACAAGGAUAUAAAAUAUGCCAGGUCGAUUUAAGUUGCUGGCAAAUAACUCUAAAGGAGAAGAACACACUAAUAUGAUAUCCCCAAAUAUCUGUCUAAUACUAAUAAAAAUUGAACUACAAAUAUAUCGAGGCAGACCAGGGUUCUGACGGCCGCGAGUGCACUAUUACAUCAAAUGAAAAUCUAUCACCAGACUAUAAAGACCCAUAAUAGCGAGCAUAUUCAGUUCGUGGUUAAUUUCAACUCAAUUCAAUUCUUUUAUUUAUAAGCAAGCGAUGAAACAAAAUUAGACCAACCCAUAAGAUUUUUCUCUCAAUAUGGAGGGACUGAUGGAGCCUUCUACCAAUGCACCAGCUGUAAUUUGCGCAUGCAGCUGCCACAACUAAUAUAUCUCUACUUCUUGGAGGUAAUUACAUGUAUAUUAGAUUUCCCGGUGCUGGUGCACCCUCAACCCCAACGCAUUGGUCCGCCUCUGCGCUCACACCCAUUAACAACUUCAUGUUCUAAAUGUUCUUUCAUGAAUUUAUGUAUCUUGUUGUUAUCAUAAUACCUUCAAAUUCCAAUUAUUAUGUUUUUAAAGAGCAUGCUACUCUAAUAGGAGUAUCUAAUAAUAAGCACUUUACCAUCUUAUCUGUAUUGUAACGAGCAGCAUAACCAAUGCCAGACUUCCGAUGCUGACCAGCCCAGAAUACUUCACCACCUAGAGACAAAUGUGGAGUGAUACUCUGCAAAAGAUAUAAAGGUACAUUGAUUGAUCAAGAAGUUGAAAUAAAUAUAAUGUAUGUUACAUACACCCAAAAAGUAAGUAAAAUGAACUCCAACCACAAUCGAAGGAAGCACAAGAAAAAAAUCAUCCUGCUUAUAUAUUAGUGAUGAAAACUGCAAAAUCAAAUUGCUUUCAGCUGUUGGUGUGUAACAAGUCCAUGAAAGUUGUCAAAAUUAUCGUUAUUUUAUGUUUGAUUCAAGAGCUCCAGGCCAUUGAGUAGAUAAGCCCUUUUAAUUUAAUGCUAAAAAUAUCAAAAAAUUAUGCAGUAUUAUUCACAUGUGAUGAACAUCACUCAAACAAGAAUUAUUCACAUGUGAUGAACAUCACUCAAUCAAGAAACUGUCUUUACAGAAAAUCGAAGAUUUAUGCAUAAGUGGUGCAUCAUUGGAGUAAAGCGCGGGACGAUCUGUUUGAUAUUUUUCUUACCACUUAAGUUUUUAGGAUCAUGAGGAUGGUGAGGAACAUCUUAAAGAUUCCAAAUCUAAACUAAGAUAUCUCGGUUAUUUUCAAGUUGGGCAUCAAAGGUAGUGUUUGAACUGGCAUUAGUCACAAGGUUUUUUCUCUUCUUUGCUUUUUCCCCAGAUGAUCUAUUUUUUGACACAACCUGAAAUUAUUUUUAUCAAAUAGAGACACUACAGGAUAUUUAUCUCUCGCUGACACUAGACGAAACUACCCUGAUGAUUAUUCUUUAUCUAUCUCCCAAUCUUGCUAGGUCUUAUUCCCAUUUGCCAGCGUGAUAUUUAUUCAUACUGUUACUCUAGCCCUGAUACACGAACCCUCUACACUGUAUUCCAAUUUUGUGAAAUUGUGGUAUUCCCUGCUUGAAUCAAAAUUGACUCUGUUUGAAACUUCAAGAUAUUUCAUGUAACUUGUGGACAUAAAUGUGUGAAACCUUUAAAUUGGUUUUUCCUGCAAAUGAUCAGAGACAAGGCCAUUUACUUUUGAAAAUAUUAGUGCUUUUAAUGAUGUAUUUUAUUGGCUAAUUUGCAGAGUUGCAAGUCUUGAUUAUUUACCUGGAUGUAGCUGGCUCCAAAUAAUGCACCAUUCCCCAAUUGAAACUGUGUUCUGUAGUCUUUACCCUUAACAAACAAAAAAAGACAAGAACACGCAAUGUUAGUCUUCCUAAGUCAUCUAGGCUAUACCGUAGUUUGUGCAUAGUAUGGGUUGACUUGAUCAGAAAUAGAAUACCACAUUACAUUCCAACCGAAAGCAUGAAUUAAAUCCAAUGACUUGCAUGCCCUGAGUUUCAUGCAUAAGAGUAAAGAAAAGUACCUUGUAAUCAAAAUUAACCAUGCCAUGCGACAUGUGUGGCUCACCCGUUAGCUGAUAAGAAGAAAAAUAUGAGUUAUAUGGCUUAUUCUUGAUAUAUAUUAAUUGCUUACCAACACUAUCAAAGGUAAGCAAUCAAAAAUACACAUACCUGACCAUUAGCCUUCAUUGCAAGAUUCUCAGACAACUCACACCUCACUCUUGCAUUCACCCUACCGUCUGUCAUUACUCUCCCAAAAAGCAUCAUCUGCAGGAAACAGUCAUUGCUCCAACACUCAGAUAAUCAUGUGGAUUUCAGACACUAGAUAGGGAUAGUAUCAAAUACACACCUUUGGAUCUAUAAAGUUGGCACCAAACUCAUAGUGAGCAGUUGGAAUUUUGACUACAUCUGUAGACUGAGUAGGAAGUUCCGUGGGCCCCAUGAAAACACUAACAGAAAUAGAAGCAGAUUUCUUUCAUAAUUGAGAAAAUAUCCCUCUCCAUCCAAGAAUGGGGAAAGCAUAGUAAUACAUCUGAUAUGUGUCUAGAAAUGCCAAAUCUACCUGUGACUGAGUGAAAACCUCUGAUUAAGUCCUCUGGUAAAGUCAAAGCGCAUCCCUUCAAAAAGCUCAGGCUUUAAAGACACUGCCAAGGUAAGACAUGCAUUAAUUGACACAUCCAAGAGGGAGUUGCUCGAAUGCUAAGCAGCACUCACUUCCAACCCGAAGGUUGUGAAUUUGAGUCACUAAGGGAGCAAAAAGGAUGGGAGCUCCUAGGCAGGCCAGACACUGGAUAACUAGAUCAUGACUUAAGAGACAUAAUAUUGAUGACAGCAACAACACUAACAUGAACUAAAAUAAUAACCAAUCAUUACAGCGUUUACAUGCACUAAAACUUCUGCUAAUAGUUCAAUACUAAUCUAGCUUGCAGUGGACUAUGAAUCCGACAAAUUUGAUCUCACUUCUGUUUUUUCCAAACAUUAGCUGAUACAGAAUCUACACACUUUAAAUUAAUAGAAGCUAAAAAUUUUGCGUCAAAUCCUAUACUGGUCUGCACACUCAUUUAACCCUUCUCUAUGUAAGCAUUUUAGCACCCCUGCACGAGUGUUGUGAAAGGCGAGGUGACCCUUCAUCGCCUAUUAGCUUUGAGGCAAGGCGAUUUUCAAAAGACGACGCCAUGGCAACAAUGGCAAGAAAGGUGUUGCUUUCAUAUAAUCUUUAAAAGAAGGCAACUAAUUUAGGAUUUUAAAAGUUAAAGGUAUUUUAGGUUGUUUUUUUCAAAUUUGUAUAGUUGCACUCUUAGACUGCAACUGCGAUUCCAACCAGUCGACUCAACUAGACUUCUCUGGCGACCAGCUAGAUUUUUUCAGGUGACUCCAAAGUCCAAUCAAUACUUAUUUCUACUUCUAAUUUCUUCUUCAAAAGUCUUCUUCCCCUAUUUCUUUUUGCUUCUUCUUUUCCCAACUUCGGAGUUACUUCUACCUCUUUUUUUUUAAUUGUUUUGACUUCUGUUCUGUAUUAUUCUCAUUCAAGUUCUAGACUUUUAGUAUAUACUAUCUAUUCUCAGUUUUUUAAUUGAAAUAUUUGCAAAUAUAUUAUUGCAAUUGAUUGAAAUUUCGAUUAUUUAUAUAUGGAAUUAACUAUUUUAAUUUUUUUUUAUAUUAAUUGGCACCACACUUCAAAAAGGCGAGCUCCUAGCCGCGCACCUCACCUUCCUUCAGACGAGGCAGACCCUUUCUUACCUUUCGCCGUCCAAAACCCAUGCACCAAAACUUCAAAUCAAGAAACUACACAUCGUCUGGAGUUGAUACUGCCUAUCUGAUAUUAUCAAUUGGAUUAACAAAAUAAUGUAGCUACAACUAAAGGCUUCAAUUGCAUUUCAGUCUAGCUAUACAGUAAACAAUCAGCAGCAAGUUGGAAGAAAAGAUCACAACUACUUCGUCUCAAUCCAAAACUAGUUAGGGUUGCAGAAAUUAAUCUUUCAAAUCCAUUUCACUCUAGUCACGUCAAUUAAAUUCCAAUACAAAUCAAGUCAGAUAAAAUUAAUGGAAUGAAAAUUAAACACAAUGAUCAAACAAUAGAUGAAGUACAAUACUAACUUAAAGCUUCACGGUGGAUUUCUUCAUAAGGAAUAGGACAAGGCAAGUUGAAGUAAUCGACUUUCUCUGGUUCGGUCACCGUCGGCUUUGAGACUGCCGGAAAAUCUGUAGCUGCCGGAGGGACGAGAGUGGCCAUUGUGUAAAUAGAGGAAAAUGUGAAAAGUCCUCUCUUUCCCCUGAGAGAUAUAGAGGAGAAGGAGAGAGUUCAGUGACAGCAAAGGUGUAAAAUAAACCCUCAAAAAACCCCUAAAAUCAAUUCGGCAGAACCCGACCCGGUUUUAUUCGGUGGAGUCCGAAGAAUGUGAUGGGUAUAUAAUAUUAUUUUUUAUCUUUGUGUUUCUUUUAUGAAAAUAAAGAGUUUUUUUAAAAUAUAACUUUAAUUAAUUUAAAUAAAGCAUAACAACAAUAAGAUGAUCCAAAAAAAAUGACAAGAUUGAUUCGUAGAAAAAUGAAAGUGGAUUCGAAAAAAACUACGUUGAAAACUAUCGUUAGUAUAAUAAUAAUAUACGAUAUAUUUUAAUGAAUUAUCAUGCAUAUAUUUUAAUAAAUUGUCAUGAAACUAUGUAAUUAUAAUAUUUUGUAUGCACAUAUGGUAAACUUUAUAAAAUUUGAAAGAUAAAAUUAGAAAGUUACUUAUUUGUGUGCAUUGUCAUUUAAACAUUAGUGAUAUAAUAGUGUAUGAAAUUAUUUCCAAGUGAAUUAAUGUGUAAAGAUUUAAUUUUGAGAUCAUCGUAACAUAAUUUUAGUCCUAUAAAAGGUUUUGAAGUUACAUAUAUUUAAGGACAACUUUCACAUAUAGCAAACAAAAAAUUCAUAUUUGUAUGUUAUAACAAACUUUGCAUAAUUGCGCUCCACAGAAAACAUAAAACUGUAUAAUUUGGUAUACAUAUACAAUUGUAUAAUUCGCUGGCCUAAAUUGUAUAAUUCGCUUCGCUGCAAUUGUAUAAUUUGUUUUGCAUACAGUUGAAUCGAAUUAAAAUGUAUGUAUAUUGCAUAAUUAUAAGUGUAUAGCAAGAAGAUAUAUGUUUUUCUCGCUCUAUACAAAAACAGAAACACAAUAUAUACACUUCUGUUGUAUAAAGCUAGAAAAAAUUGUAUUUCACUGCAAUUGUAUAAUUCGUUGGCCUUUUUCUCUGCAAUAUUUAAAGUAAAAUGUUUGUAAAUUGUAUAAUUAAGUGUAUAACACGAAGAUAUACAUUUUUGCAUGUGUAUAUACAAUUUUCUCUCGCUUUAUACAAAACAGAAACAGAAUUAUACACUUCUGUGUAUAAAGUGAGAGAGGCGAGCGAGAAUGGAGAGUGGCGAGCGAGAUUUUUGGGAGAGAGACGCUGGCAAAUUUUAGCUAAUGUUUGCUAUGGAGCACAAUUAAAUCAAACCCUAGCUAUUCCAUUUAAUUUAGGUUAUCAGUUUGCUAUUAUAUACAAUUUUUCCUGUAUUUAAUUAGGUGAAAUGGUCUGGUGGAUUUUUAUAUUUGUGUCAGUUUAUAUUUUGAACUCUUCUACUUAUACUUUUGUCAUUUGAACCAUUAAACUCAAUAAAACAUAAUUUAACAAUUUCUCUGAUCAUUGACCAAGCUUAUGUGUCUUUAAGAUGGUUGAGUUGGCGAAAAUACGUGACUUCUCGCAUCUUAAGGCGAGUGAACAACUUUUUUAAGUUUAAAAAAAAUAUUAAAAUUAUAAAAGAAAUAUUUUUCUAAAAAGAAAUUGAUUAAAAACUUAUUUCUUCUUCCAAGCUUAAUUGUUUUCCAAUCUCCUUCCGCAUCUCAGCAGUAACCUCAAAGGAGCAGCAACCAUGGCGAGAAUAAAAGAUCAUGAGUUGAGGAAUAAGUCGAAGACAGACCUUUUGGCUCAGUGAAGCAUCUCACGGUAGAGCUUGCUCUUCUCCGCGUUGCAAAGGUAACCGGUGGAGCUCCUAACAAGUUAUUCAAAAUCAAGGUGGUAAGGUUGUCAAUUGCACAGGUUAUGACUGUCAUCUCACAUAAACAAAAGUCAGCUCUUAUAGAAGUUUACAAGAACUAGAAGAACUUGCCUCUUACAAAAAAGUUUGGCCAGAUUUGAUUGUAUGGUGGCAAGAUCUGAUUGUGUCGUGGCUUAGGUUGUUGUUACUUUGGAGGGAGAAAUAAAAAUAGUGAUAGUGUGUGACAAUUGAAACUUAAGAAAGAGGACAGAAACUUGGUCACUGCUGCAGGUGACCAAGGCUGCCGUAAUAUAUAUAUAUAUAUAUAUAUAUAUAUAUAUAUAUAUAUAUAUAUAUAUAUAUAUAUAUAUAUAUAUAUAUAUAUAUAUAUAUAUAUAUAUAUAUAUAUAUAUAUAUUGAUGAUAUACAUGAUAGAGUUUGAAUACAAAUAGAAAAGAGCUAUCCUAAUCAAUAAAGGAUGUUGAGUUUACAUAGAAGACUUAUUGUCAUCUAACACCCUCCGGCAAGCACAUGUCGGGUUUGGAGACAGUGAGCUUGGAUCGUAGAUGAGCAAAACGAGGGCAGCUUAGAGCUUUAGUGAACACAUCAGCAGUUUGAUCAAUGGAAGGAAUGUACUUAACACAAAGCUGGCUACGAGUAACCUUUUCGCAAACAAAGUGAUAAUCAAUUUCAAUAUGCUUCGACCUUUGAUGAAAGACAGGAUUGGCAGUGAGAUAAAUGGCACUGAUGUUAUCACAGAAUAUCACAGGAAGACAAGGACAAGGUAAUCGGAGUUCCUUGAUCAAACUAGCUAUCCAAGAUACUUCUGAUGCGGCAAAUGCAAUGGCACGAUAUUCAGCUUCAGUGCUGGACCGAGCUACUACCUUUUGCUUCCGUGAGGACCAACUGAUUAGAUUAGGACCAUAAUAUGCAGCAAAGCCAUGAUGAGAACGACGAUCAUCAGGAUCAGCAGCCCACCCUGCAUUACAAUAGACAUGUAUACUAGAUGAAGUGGAUGGAGUGAUGGAGAUACCAUGCGUAAGGGAGCCUUUGAGAUAGCGAAGGAUCCGUUUCACGGCUUUCCAAUGAUCUAAUGUAGGAUUCUUCAUGUAUUGGCAAACACGACUAACUGAGAAGGAGAUCUCUGGUCGCGUAAUGGUCGCAUACUGAAGAGCAUCAACAAUGCUCCUAAAUAAUGAUGGAUCAUCAAAGGUUUCACCAUGUUUGGACAACUGAAAUGUGGUGUCCGCUGGAGAAGGAGAAGGCUUGCAAUCUGUCAUUUUUGUUCGAGUGAGUAAAUCUCGAAUGUAGCUAGUUUGAGAGAGAUGCAUCCCAGAUCCGACACGACUAACUUCAAUACCCAAGAAAAAUGAGAGAUUACCAAGGUCUUUUAAAGAGAACUCAAGAUCAAGAGAUUGGGUGAAUGAGGAUAUAUAAGAGGGAUCACUACCCGUUAUGAUGAUGUCGUCCACAUAAACUAAGAGGUAGGUAGUGGAGGAAGAAGUAUGACGGACAAACAAGGAUGAGUCAGAGUAACAACAAGUAUAACCAUGCGAUAGGAGAAAUGUUUUGAGCUUGAGAAACCAGGCGCGAGGAGCUUGCUUUAGUCCAUAUAACGCUUUCGACAAGCGACACACAAAAUGUGGGUGAGACUUGUCAAUAAAGCCUGGUGGUUGAGACAUGUAAACAACCUCCGUAAGGUCACCAUUAAGGAAUGUAUUGUUAACGUCUAAUUGCUUAAGAGCCCAACCUUUAGUCACUGCAUAAGAUAAAACAAGUUUGAUGGUUGAAGGUUUGACAACUGGGCUGAAUGUAUCAUGAAAAUCCACCCCCUCUUCUUGAUGAAAACCUUUGGCAACUAAGCGAGCUUUGUACCUUUCGAUUGAACCAUCUGCUCGUCGCUUAAUACGGUAUACCCAUUUGCAACCCACCACAUUUGCAGUGGGAGGGCAGGGAACAAGUGUCCAAGUGCAGUUACGACACAAUGCUUGAUAUUCAGCUUCCAUGGCGCACAACCACUCAGGAGAGGAUGCAGCUUGCUUAUAGGGUUUUGGUUCACUGGCUAUAACGGAUGAAACUGGGGUAGGAUGGCGAGAUACAACAAGUGUUUUAGGCUUGAGGGAAUUUGUUUGAGCUCGUGUGGUCAUAUGAUGAUUGGAAGAAGUAGUAGGCCGGAAAUAUGUGGGAGCAUUCUGAUAUGUGCUUGAAGCAGAGGACGCGACGGCGGGCGGAUAUGUAUUGUGUGGUGGAGAUAUUGUGGUGGAUGAAUGAGGUACUGGUAGGACUCGAGUGGGUAGGGAGGAUGAGGAAGGGGAAUCUGCUAGUGAAUGGAGUAAAGGUGAGGUAGCAGAUGUGGCAAACGCAUUGGAAAUUGAUUGUAGAGAAGUUAAGGAUAAGGGUGGUGAGUUGUCACUGGAGCAAGAAGAAAACUUGUUGUAAUGAGGAUAGGGAAAUCUAUCUUCAUCGAACGUCACAUGACGAGCAAUGUACAUCCUAUUGGUGGGGGGAUAAUGACAUAGAUAACCUUUAUGCUUCGAACUAUAACCCAAGAAGACACACGGAAGAGAGCGAAAAUCAAUUUUAUGAUGAUUGUAAGGACGAAGAAAAGGGUAGCAUAGACACCCAAAUUUUCGAAGGAGUUGGUAAUCCGGUGGAUGAUGACAUAGAGCUUGAUAGGGUGACUUAAAGGAUAGUAUGGGAGUGAUGGUACAGUUAUGUAGGUAUGUGGCGGUAGAAAAAGCAUGCUCCCAGUAUUGAUAUGGAAGACAUGCGCGAGCAAGUAAAGUUAGUCCUUUCUCCACAAUGGUGCGGUUACGUCUUUCUGGAGCCCCAUUUUGUUCAUGAGUGUGAGGACAAGAGAGACGAUGAGUUAUGCCGAUGGAUUGGGCAUAUGAAGACACAUUACGAUACUCCCCACCCCAAUCAGUUUGCAACGUUUUGAUGUUUCUGCCAAAUUGUGUGGAAACCAUCUUAUGAAAGUAUUUAAAAACAUCAAAUACUUGUGAUUUUGUUGACAAGAAAAAUAUCCAAACAAAUUUAGUAGAAUCAUCAAGAAACUGAACAAAUUACUUGUUUCCAUUAAUAGAAAGAUGCGGAGAAGGCCCCCAAACAUCAGAAUACACCAAAUCAAAAGGGAAUAAACUACGACUUGAGGAAGAUGCUAACGGGAGCCUAUGACUUUUUCCUAAUUGGCAAGAUCCACAAACUGAAGGCAUUUUGUUGGAAGUCACUGGAAGAUUAAAACUAGAGACUAGACGACGUAAAAGUUGCUCAUGGGGAUGACCAAGGCGCUCAUGCCACACUUGGAGUGAUGCUCGAGAUAUGACAAAGGCGCGAGGAGUUGAGGAUGAGAUAACAGGAAGCCCACCACCAUCGAAACGAUAUAAACCAUCAUCAAUUGACCCGCGGUGUAGUAUUUUUCCCCGAUGAUCCUUCACAAAACAACAAGAGGGAUGAAAUUCCAUAAAGACAUUAUUAUCUUUAGUAAAUUGAGAAACACUCAGUAAACUCUUGGUGAUGGAAGGAACAUGAAGAAUUUUAUAAAGAUGAAGAGGUCGAGUAGCACAAGAAAGCUUAGAGGAGCCGAUGUGAUUAAUAGAGAGUUUUUGGCCAUUACCUACAGCAAGUUGAUCCUCACCAUUAUAGUCUGUGUGAAUAGAUAGUUGAGACAAGUCUGACGUAACAUGAUUGGUAGCACCUGAGUCCGCAAACCAUGAAUUAUCAAUAAUAGCCGAAGGAGACAUCAUAGAAUUAGUUGAGGGAGUAACCAUAUUGGCUUGUGGACGGCUAGAGGAUCAGGUUGGUGGGUAAGUAUCCAUGUUGGUGCGGUUGUAGCAAUUACGAGCAUGGUGGUUCGGUUUCUCACAUAUUUGACAGAUUAUGCGAGGUGAUGAUCUAUUAGAGGAACGAGGGAGGUUGGUAUUGGUCGGGCGAGUGGAGGAUUUUUGAGAGGUGGUGACACUUUGUUGAUUAGGAUAUCCAGUGAUGGGGGAGCAGUUGGAGUAUUGACGAGAUAUGGCAUUGGCUUGAAGUUGGAAGGAUUUGGUUUCCUCAGCCAGUUUCUCCUCUUCUUGGAGAAGUAAACCAAGAAGUGAGUCAGUGGUGAGGUUAUCAAGGUGAGGGUUAAUGGCAGAGCGAAAAGGUCCAUAGGAAGAGUCUAGUUCGAACAAAAUAGCACUCAUAAGUUCUUCGUCUGUUAUGGGACGGGCAGCAAGGGCUAGACUAUGGGAUAUAGUUCGUUUCUUGUCAACAUAGUCCAUAAUGGUUGAAGAACCCUUAGUGGUGGUUUGGAGUUGGUGGCGAAGUUGCAUGACGCGAGCUCGGGAUUGAGAUUGAUAAAGGUUGGAAAGAUAUAACCAAGCUUCACGAGUGGUACGAAUGUGCAUUACGUAAGGUAGGAUAGAAUGGCUCAUGGUAGUUUUGAGCCAAAGAAGAAGGGUUUUGUCGCGCUUCUUCCAAGCCGUGAAGGCUGGAUUUGUUGUGGAUGCAGAGGUGUCCUGAGUAGUGGUUAAGAUAGUGGCGGAUGGAGCAUUAGUUCCAUCAAGAUGACCCUCCAAAUCAAAGGCUUCAAAGGCAGAAUAUACGGUAGAUUGCCAAAGGUAAUAAUUUUCGCGAUCAAGUUUUAUCGGAAGGCCGGGAAGGGCAAUUGUUUGGGAGUUGGAGUCAGUUAUGGAGAGAUGUGUGGAAGAGGAUGACUGUGGCUGAACGGCAGCGGCAAUGGACUGGUUGGAGUUGUCCAUGGUGGCGGAAAGAAAGAAAAAAAAAGUUGGCUCUUGAUACCAAAUUGAAACUUAAGGAAGAGGACAGAAACUUGGUCACUGCUGCAGGUGACCAAGGCUGCCAUAAUAUAUAUAUAUAUAUAUAUAUAUAUAUAUAUAUAUAUAUAUAUAUUUUGAUGAUGUACAUGAUAGAGUUUGAAUACAAAUAGAAAAGAGCUAUCCUAAUCAAUAAAGGAUGUUGAGUUUACAUAGAAGACUUAUUGUCAUCUAACAGUGACGGAGAUUAAAAAGGUUGAGGGAGAAAGUUGCACAAGUGAGAUAAUUGAUGAAAUCUUGAGAGUCUCCAUUGAUGUUGGAGUUUUUGGGGAUAAAAAUUUACAGAGGCGAGAGGUUUGCUUCAAUCCGUGUAUGGAGGUGUAACGAGUAGGUUCGUCCGUUUAUCCACAAUUCUCAAAUUCUUGAUGUUUACAGCAACAAAAAUCGCAAAUAUCGCAAACAGAGGCAUUCUUGAGUACUGAUGAGGAGUUCAAAGACUUUAGCUCCAAUAUGCACAAAUUCCAAGAAAAAGAACCGUUUAUUCACAAAUCAUGUUUACGUCUAAUGUUCAUGGUGGCACAGAAUCAUCUGAUAAAGCCAAUAUAAGUUUAAUUGGAAGAAGGGUUUAAAGGAAAUAGUGAAAGAAAGGUGGAGAAGACGAAUAAUGGUGCUGUUGGUUUUGGGAUUGUGAAGAAAUUGCCAGGAUUUGUCCAAUUUGCCUUUGGCUAUUGCUGAGAUGUUUAUUGUUGCUGCCUUAAUGGCCGUAGGAACUUUCAUUGACCAUGGCGAGGCUCCAGAUUACUACUUGAGGGAGAAAGUAUCGGCAAUGACUUUUUUUUGGUUGUGAAAUAGAAAGAAUUAGAAAUGUUAAUAAUAAAUUAAAAUGUUAUUAUUUUAUAUUUUAUUAAAUAAUUUUGGUUUAUAGUUUUUAAAAAAUAGUUAUGAAAUAAUUAAUAUAUGUGACGUGGAUAUGACAUGUCAAUUAUAUAAAGGAGAGUGAGCUACACUCAUGGUAGGAGGGACUUAAAAGACUCGUUUCAAUUGAGUGUAAGGGUUCAGAUGACAAAGAUAUAAGUAGAAGAGUUCAGAAUACAAACUGAUACAAGUAUAUAAGGAUCCACUAGACCAUUUUACCGUUUAAUUAUUGUUAUUUGAACCGUAAAUAAUGUGUAUCUAUAGUCAAUCAUUUGUUGUCCUUGACAAGCUAUCUUCAAAUAUUUUGUGUUUGAAGUUGUUUUGAUGUGAAUAAACAUAUAAAAACGUAUCGCAUAAAAAGUUUACUCAAAUAUCAACAAAUAUAAAGAACUGAAAAAUAUCCAAAUAUUGAUUUUUCUAUUAAUGCUUAUUUAUAAUUUUUUGUGAACCAAAUUUUAACUUUUUUUUAAAUCUUUUGAGAUUAUAUUAUUUUUGGCUAAACAUAAAUUUCAUAAGAGUUAAGUAAUGAGACAAAAUUUACAUAUUAUUUUCAAAAUUUGUUAUAGCAUUCAAAAAUUGUUAUGAAAAAAUACCAAUAACUAACAAUAACUAAUAUAAUCUUUGUGUGUGAGAAUUUGUGUAUUGUAUUGAUUUUCUUUGGAUAUAUAUAUCUUCUCAGACAUGUAACACAACUCACGUGAUAUUAUAAUAUGAAUAUAAUAUCACGUGAGUUGUGUUAUUUUAUGACAGACUUAUAUUCAUACUAUAAUAUCAUGUGAGUUGUGUUACAUGUCUGAGAAGAUAUAUAUAUCCAAAGAAAAUCAAUACAAUACACAAAUUCUCACACACACAAAUAUUAUAUUAGUUAUUGUUAGUAUAUAUAUAUAUAUUCAUGUAUAAAAAUUUAAAUUUGUUGUUUAUGAAAAAAAAUAUUUGUUAUUUUGAUAUCAAAAGUACUUUAUUUAUUUAUUAAUUAAAAUGGAUAUUGAAUAGUAAAAAAUAGAAGUUCUCAAAUCUGAGGACAAAAAUUAAAGUUGGACAGAGACAUUUUGGGGGAAUGACCCGAAAAAGACAUACGGCCCACUUUUCCCCCAUUUUUCAAACAACGAAGAAAUAGUAAUACUAUUGUACCGUCUCACUUUUGAGUCUUUUUUCUGACCAGUCAACACUCAACACUGUUCGAGCGCCACCUCCGACGACCACUCUGCCGGUAAACUACCCUUCCUCCGCCUCCUAACGGCCUUAUUCUUACUCACAGCUCUAUGUGUACUGUUUAUAUCUAUGUCAGAAUGAUUAUUAUGUGUUUGAUAAAAUGACAUACUACUUUUUUGAAUCAAGAACUGUUUUUCAAGUUAGUAGUAGUAGAUAGUAGAUACAGAGUACUGUUAAUAGAAUUAAGAAGAAGAGUACCACAUCACCUAGAGACGGAGCUAGAAAUUUGAGUUUAUGGGUUUUAGAUUUUAGAAAAUGUAGUUUACUGGAUUUUUGUUAAGUUAUUUAUGUAUCUUGAGUGGAUUUUUGAAAACAAAUAUAGGGUUUGAGCAGUAGCUGCUUCACACAUAUGAUUACUUUUCUUUUUUUUUGUGUGUGUAUAGCCAAUAGCUGAUGUAACUAAGCUUCAACUUCUUUACCUACUCGAAAGCUGAUGGGAAUACGGAUUAUGAGGAAGUGUCAUAUAUGAUAUGACUUUAGUUAAGAGAUGUUGAUGACUAAGUAGAUGUACAUAUGAGUUGAAGAUAGAGAGCAUUGUUCUCUACUUAGUCUCUUAUAGGACAACUUGUUGUAACCCUUCAAAAUAGGUUUUGUCAUACCGUAUUGAACCCUCUGGACUUGUUCUGAGGGGUUUUGCUAUAGUACCCUUGUUCGCCUGGUAAUACUAGAUCUUCAUUUGUGGUGAUACAUUUGCUGAAUGACAAUUGAUCAAGGGCUCUUCCUGACAGCAGAGCGAGCUCCUUUCAUUCAUUUGGGAUUGUGUGCUCUUUGGAUUAUGGUUGUUGGACUUUAAUGCUUAGUUUCUAUCAAUUCAAAUAGAUUGUCGAAGGAAACAACAAGUGUAAGGUAAAAUAGUGUGACUACGAGGGAGCAUAAUCAUGUUCCAGCAGUAACAUGUAGCUUCUCUAAAAGGCAGAGAAAAAUCUUAAAAACAAAACAUGCUAGCUCUCAGGUCCAAAUCCCAAGAGCUAGCUGAUUUCUAUCCAUUUGUCGUAAUCUUGGUGGACAGACUUACUUGGUACUUAUUGAUGGUGGGAGCCUGCGAGGUAUUAUAUGGAAUUAGUCAAGGUGUGUGCAAGUUGACCCGGACACCAAGGUUAUUGAAACAAUAUAUGCAUAAUUUUACAUAGAAAAGUGAUGCCAAGGGUUUGCUGCUGUUCGUAUUCCUUUCUUUCGUGUUUUAUUUGUCGACUAAUUCUCUUAGAAUGCCAGUGAAUAUUCUUCUCCCAUCUGUCUGGAUAUUCUUGUGCACUCGAGAAGAAGCAUUGAGUAAUCCAGAGACCUAUUCAUGAUUAACAGUAAGUUGUAAAACUUUUGAAGGGGAACUACACUUUUUUGUAGUAUACUUGUGGAUAUAUAGACUAAAGUUACCAGUUUUAAAAAAAAUGGGAGGAGUUAUAUUUUAUGCUUUAUUACUAACUUGGGUUCUCUAUGUUGGAACUUGACAUGAUGAGUGCAACUAAGCAUGAUUUUUUCAGUGAUUCUUAAAAAGUUGAUCUGUCUCAGAAGUUAGAGUACUCACCUUCGCAGAAACAAGUUAUUUCUUUGAUCUAUUUAUUUUAGUUCCUAAGGUAAAAAACAUCAUCGUUCAACAUUAACCUAUUUUUCAUUCCUUAGGAGCUUAAUGAUCAAAGGCUUUCACAAAAUGAAUCAACUCUCUAAUGGCUUCUCAUGUCUGAAUUUGGAUGUCGCCGAUAGCCAGGAUGACACAAAAACUCUUGGGGAAACUGAGACAGUAAAUGGAAGAGGUAACGGCUGGGUAGCAGAAUUUGUAAAUAUGUGUCUGCAUCAUACUAAGAUUUGUAGAUCAAUAGGUGUGUUGAAAAAGAAUAGUUCAAUAAUUGAAUGGUCAAUAGGAAAAGGAGGGAAUAAUAGUGAAUCCCCAGUCCUCAGUAUUCAUUUAGUUCCAGAAACUCAAACAUUUAACUAUCCCUGCGAGAAAAUGACAAUUUGUGAACUCUGCAGGUAAAGCCAAGGAAAAAGAUGACAACUCAGGAGAGUACGAAUUGCCACUUGUAUGGAUUGACCUUGAGAUGACUGGUAAUUCUUAGUUCAUGACUCGUGAAAUUGGUUUGGUUCUUAAAGACACAUAUUGAAGCACAUCAAUUAACAUACUUUGCACAUCCUUAAUCACUAUUUGCAUAAAAUAUAAAUAUUGCUAUUGGUUAUCCUGAAAGAUAAUAUUUCUGUUGUCCUAAUGUAUAUGGGUUCUGCCAAUUUUCAUUCAAUAAUUGUACCAGAUUCACCUCUCUUUAGAUUCUCUUCUUGGAUACCAAGGAAUCCUUAGGUCCUUAAUCCGUAAACUAUCAUUGUGUCACUAACAACGGAUCUUGGAUUAUAUUAGGUGGCACAUAAUACUUGCUUAGUAGAUAGACUUGGAGGAUGAGACUCCCUUGAGUAUAGAGUUGCCAAUACAAUUAAAUUGAGAAUAUGGCCACAUCUAAACGUAAGCUGGAGAAUUGUAGGCCAAUCAACUUGAUCCAAACAUAAGCUGGACAAAAACAUUGUCUUGCUCAUCUUACGUCCUGAUGCAUCAAAAAAUUGCUGCGUUGUACAUCUCCAAAAAUACUCUUGAAGAUUAAAAUUUGGAAGUAUAAUUUUCUUUUGACAUUUCUUCCUUUGUAGGUUUGGAUAUUGAAGUUGAAAGGAUAUUGGAGAUUGCUUGUAUAAUUACUGAUGGAAACUUGACCAAAUCAAUUGAGGUAAAAUUGUCUCACCUUUCUAACUUAUCCCAUAUUUCUAUUCUAGUUUUGCACUCUGUUAACAUCAUAAUGAUUGAAUAUUACAAUAUAAUUCGAAGUUAGGAGGAGAGAUCUAAAGUAAUGUAUAUGGUACUUAUCAUCAUAAUGCCAAUUGGCUGAUAAAAUUUCUUUCUCCACUUUGCUGAGUUUGCUCUAGGGUGGUAAUAUUGUUCUCUGUAAUUUACAGAAUUUUGUCUACCCUUCUCUAUCACUAGAAUUUUGCCGUGCGUGAUCACUUGUGCGUCCUAUACAUCUCUUCAAUAUUUUCUCAUCCUUCUACCAACAGGAAUUCAUUUUGUGCUUUCAAAAAUAGGGUCCUGAUUUAGUUAUACAUCAAACUAAGGAGUGUCUGGACAAUAUGGGAGAAUGGUGUCAGACCCAUCAUGCAGCGAGUGGUAAGUGGCUUAAUGUGUAUGCAUGAGGUUCUAAAAUUGUCUUAUGAGAAAUACGACUAGCAUUUCAUUAUAGAGUACAUUUUGUUGAUUCUAAUGUUAGUUCAAAGAUGAAACUUAAUGUGAUUUAGGUUUGACUCAGAAGGUGCUCGAGAGUACCAUCACUGAAGAAGAAGCCGAGAAGCAGGUAUCAUAUUCCCUUUAAUAAGCCCAAAAAAUGUUCUUUAAGCUUGUUUGACAAGUUUUUAAGACAAUCCUUGGACAGUAUGCUUCUGUCAUGGGCAGUAUCCUUUGCUUUCAGACUAAGAGGAUCAUAUGAUUUAUCCAAAUGAAUUUAGAUUUAGAUUGUUAUCACAUACCAAGUUUUUAGCUAUAUGUUUGAUAUAGUUGCCAUGAUUGAGCUGCAUGACAAUUCUGGAUGUAAAAGAACCCACAGACAUCCACACCUUUCUUCGCCCUUUUGCCUAAUAAAAUGGCAUGUUAUUCACAUACAUUCCUCAUGAGCCCUGGAUUCUACAAGUUGGCUUCUUGGAUUAAUAUUCCUUUUUCCCUCAUCGUGCAGGUUGUUGAAUUUGUCAAGAGAAAUAUAAGGACUUAUACACCACUGCUCGCAGGAAAUUCAAUCUAUACGGAUCUUCUUUUUCUGAAGGUAUGGUGUGUGUUUGUCUGAAUCUAUAGAUACCACUUGGAGGAACUAUUCUACAAAUAGACGCCUGUGCGUACUAUAUCAUUUAGGUGGUCAUUCCACUGAACUUCAGGAUUAUUCUAUACUUCUUUCUAUAGUCAGCCUUCCAACGUUGAGGCAUAUAUAUAACAUCACCAGUUAUUUACUCUUCUCUUUCGAAUUUAUAUGUUACAGAAGUUCAUGCCAAAUUUGGCAAGUUUGUUUUCGCAUGUACUUGUUGACGUCAGCAGCGUAAAGGCACUGUGUUUUCGUUGGUAUCCAAGAGGUAAAACUAUACUGCAUUUUUAGGUUUAUCUGAUCUUUCCAGAGAAAUAUAUCGGUUCGGUUGGGGAGUUUUACAUGUUAUAUGUUGCUGCUACUUUGAAUUAGACAACAGGAAGGCUCCUAAAAAGCAAAACAAGCACAGAGCUAUGGAUGACAUUAAGGAGAGUAUAGCUGAACUCAAAUACUUCAAGGAGCACAUAUUCAAAGUCUCCAAGUCUAAAAAGUGACAGUGAAUGAAACUAUCAUCUCAUGAUUAUGAUUCCCAAGAUGUGGUGUUACCUGCCAUUGUAAAGUGAUUCUGGAUUUUAGAUGUAAAAAGGUGUUUGAUCUAAAUUAUGAACUCAGCCAUGUUUAACAAACUGAUUUUGGCUAUCAUAUUGAGUACCAUUGUGUCCCUAUUUGGCAUUGUUGAUAACUUUAAGCACACUUGACCUACUAUAGGGUUUUUUUACUCAUAAAAAACAUUCUGUCAUUCUCCUAUUGGAUAAUAUAAAGAGCCCACCUCAAUUAGAUUAUUUAUUAUUAUUUAUCCAAACCAAGGAAAUAAACUUCUUCAAGACCAAAUUUGUUUUAAUAAAAAAAUAUUGGAAUUCUUUAUUAUUUAUUUAUUUUUGGAGUCUUAACUCCUCUCCAUCUCCUCAAUUUUUUACUUUGAAUUGAAGACUCAUGACAUAAUAAAAAAUAAAAACGGCUACUAUUUAAUUAAUUAAAUCAAGAUCUAAACAUGAUAUAGAUGAUUAAUAUUUUAUAAAAAAAUUUAUUAUGUCAUUACUCAUAACAAUAUAUUAUUUUAUCCACAAAUACAUUACACACAUUUUUUUCUAUUUUCUUUACUUAAUUUUUCCUGUGGCUACGACUAUCCCUCUGUUUUUUUUGUUUUUUUUUUUUCAUUUUUCUAAUGAGUCAAUCUUUAAAGUAAAAUUGUUUGUAAAACUUUUUCUUUGAAAAAUAGUUAUCACAUAUUAGCAAAAAAAUUAAGUUAACAAUUUUUCCUAUUUAUUUAUUUUUAAAAAAGGAAGAUAGUUAUUGUGGUUAUCUUUAUAAUAUAUUGGUUAUGUAAGACAAACUUUUUUAAAAUUUUUUUAGAGUAUAUACAAAAAAUUACUAGAUCUUUUUUUAAAAAUAAAUUAAGGUCUUGAAGAAGUAUAUUUAUUUUUUAUUUAAAUAUAUUAUGGGGAAAAAAUUAAUAGAGAUGAGAUUUUUAUUUUUUCUAAUAAAAAAAUGACAAAUUAUAAUUAAAAAAAUUAUAAAACACCAACUUUGGUUUAAACAGAGGCCUAGAGUUGUGAGGCCACCAUUUUAAAACUAGUAUGGCCUAUGGGUUAGUCUGAACAAUCUGUCUGGACCCAUAUUGACAGCUCAAUGAAGUAUUAUUAUCAUGAAUCUAAUAUUAUCAAAUUUUAUUCUUUGUUAUUCAAUUAAUUAUUAUAUGGAGAUAUUUUUUUCAUAAAAUGAUAUUCUUUAUGAUUCUUCUGAGAUAUAAUUUUUUUCGUGAAUUAUGAUAAGUUGGUAUGACAUAAAAUAUUAUAUAAUUUUCUCAAACAUCCAUAAAUAUCUCGUAUUCUAGUACACUACCAUUUAGUAUUGAAUCCAAUUUCUUAAAUUUUAACUCACAAUCCCAAAAUGUUAUUUGCACCUCCACUCUAUUUUCAAUUUUAUAAUGUUGGGUAUUGUUGGAAAAAUCAUCAAUCUAUGACAUAAAUAACUAAUUAUCAAAGUUUAUUAUACAUUAUUCGCUUCGAUUCUAAUAUAAUAACCAAGUUCUUUGAAAUUUAUAAUUUUAAACACGUCAUAAUAUUUAAUUCGUGCUAUCCAUAAAAUUUAGUAUCCCUAAUUAUAAUGAUAGAAAUAGAAAACAUUAGUCAUAUUCAAAUUUGGCCAAUACACAUCCAUAGCCUUUAUUCAUUUUUCUUUUUCGCGUUAUCAAAAGCUAGAGUUAGAAAAAUAGUUUUUUGUGUGUGAUUUAUUUUGAAAUAAACGUAAAGUUAAAUAUUAUAUAAUGUAAUAUUAUUUUAACUUACAAUCUUAAUUUUUUGAAAAAUUAAAUUAGUAACUACCUUUAUAAACCUAAUAAAAGGAGAAACACACAUUAACAUCAUUUCAUGACAAUGAAAUUAAUAGAACACAUGAAACAUCAUUCAUGCAAACCACGUCGUUGGGAAAAUAUAGUUUUUUUUUUUGGCAAUUUUCUUCCAAACUCUUCAUCUCUUUUUUCUUGAUCAUCAAUCAUUUCAUAAUCACUCCCCCAAUUUAUUGUGGGUGUGAUUUCAUUUUUCUCUGUUUCAUUUCAUUAAUUAAUUUGAUCAUAUUUGCCUAAUCCAUGAAAUAAUUUACCAAAACUUAAACAGGAGAAAAUAAUAAUAAUAAUAUAUGGAGGGAGGUGGAGAGGAAGAAGGGUCAUUGGAAUAUACACCAACAUGGGUGGUUGCUGCUGUAUGCACAGUCAUUGUUUCUAUUUCUCUUCUUGUUGAACGUCUCAUCCAUUACGCUGGCAAGGUAUAUAUAUAUAUAUUUUUUUUUCUGUUCUUUAAAAAAAUUAUAAUUAUUUAUCAUAUGAAUGUGCAAUAUGGUUAUAUAAAAGAUUUUCUCGAAAAUACAGGAUAAGAUUUUGUACUUGUAAUGUGCGUAGCUGAAGCUUAGUGCACGUAGUUUUUUUUUUCUUAAAAGAGUUUAUUGGUAUUUCUAUGAAAACAACAAAUAAAUAACAUGCAUUUUAUUGUCAUGUUUGAAUCUGUCUAUUGUUAAGAAAUCAAUGUCUUUAUGAAAUAUAAUGUCUUUGUUUUCUCUCUAUUUCUGGAUGACAGUUGGUUUGGAGGAUGGUUAUCCACCUGGGAUCGAUCCUUCUCAAUGACUUCUGAGUUGAAUUUGUCGCAUAGGACAAGCCUGAUACGGUUUUUUACAUAUAGUGUUCAUCACAAGGGCAGAGAGAAAAAAAAAAUGAUUUUCAACAUUUGACUAAGAUUCCAUCAUUUUAUUUUUCCUUUUCAAUUUCGCCAUGUUAUGAAACGGUUUACAAGUGGAAUGGUAUAAGGAAUUCAUAUAGCGGAUCUGAACUUGUUAUUAUUGAUCGUUGUUGGUUUGUUCAAGUUUCAUUAUUUUAUUAUACAUGCAACCAAUACGUAGCUUAGCAACAUAGAGUGAAAGGUGGUCCGUUAAACAUACUUCAUAGGAAAAUCAUACUAUAUUAAUUAGGUAUAUAGGUCAAUUAUUUUCAUACAUGUAUAUGUAUAUAUAUGUAUUGAACUUUGAACAUUCUUAACGAAAUCUCUGGCUCUGCUACUGGUUGCAGCGUCUGAAGAAGAAGAAACAAAAGCAUCUGUAUGAAGCCCUACAGAAAGUUAAAGAAGGUUCAAAAAUAUACAACAUUGAUCAAUUAAGGUUGUAUUUAUAUAUGAACUAUUUUGUGAAUGUGUAUUAUGUGCAGAGUUGAUGCUGUUGGGGUUUAUUUCUCUGCUGUUAACAGUAUUUCAAAGUCGUAUUGUUGAAAUCUGUGUGCCUCCUCAUGUUGUAACACACUUGCUUCCCUGUGCGUUACCGUUGGAGCAUACUUCAUUUUCACCUCCAACUCCAACUCCAACUCUAACUCCACCUCCACCUCCACCUCCGCCUCACAAAGAGCCUCAGGUUAACAAUCAGGCGGUUCACUAUCAUGCUGGUCCUCACCAUCAACGGCAUUUGCUUGAAGAAGAAACAAUGUCAGCUGAGGGUUACUGCCGUCAUAAAGUACUUAAGUCAUUGCUCUUAACUUCCAGCUAUAUACUUUGUGUUGGCGAUGUUCUGUUAUAUCUGUUUCUUGUUAGUUUGCAAGUUACGAGUUUGGCAGAAUCCAGUAACUUUGGCUGCACUUUUUUCCUUUUAUGUUUGACAAUAUGACUUCAAACAUUGGUGUUUACUUCUUAUAUAAUACUUUCCGUUGUUUUUACAGAACAAGGUUCCGUUACUAUCUCUUGAGGCGUUGCAUCACCUUCAUGUUUUUAUAUUUGUCCUAGCUAUUGUGCAUGUGACAUUCUCUGUUUUGACUAUUGUAUUUGGAGGAGCAAAGGUGAGAGUUACUAAGCUUUUCUGCUUGAGUUUCUUUUACUUUGUCUUUCGGGCUGAUUCAUUGUUUGUGAAUGUUUUAAUAAUGGCCUAGAUACGUCAAUGGAAGCAAUGGGAGGAUGCAAUCGUAAAAGAUGAUUAUGAAUCCGAAGAUGGUAUGACUAAAUAGGAAAGGAAUUAAGUAAACGGUUGAAAUGUAAAGCUACUAGUAAUAUUGGUAUUCCAUUUUGCAGCUCAUUUGAAGCCAACAGUUACUCAUGUCUUUGAACAUGAUUUCAUCAGGAAUCGGUUUCAGGGUAUGGGUACACAAUCAGCCAUUUUGGGUUGGGUGGUAAGCACCCCCAUUCUCCGCGAACAAUAUGGAAUCUUUGUAUUUCCAUAUGUGCCAAAAAACAAAAACAAAAACAAAAAAACUUCUGUUGUGUGAUUGUUUUGACAUAUGUUCUCAAAUGACUCGCGAUAGACUCAUAUGAUCACCUUCUUUCUCUGAUUCGUGUUGGUAUUAAUCAACUAACUUACUGUAUUUUGGUGAAAAUUUGCAGCGUUCUUUCUUCAAGCAAUUUUAUGCUUCUGUCAACGAAUCAGACUACAGAGCGCUUCGUUUGGGAUUCAUUAUGGUAACUAUGUUCAUUUGCCAUAGUUGUUAGAUAGAAACUGUUUUACAAUGUAGUGAUUUUUACUUGGCUUAUACAUAACAUUAGUAAAAGCAUAUUCCUUGUGUAGACACAUUGCAAGGGAAAUCCAAGAUUCAAUUUUCAUAGGUACAUGAUACGUGCACUGGAAGACGAUUUUAGGACAGUUGUUGGUAUCAGGCAAGUGAUAGAAUGAUGCUAAAGCUCUUAGAAUGUAGUUUCUCACUGCUGGUUCUUCAAAUGAACUUGUCGCUCUUUGUUUUUUGUUUGUUUUGCAGUUGGUAUCUCUGGAUAUUCGUAAUCCUCUUCUUGUUGCUUAACAUUAACGGUAUAUCCCAGCUCAAACUUGUUCACCUUGCCACACUGCUACGAUUUCAUGCUACAGCCUACUACAAUGCUAUUGUGCUUUGUGCUUUCGUUUAGAGGAUAGUUUCGUUUAUUGUGAUGUGAAGAUUGAUACAUCACUGUGCUUGUGCAGGUUGGCAUACAUAUUUCUGGAUUGCUUUCUUUCCUUUUAUUGUGAGUGACCCCGUCAUGAAUUUCACUCGUAUAGUUUUCAUUCUUUCAGUCUCCUAUCUAUGAAUUAACGUUCAGCACACGAUCACGAGAGCUAUCAAUUUAGGCUCUUUUUUUUGUUAAUAAAAAUAGUUCAAGGGUAAUCUUCACUGCUACUCUACUCAUAUUCAAGUCAUAAUAAAAUGGUAGCCAACAUGAUCAAGACUUAAAAGCAGCAGGAAGCUAAGUUGAUUUUAUGUUGCCUUUUUGGUUCUUCAAUUUUUCAGCUUCUGCUCUCUGUGGGAACAAAGUUGGAGCAUGUGAUUCUACAGUUAGCUCAUGAAAUUGCUGAGAAACAUGUAGCUAUAGAAGGCGAAUUGGUUGUAACACCAUCUGAUAAUCACUUUUGGUUCGACAACCCUCAAAUCAUCCUCCUCUUGAUACAUUUUAUUCUCUUCCAAAAUGCUUUUGAAAUAGCAUUUUUCUUCUGGAUUUUGGUAAGUCAUUAAUCAACACCAUUCUAAUUCAGUGUUCAAUACAAUUUUUUCAAUGUUCCUUUCCUAAAUUUCAUGUUUUUUUAAAAAAAAUCUUUGUAGUUCCAAUAUGGCUUUCACUCCUGCAUUAUGGGAAAAUAUGUCUUUGUGAUUCCACGGCUCGUCAUAGGGUAGAGUUCACUACUCCUUCCUCUAUUCAUAACUUCAUAUAUAUAUAUAUAUAUACGGUGUGAUUUUUCAGCGAAAGGAAUUCAAAUAAACCAACCCCCUUAUUGCAAAUUUCUUGACCCUUGACAUUCAUAUAUGAAGGUGGUUUUCAUCUUUUUCCAGGGUAAUCAUUCAAGUUUUAUGCAGCUAUAGUACACUGCCACUUUAUGCUCUAGUUACACAGGUGAGUUUUUACUCAAACCAAUCGAUGAAACUUAAAUCUGAAUGUCCUUCUCCUAAUAUUGUUUUUACAUGAAAUUAUAGAUGGGGAGUCAUUAUAAGAAAUCGAUGUUCGAUAAUCAUGUUCAAACAUGUCUUGUGGAAUGGGCUGAGAAGGUGAAAAAGAAGAAGGGACAUAAGUAUGGUAGAGACGGAUCUACCCGUUCAAAUGACGGUUCUGUUGUUGCAGCAUCACUGUCUGUAAAUGACCACAAAGAUCUCCCUCAAAAUGGGGUUUAGCUAACAUUUUGUUCAAUGCCAUUUGAACAAUAUUUUGUAAAAGUUAGGUAUGAUCCCGUAUACCAGUUACUGAAUAUAUAUAUGUAUGAUAAGAGCGCCAAAAAGCUUUAGAUUUUUACUGUGCAAGAUGAACUGAAAUGGAGAAUGAUGGUUGGUGGAAUUCAAAACGUUGAUCUUGUUUGGGACCGAGGCAUGAUUAUCUUAGGCUAUUGCUGAGGUGAAAGGGGGUUUUGUAUAUGCGUUCCCUUGACGGUUUGAUGUAAAAUUAACUGGAUAUAUUAAGUUUUACUUGAUAUAAGUAAAAUGUACACCAUUUGCCAACUUUGGUUUGUAUUUCUCAAUGCUGUUUUCGCAGUUGAAGAGGGUUCUUCCCUCUUUAUGUUAUUAGUGCAGCAUACGCCUAUGAGCGUUAUCUAACUUCAAUGAAGUGAGCGAAAAUCAUAGAAGACCAGAGCGCAAAAUUCUAUCAGACUUAAAAAAAAACGAAAAAAAAUGGGUACAGUUACUCUCCGCCUGCCUAAACUUGAUGGACAGAGUUAUUGAAUGGUGUUCUAAUGCUAGUGGGGAGAUAAUACGUACCUGGUGAGGAAAUAGUCAAAAGUUCACACAAGCUAGCCCCAACACCACCAUAACUUUUUUUUUUUUUUGAAAGCGUAAAAAAUAUAAAAACAGAAAAAUUGUGGGAAGGUACAGAAUUACAAUUUUUAAAUGAUGCACAAGUAGAGUUUUUUCAACAGGUUAAAUACGUAGUAGUUAUUCAGGAUUGAUGAUGGCUGAUAACAGGUAUUUAACAUUGCAUUGCAAAUAAUUCUGAAACUCCUUAGUUUUUGACCACUUGAUGGAUAGCAUUUAGGCAUCGAAAUUGACAUGUGUAUUGAGCAUAGCCAUCUGAAGUUUGCUUAGAAAAUCCUUCUGGCCAGUAGAAGAUUCAGCUCCUGCUUGUGACAUCAACUGGAGACCAAAGAUAAAUGAUCAGUAUUUAUCGAAAGUUGACUCUGGGGAAGGGAGGGGGGAGAGAAUAAGCAGACAGCCUCUUACUUGAUGUGGAAGAAAAGGAUGCCCCCAAGGUGAUCUUUUUGUGUACAUUACAGGCCUUUCUGGGUAAAUAGAACGACAGCCAAAUUAGUUGUGAUCAGAAGAGUACAACAAUAAUACUUCAAUCACAAGAAAGUUGCAACUGCAUGAACCCUUACUGUUCAUUUUUGCUCUAUUUAAUCUCAUCUUCAUCCAAUAUUACACAUACAACUACAUACCCAGUGUGAUCUCACAUGUGGGGUCUGAGGAGGAUAGGAUAUACACAGACCUUACCCCUACCUUUGUAGGACAAUCCAAUACUGUAUAUGACGGAAAAAAAAUUAAAAAAAUGUAGAUGUGUCUAUUGUUAUUUUAUUUGAAAACAUAUCCAUUAUUACUACUAGAAGUGAGAUUUAUUUAUGCUCAAUGUCUCCUAGAAAUUCUUUCUGACCUAAGCCGCACAGUGAUCAAAGCUUAGUUAGUAAUUUACGACUAAGCUAAAGACAAUGGACACAUUAAACAGAUAAUAACAAAUUCAAUACUUUCUGCACUCCUUUUCAACACCAGAGAACUACAAUGCAGUUUUCAUUUCCUACAAUUCCUUUUGUUGCUCUAAAGCCUAUUUUAGGCUCAAGGACAUCGACGAUUGGCAAUACCAUAUAAGAUGAUAAAAGCUAAAUUAAUCCAGGCAGGCCAUUCAAACUUGGCAUUACUACCCAGUCAGAAUGAAGUUAGUACACAUAAGAACUCAAUCCCAGAAAGGACACUUGAAGCAUGCUUUAGAAGUAUUUAACAUUUUUUCUUUUUGGGAUGAAUGAGGGUCAAUUUUAUUAUUUUUAUUAGAAGUGUGAGCAUUUAGGUCUCAGGAAUCAGGAUAACCAGGAGGUGGAUGAUAUGAUGCAAAACAAAAACGCCGACACAUUCCAGGCUUAGAACUGUUCAACAUACCCAUCCAGAAGAAUAUAUGGUGUUACCUUCAAAAGAAGCACCAGAUAGAUGAAUUAUGCAGUGAAUGUAUAUGUUCACAAAAUUUACAUUUCCAACACAAAUUGAAAUGUGAAACAUGGCAAAGAAGUAUCCCAAAUAACUUCUCUUACAUAGCAACUCAAGGAAGAAACAGAGCAAUUGAUUAGUAGAGAGGCACCCUAACUUACCACGAGAAUCUUCUGAUAAAUUAUUAUGAGCAUUCAGAGCAGCUGCCCAGCCUAUAAAAAAAAGAUGAAGUUUCAUGAUAAUUCUCACUUGUGACUUUUUGAUCAUAGUAACUAGGUGCAUCAUACAAUGUUAAUGCACAAGACUGGAAGCUGGUAACCAAAUUAUUAAUCAUAAUAUGGGAGAACUGUAAAGGAUAUGGAAGGUAUGACAAUGUAAUCGAGAACGAAGUAAUUAAAUAGAUGACGGAAUUGAUAACAUUAGGAGCUCAUGAUUUGAUAAAAAAAAACAUACGGUCAUUUAGUAGCUGAAAAGCUUCGCUUGUACAACAUCCUUGUAGCGGUAUUAACUUUGUUGGAGGAUAAUCAUUUACUCGAUUGACUCCAGCAUCAGAUACAGACUUAGCUGCUCUCAUUUGGUUCUUCUCUCCAUCACUAGCAUAGCUGCUAGCUCUUUCAAGUCGAUCUGUAAACUAAACCAUUAGAGAAAGGUCGAUCUAGAUUCCUAGUAUAGAAGACAAAAUCCAGCCAAAAGUCCAUAGGCAUAGAACACAAGUUAUCUAUUUCUUUGAAACAUACAUCACAUAAAACUAGUCGACCAGUUGAGAGUAUCACACACUUCAAAGGUCUUAUUCUAUGUCAAAAGGUCAACUCAGAUUUUAGGAAGUAUUUAUCCUCCCCUGUGUUUUCACAGGGGUUGGACAGUGGCUUAGUUUGUAGAUGUCUACCAUGUAUAACCUUAAAGAAGGGUCAAUUCUGCUAGUUGAUCACAGAUAAAUACACGUGAUACCACAGCGUCCCUAGCAAAAAACUUAUAAAAUGUGCCUGAGAGCAUUUUCCGAGUCUAGCUUAAAAGAUCACAAGGAUAGCUUCCACUUAAUGGAAGCUUUUAUGAAAACAAUCUUUACAACUCUCAUUCCCAACUAGAGUUAGCUCAUCUAAUCGGAAAUUCAACUUACAUCCCAGCUUCAAGACUUCCCACUUUCAAACUUGUCGCAAUUGACAUAGGCAAGAUCUGAUGUAUUAUGACGAUUGAAUUACACAAUCAGAUUUUAGUAUGCGUGAUCACGGAUCACUAUUUAAUUACACAAUCAGAUUUUAGCAGCUUACUUAUGUUUAUCUUUUAAGUGAGAUUAGCCUUGGUAAUACCAGUACAUUCCAUGAAAAUUUAAGGCAUUAAGCUGAACAUAAUCUCAAUUAAUUAACAUAAUCUAUCAUUAUCAAAACCAGUUACCUCCAGAUUUUCGCCUGCCGAGUGAACGAUUCCUGAUACAAAGGACAAUAUCACAAUAAAUCAAUUCAAUAAAACACAUCCAAAUUCGGCAAUUCAAUAAAAUAUGUCCAGAUUUAGAAAGAGCGAUUCGUAUGAUAAGAUCAUUCUGAUACCGCUGAUUGGGAGGGGCAUAACGCUUGACGGUGACGGUGUUGUCGGUGGCUGAUGAGUCUGCAGCAGGAUGUUCCGGCAUCUUAUCUCCUCUCGCUUGGUAUUCAACAAGAGCCACGCACCGCCGCCACUUAUUUCCUGUGAACUUUCCGGUGAUAUUUCUUCAGCUACGCAUCAGAGAACGUGUGUUGAGUCCAUGCUGAGGGUUUUGAUCGAACGAUUGUGAUAUUUUGCUUGGUUUUUAAGAAUGAAAGUCACGCGCUUCAGAUAGAGUGAACAUACUCUUUCAAUUUCAACUUUCAUCCCCCAACUUUUCAAGAAUUUUCAAGGAAAGCCCGUCAAGUUCUAUUAUUUCUCUUUGCCGGACCUUAAUCAAAUGAACUGAAACUCUCAACUUGUGUUCUGGUAAAUCGAGUUUUUGGAAAACAACCUCUUUAAAUUAAAUUCUAAAAUUAAAUUAUAUUCUUAAAGUAUCAUUUUUAGUAUAAUAUAUUCUUCAAACAUUUAAAAGGAAACCUUUUUCAUCAUUCUAUUAGAUAUUGUUAAAAAAAUAAGGGAUUCUACAAAAACAUGACCAAUUCACUUGACCAUCAACAAAGUUUGCCACUAUAAUUUCAUUACUUGCUAUAAGAAGUUCCUGAAAAAAAAUUUAAAAAUUUUAGACACUAUUGCUUACCGAAACAAAAAAUAUUUGAAAGGUGUGAGUAUACAUGACCUGUUCUUUUUCUCAUUUACUAACAGAAAGAAGUUAGAGCUUAAUUAUCUUUACCUUUUCCAUAGGCAAACUGUAUUUAGACUGAUAAAUUUUUUGGCCAAUCUGAUAUUGAAGUGAUCAAAAUAUUGAUUACGUUUUGUAUUUGAGUUUAAUUCUAGCAUAUUCAGUUGAGAAGAAAUAUAUUUCAAUUAAUAAAAAAUAAAAUUAAAAAAUAUUUCAACUAAUAAUAUUUUUAAUAUCAGAUUACAUGAAAAAUAAAUGAAAAGAAAAUGUCAAAUUAAAAGAUUUUGUAUAAUGCAAAACUCGAUUACCACAAAAAUCCACUAUUAGUAUUUUUGGCAUAUCUAAGGAUUACGAAUUACGAAUGGAUGACUUAAUUUUUGUGAGAUUUAUUAGUUUUUUAAUAAAUUCAAGAAGAAGGGUGAAUAUUGUUCACUUUUAAAUACUUUUGAAAGAUAUUUUCUAUUAAGAAUGAUAUUUUAAGAAUGUGAUUUAAACUUGAGCUAUAUUUUAAAAAUAUUUUUGACCAAAAAGUCGACGUAAAUCAAUGAAAAUUUUGAUUUGAUUUCGUUUUUUAUUCUAAUCAUAAUAGACUGACUUAUUCAGGUUUGAUCCUUGUUUGAGAAGAAGAACGAAUGCAGAGAUUUGGUCUUCGUCAAUUAUUGUAAAACAUUGAGCAAAAUUUCAUGGAAAAGGAAUUUAAGUAAAAGGCAUUACGAGAGUCCAAAAUCAGUGACAAAACUCAACUGCAGAAAUAAAACACAGCAUCACAUGGUACUAAAUAAAAUUCACCUUUUCACAUCGUGCAAAAAUAUCAUUCUGAUUUACUCAAUACAACAUCAGUUUAAAAAAUAUUCUUCUCAUGCAGAAACAGAAGACUUUAGACAUAAAUGAAUAGGGAAAAUACAUUUUGUAUAACUUCACAACUCAAUCAUACAAUGCUCCUUUCGUGCUGCACAUAAUGAAAAAUGCCUGACAUUUUUCCCAGAAACCAGUCAAAUCAAGAGCCAUGCACCACCAAUGUCUUCGGGCACUGACGUUAAUUUACAGCAACAGAGUAAUAUAUUGCACUUGACCAUCACUGCUACAAAGGCCCAUUUUACCAGUCCAGCAUGCCACAUUAUGAAAGAAGAUUAUCAUGCAGAGUCAGCACGAGCAUUGCUUUGGAACUGUUGCUACCUCUUCUAUCAAAAAGUCUGAAGGUAGAUCAAAGCUAAUGAAUGGACGCAGCAUCUAGAAAAGUUCCUCUGAAUUGAAUUUGUUCCAUGCUUCCUGUUGCAAGAUAUAGAACUUAAUAAAGAGCACAAUAGACUUGAGUAUAAAUAAAACGGGACAUAAGCAGUGACAACUAAAGGAUCUUUCAAUGAAAAUCUUGAUAAGGCAAAAGGAAAGACGCCAAGAAAUGAAACUUUUCAUAAGGCUGCAUAAGAAUCCCUCCUAUAAAACCACAGAAACCUGUGUUUUUAAGAGGCUUCAUAAAUUUCAGAACCCUUGACCCAUGGCUUGAAAAGCAAAUACCAGGGGAAAAAUUGAGAAUGUUGGGAAUUUGGACUAGAUGGGUCCUCCUAGCCCAUAACCACAGACAAAUUGAUUAUUAAUGUCUCAUGAUAAAGGAGUAAAAUCUCCGAUUAACAAGAAGUGUGAAGGGCAUGUUGAUGAAGAACCAAAUUCGUAAUGCACUGAUGGAACAUCAUGUUGACCAGUGAUAGAAGUACCUUGAGCAUGUCAAACACCUUCUCAGCAACAUAUUUCUGUUGAAGGGUGGCGCCUUUCUGCUGCACUUUAUCAGGAUGGAUACACAAUGUUGCUUUUCUAUAUACCUUUUUCACAGAAGCACCAGUAAUUAAAUCCGUCAAAGAAACAGGCUGCCAACCGCAUUCAGGCCAAAGCACCUAUGACACAAGUUAAUUUGAUAUCUUUAUCAAGACCAUUCUAUUAGAAGCAUACAAUCAAAUGUUUCAGAAAGUAGAGGUUUUCCCAUUCAUAAAUAAUUUAUUUGUGAAUGUCAAUCAAAAAAGUAAUGAUUGUUCUAAGAUCCAAGUUAUUUUGGUCCCCUCAGAUGUUCAAUACAUGUGUAAAUCUUUAGAUGCAUAAAUUUCUGUGGUUGGAAGAAAAAUCUGUUAUGUGAUAUGAUGAAUUCCCAUGUACGUGUGUGUGCUUGGAGUUCUUUACUUUUAAUACCAGUUUUGUUCAAGGUGUGAAUAGGUAGAAGGGCAACAAUCCCCCAACCCACACCCAAUACCACAAAAGAAAAAAAUCGACUAUGAUUAGCAAGCAAGUAAAUACAGAGAUAGCAAAAUGGAUGGGAAGUACGUGUCAUUUGUUUGCCAAUUUCUUCUCAACGAAAAAAAACUCCUUUUAAGUUCUCUCCUCUCUCAUGUUAAUGACCAGGUGUGUGUUAAGUGGAAUCUAACAGUUCUGGGGUACUACUAAUCUCCUCAUAUAAACGGAACAUAAAACAGAACAUACAUAUUGCAUAGUUGAUAGCAAUGCACGCAGAUUUCCUUCUUUCCCAGCAGCCCAUCGCUUGAUUUCAAUAUCUAGGCUCUCAGAUAUUCUCUGUAAAAAAAAAAAGCAAGCAUCUACAAUUACAUUGAUAAAAUAGUAAAAAUCAUAGCAAGGACAUAUCACAGAAGUCAGAGCAAAAAGAAAAAGGAUGAAAGACACCACAAAAGCCAAUAGACCAAAGAGCGCAUCCUAGAAAUCUUGAUGCACCUAACCGCUGCCAGCACACAGUUUAGUCAGGAAUUAUGAACAAGCAAUGUUCAACUCAUUCAGCUAUAGAUAGGAUAGCAUCAUGAAGGCAAAAGGCAAGGCCUUGAGGAGUCUUUUACUUUAAGUUUAAACUUUGGCUAGUUCAAAUUUGCAUCUUUAAACAAGAUCACAAAGUUCAGGUAAGAUUUGAAGAAAGAAAAUCUUUCCAAUCGAAGUUCGAAAGUACGCUUUAAAAAUGACAAGGGGCAUCUUAAAAAAACAUCGCAACAACAUGAUUGUUUUAUAACUCUGUAAUUCGAUAUAGGCAUGUAAAAGUGGUAUACAAAGAAAAUUAUAGGCACUGUUUUUUGAGUAUUCCACUAACUGUAACAAGCAGCGGAGCAGGCAAUAAUGUAUUAGUACGUUUGCAAGUUGUUUCUUAAAAUAGUGCUUACGUGUCUUUCCUGCUGCUCCAUCUGAACUUGAAGGUCACGUUGAUUCUUUUCAGCCAAAGCUUUGGCCUGAGCAAAUAUAUAUCAUAAAAAUCAUAUAUAAAGCAAAACUAUGCAAUACAUGCUAAAAGGCUGUAAAUAGAAAUUUGCCCCGACAAUCCAAAUAUGAAAUAAAAGACACAUGUGUGCCAGGGGGCAUACCGCACGCUCCUGAGUUCGUUGAUGACGUUCCAGUCUAGCUCUUCUUCUUUCUUCGGUUUCCCCUUCAACCUCUUGGAAAUCUCCAGAUGAAGUGGCAGCUGGUUAAGUAACAUAAUUCAGUAUUCAUGAAAUUGAUGAGACAGACUUAAAACCAACAACAUGACACAUUUUGUAUGCAAUUAGUUUGUCUGUAAGCAUACCAUUGCCUCAGUGACUUCUUGAAGUAUAAAUACAAUAUUUAAAAAAAUGGUAAGAAAUUGAGACAGUUCAAAUAACAUCUUCUGUACAAUUGAGGGAAUAAUUCAAUAAAAACUGCUACUAACUGAUGUGCUGAAUUAAGUUUUAAUUGUGUGGCCGUGACAUUAAUUCAAUUGAAGCUAAAGUUGAAGAAAGUGAAAAGCCACCAUGGUAGUUAAUCUAGCCUGUGCGGCUUUACUAGUAGUACAGACUAACCCCCUGAAUUAGUGAAACCGCAAAAAAUUAAGUACCUCCAAAUAUUGAAGAGAGAUCAUCAGCAAAGCUUGUUGUUGAAGAUGCCUUUGUCCUGUUGGAGGAGGUUGUGGUAGAUGAAAAUGUUGGUUUAGGCCCUCCAGCACCUGCCUUGUUCUGGAACUGUGAAGCAAAUGAAGUCUCCUAGAAAUGACAGGUGAAACAAAGAAAUAGUUACCAAAAUGAAUAAUAAAAGAUAGAGCAUAGCAAGAGGCUUAAAUUGAUAUCUUAGGUUGCUUUAUUUACAUUAACAGAACUUGUUCUUGUCUUUGGUGUACUAUUGGCUCUAGAACCCAUAUUGAAAAAGGAUUCAAGAUCAUCAUCAUUCUUUUGUUGGUUCAUCCUUGCAGCAGCAGCUGCCCUUUCUCUAGCAUCUGCAGCUGCCCUUUCUCGAGCCUCUGCAGCAGCUCUUUCUACUGCAGCUCGUUCUGCUCGACGUCUUACCUCAGCCUCAGCCUUUGCAGCAGAAGCUUUUUCACGUGCUUCUUUUUCCCUUGCUUCUGCAGCUACCUUUUCUGCUCUUUCUUUAGCUUCUGCUGCAGCUCUUUCACGGGCUUCCGCUUGUGCACGCUGAACUGCAGCCCUUUCAGCCCGUUCUCGAGCUUCAGCUCCAGCCUUCUCCACAGCAGCUCUUUCGGUUUUUAAACGAGCAGCAGCAGCAGCUCUUUCUCUAGCUUCUGCUGCUGCUCUUUCUCGUGCUUCCCUAGUAGCCCUUUCUACAGCUUGCCUACCCCUAUCUCUUUCUAGCUCUCUGGCUCUCUCCCUCUCCCUCUCAAGUUUCCAUUGUGCUCUCUCUUCCUCUUCUUUUUCCCUCUGUUGACGUUCACGUUCUAAUCUCUCCUUGUUUUCUUUCAAUUCUUUUUCUUGUGUCUCAUGCAUGGCCUGUUCAUCCCUGUCCAGAUUUACAGCCUCCUUACUCUUCGCUGCCUUUGCAGAUUCUCUUUCUCGAACUUCCUUAGCAUGUCUAAAUUUGGCUUGAGCUCUAUCCAUAGCCUCCUUCAUCGCAGCUGCUGAUGCAGCAGCUACUGAGUUUGCAUUCAUAUCUUCACCAGAAACUUCUGCACUUCCAUCCACACUGUGGGGAGAUUUACCCAUGGCAAAUUCAUCAAGUUCAUCCAACUGAGAAGUUGGAGGGCUCUUGGCUGCAGGACGAACAACCUUAGGACUUUGAGAGUAUUGGUUGUAACUUGGAGAAGAAGAAUGUCUGUCACCCUUUUUUCUUGCAUUUGAAGCAAAGGAACUAGACUCUGACUUAAAAUUUCGCCGAGGAAUUGGAGGAGGAGGUCGUGAUGGAGGUGGAGCUCUUGUAGGUUGUGUAAAAAGAGGAAUCUCUGAUACACUAAGCCACACAUCAUCAGAAGGCAGCAUUUGGUCCUCUGAUCUUGGGGACGUAUCUGAUCCGAAGUGUGUUUCAUGAAUAUUGCCACUUGGAUAUGAAGGGGGGGAGCCAGCUGGACCAAAAGAUCUCUGAGGAUCAGCUGAAGGUAUGUCAAACAGAGGAGAGUCCUGAAAACCAUCCGCAGGCACCUUUUUCUGUGAGCGGCUAUCAGAAGAUCUGGAAGAAGAUUUUCCGAUGUUUUCUCUAGAAGAAGAGGCUUGUGUGUCACUCCUUCCAGAUCCUACCCUCUGAGGACUCCCUCCCGUCCCUCUGUUAGUCCUAGCAGAGUACAAUGGAGGGACAGACUUACUAAAACCAUUCAGUGGAUCUAAAUCAUCAAGAACUCCUCCACUAACCGAUGAAGCUUCAGAGUGUGCAUUUCCAGAUUUACCUAGCUGACCAAUCUGCUCAAGUGGAUCCAUGAACUCCCCCGAAUUAGACAAAGGCGACAUUGAGGUUGGCCCUAGACCUGCAAAAGGGUCAUCCAGAGCAAUAGUACUUUGAUUUGAAUUUCCAGUGGGUUUGGAGUAAUGACUAGACUCUGUGAAUGACCUGUGCAAAACCACCUGUCGCUCAUUAGACAAUCACAUUGCAGGAUAACAAAGAUAAGAUAACAAUUUGACACUAAUUAAAAACACUAAUUGCAACUGAUAUGCCAAGGAAAAAUGCACCAUAUCAAAGUGUCUAUUGUUUUCUAGUCAGUCUAAAAAGAAAUUCAUGAAAAUUGAAAGGGCAAACGGAAAAAUGAACUGGCUUUGUUUUACAACAAGACACACUACUAAGCACCAACAAUUACCAAAACUUUGAGAAUUCUAACCAGAAUUAUAUGUAUUCCACUACAACAGUUACAUAUUUUGUAUUUUUAUUGUUUGGAUAAAGUACCACCAUUUUUUUUCCAAGUAUGGAUAAAGUACAACAGUUUACAUUUUCUGUGUGCCAUCACGUAGUGUUCAUAAGCUGUUCUUACUUCACCUAAUUAAAGCAUUUUCAGCCUAAAGAGAGCAUUUAGACAUAAUAUAUCAAGUAAUUCCAUAUAUAAACAAUAAUAAGAAAUACAAAUUUCCAAAAGCUAAAAGAUACUACAAGAAUUUUGUGAUACGUUCUAUCCUAUUCGACAUGCAAGAGGGCAAAAUCUGUUACAUGUUAUCCCUUUCAGGCUGUAUUCAAAUAGCAUAGACAGUAGUAUGUAUGUGAGCAAUGAGCAUAAUGGCCUUCUGCAGUACCCAGAUUCCUGUUCCACCACCCCACCCCACCCCCUUAUCAAAAUAAUGUAUGUAUGACCGUACGGAAGUAAAAUGUUCUCUGCUCUUUGGUAGUCCAUAACCUUCUCAUCACUGACUAAACUAGUUGGGAUCAGCUAUAUAAACAACAAUACCUUAAUUUUGUAGCCAUUCUAGUCAUUACUUUGAUUUCAAUGAGAAAUAGCUUAAAUUAUUUAAAGCACAAUGAUAAGAGAAACAAGUGGAGCUUUGAGAAAUAUGAGAAAUUACCUCAUAUUACUGGUGGAAGUGCUACUCCCAAAACCAGCUAACAAAUCAUCAAACUCUUUGGCGCUCGAGCUCGUACUGCUCUUAGGCCCUGUUACCUUCUCAUUCGACUUCAAAUUCCAAAGCAGAUCACCAAAGUGUUCGUCCUUCAUCUUUGGUUGUGGUGGCGAAGUCAUUGUAGCAAAAACGUUGUCGUCAAAUCUCAGAGUGGAUGCAGAUUCAGAUUCCGAUUUGCUCUUCAGUCCUGGCAAUCCAUCAAAAAUAUCCUCGUCGUACACAGGCUUGUCAUACACCGGAACAGACGAUGUUUUACUGUUGUUAUAGCUAUUCGAAUCAUUGCCCGUAUUGAAAAUUGAAUCGUAAUUGAUAUCAUUCAUCGACGAAGAUUUACUGUUGUUAUUACUAGACUUGGUGUAUUUUGGAGGUCCACCGAAGACGUCUUUGUACAAUAAACCAUCAGGAUCAUCAUACAAUGGUGAAGAUGACGAUGAUCGUACGGAAGAGGAACGACGAUCUCCACCAUCGGAUCUCAUCGGAGCCGAUUUUCCACCGGGUCUAAACCCGUAAUCUCGAGUCAACAUAUCUAGGUCAUCCAUCGAAGAUAUAUAUUAAAGCCGUUUCAGAUCUGGACCGAAUUACCUUGAAAACACUGCAAUUGCUGUUGGUAUGAUCUGAAAAUUAGAAGAAAUUGAAAGGCCAAUACCGUCAACCGAAAUCACAAAGCAGAAAUGUGAAUGAUCAGAAAUUGCAUCAAUAUGAAUAAAUAUAUAUCUAUCAAUACAUAUGAAUAUAUGUACGUAUAGGUAGAGAGAGAAAAUUGGUGAAUUAGGGUUUGAAGAGGAGGAGGACUGAGUAUCCGGUGACUGUUUCUCUCUCUUCUUCUUCUUCUUCUUCUUUUCUCUCUACUUCUUCUUCUUCCUCCGCCUCCGUCGUGCGCCUUUGUUUUCUCGUUUAUCGUCGAUUUUUAUCUCAGUUGUUAUUGAUUGGGUUCAAUUUCGUAGAAGAACCUUUUUACUUUUUGGGCGAAAUUUUGAUUCUUUUUUGUUUCAUUGUGGAAUAUUGAUUGUAGCAUAAUAUAUUGUUGGCUAGACAUUAAAAUGAUAUGCGGCAACUAUUUUUCUAUUUUAAAAUUAUAAUUAUGUAUUUAUUUUUUUAUAUGUAUAUAUAUAUUAGAAAUUUAAUCAAAAUUUAAAUAGUGUAUGACAAGAUUUAUUUGGGUAUAGCAAUUUCAAAAAGAAUUUCUUUAAUUUUAAAAUUUAAAUUUGAAAUCUAUGAUUAAGGGUGAUACAUCACCACCCACGCUAGUCAUAAUUAUGUAUUUGAUGUUUGUGUAGUUGAGAGUCAUUUAGUUUUUUACAAAAAAAAAAAAAAAUGGAUCCUCAUUAAUUUUCUUCUUUUUUUUUUUUUUCAUUUAUCAUAUUAAAUGUGGUUAUUUUAACUGUUCUUUAUUAUUUUCAAUGAGUAUAUAUUUUUCUUUAGUUGAGACUUUAUUAAAAUAAUAUUUUUAACUUUACAAUGUUGUAUAUAUAUCAUUUUUUGUAUAUUUUAUUUGUGAAAUUAUAUUAAAUAUGGUGUUGUUGUUAGUUUGUUUUGAUUCACUUAUUAGUAUACGUUAUAGUUUAAAAUAAAUAAAAAAAAUAGUACGAAUUUAAAUGUGUUAUGUCUUAGAGCGCAAAAAAAUGGUGAGUAUUAUCUCAUUAUAAAUUUUAUGAAUUUUGUGUUUGAUUUCUAAUUGUUUUUUCAUGAGAGAUAUUAUUAUUAAAAUAUAUUUUUUGACAUAAAUUUAAAUUAGUAAAUCUCAAAAUAUGUAACAUUAUUAUACCUUGCCUUAUUAAGAAUAAUGUUUUUUUUUUCUUUUGUUAAUAAGUGGUACAAGCUUGUGCUAUAUUGCUAUUCUAAAGUUUAUUAGACUUUACCUAUCAUUCUCCCUUGGCCUAAUGUCAAUUUCAAAUCCCAAAAAGGAGGCUUACUAUACUUUUUUCGACGAGUAAACUAUAAUAACAAUAUAUUUAGUAAAAUUUUAUAAAAUAAAUAUAAAUAUUAUAAAAUAUCUAAAUAUUAUCUUUACUUUUGUCCGUAAAUAAAUUGUUUUUAUAAAAUCCUCAGCUCUAAAUGAACUCAAUAAAUAAUCAGAUUAAAGUAAUAUGAAUGGGUUUAACAAUAGAUUUGAUAUUUUAUAUAUUCACUUUGUUGAGAUUAGAUGUUACUGAUUUAUUGUAGUAGUUUGAGAAAACAAUUACACUAUCUAUUUAAAUGAGUAAUAUUAUAUUAUUGACACAAGCAUAGUUGUUUGGUUGAUUUGUUGACUAUAAUGACAACAUAUAAAUUUCCAUUUAUUUAUUUGUAAAUUAAUAUAGAACAGGAUGCUUAUAUUGUAGUAAUUUAUUUGUUUCUAUGUUUUAUUAAAUUAUUUAGACAAUUUUGCAAUCAAAGAAAAGGUCUUCAUGAUUUAUGUAUUUUUCUAUUUACACGUCUAUAAUUGCCACCAAUAGUCAAUUUAUUCGCUUUUUUGAUUGAGACUUAGAACUUGAUAAAACUGGAUCAAACAUUAACUCUAACCUAAUCACAAUUUAUUUAAUUUUAAUCUUUUAUUGUAUUGUCAAAUUUAAAAAGAAAAAGAAAAAGGAGAAGUGAAAAUCAAAUCUAGAUAUAUUAUGUAAAAUAUAUAACGAAGAUUAUAAAGGAUCCUUUGGAUGAUUAGAUUGCAAUCGAAUUAUAUCAAGAUUAUAUUGUGGAAAUAAUAUCAAGAUUAAACAAUGACAAGAUUAUAUCAGAUAAGUAUUCAAAGUAUUCUCCAUUUUUCUUAAUGCAAGACACAUUAAGUUUCAAUUUCUCUCGUAUAGAUUAAAGAAAAUGAUUGAAAAUAAAAAUAUUUUUUUUUUAAUCUUUGUUUCUUAUGAUCAAUUGGUGACCAGCUGUAAUGGGUAAGAUUGUUAAAUCUAAUCAAUUAGUUCUUUUACUUGAGUUUGGAUUUGGAAUCAAUUGGUGCCUACCAUUCAUUGAUUCAACAACUAUAUAUUCAAUAUAAUUUUAUAAAAUAAAACAUGAAAAGUUCACAUAUUUUAUCAAUAGUUUAGAAAUAGAGAAAUUAAUUUUAAUAGAUCAAAAAAAAAACAAACAAUGUAGAAAUAAAUUAAAGAUUCUAUUUUAUUAAACUCCAUAUAAAUAGAGUAUGAAGAGUAUUUACAUAUCUUAUCAUUACUUUAGAAAUAGAGAAACAGUUAAUGAAUAAUUUUUUUAUUUUACUGAACUUCAUAUAUGUGAUGAACAAGAUGAAGAGUCAACGCAAAAAUAAUUUAAACAUAUGAAUAAAAAAUGCACGUAUACUCUUACCUAGUAAGGAAAUGAGAGAAGUUAGCUCUAAUAGUGAGGACUGAUGAUAAUUGAUUGACAGAAAAAUGAACAAAAAAAUAUAUGGCCCAUGCAGGUCUCGAACCUGCGACCUUCGCGUUAUUAGCACGACGCUCUAACCAACUGAGCUAAUGGGCCUUGUUGUGCUAAAAUAUUCUAAUAAAAAAGAUAUUUAAUGUUUUAUGUUCAGAAAAACAUUGGAUUCUGGUGCCAGUCUGCGUACACACAUUUUUAUAAGUAGCCGUUGUUGUCCGCCUUCACCAUUUCAAAUUCGAACCAACAAAUUAAAGCUAUACAAAAAAAACAAAAUGCCAUCGACAGCCCCAUCACCUUUUCCCGACAAUCAGAUCCGCCGGCCAAUAUCUGGCCGGAAACCGCUUCAACCGAAGAACACUCCGGCAACUCCAGUUACAUCCAAUUCAAAUAAACCUGAAAAAUGGAUCGAAAUCUCAGUAACUCAAAACUCAAACAAGGAGAAUCUUCAUCCAGGUAUUUCGAUUCCAAAAAAGGCAACUAAUCGAAUCAGCUGCAUUCAUGAUGAACCUUUCGAUUCAUCGUUAGCUGAGGAGCUUAGUGCCAUUCGUGAAAAGCUGGAGAGGCUGAAAGGCGAUAAAGAGAAAACAGAGAAGAUGUUGAAAGAAAGGGAUUUGAUGCUGGAUUUGCAGAUGAAAGAGCUCUUAAACAGAGGGGAGAUGCAGAAACAGCUGGAACUUGAAGUUGAUCGGCUUUUCCGAUUGAACGAGCUCAGAUUAUCCUGCACGGUAACUCUAUUUUAUUCUGAUUGCUUUCAGUUGAACUUAAGUCUGAUAAAAAUGAAAUCUCAAAAAUUUUAUUUUGUAAUUUGAGAUUUAUCUUAGAUGAAGAUGCAAGAAAUUUAAAAUAUAAAUCCUUUUAUAAGUUGAUCUUUUUUGAAUGAUUUUCUUGUUUAUGGUUGCGUGAAUCUCAAUGAAAUGAACAUGAUUACCGUCUGGGGCGGAUCUAGAGGGUCCCGAGGGUGUUCUCCCGAACCCCUCUAAAAAAACUACAACAUAUAUAUUGGUGUUUUUUUUUUUUACACCAAUAAUUGUUUUUAAUAUAAAUAUAUGGAUUUUGAAUAGCAUGAACACACUAGUCAAGAGGGUUGACAUUUAGGGGUUUAAAAUUCAUCUUGAGGUUUUAAGUUCAAAUUGAGGCACAAUGAUCACAUUGAGAUGAAAUUGAUUGCUGGUGAAUGUAUAUUGCAGCAAAAAAUUUCUCCAAUUCGAACGCUCAGGGAGAAGAUAGAAGAAAAGAAGAUAAAGGGUGAUCAUCUAAAGGCAAGUAGAACAUUUACUAGAGCUAAACAGAGCUAAAUUUUGUUUCUUUUGUUGACAUUGAUAUGGAAACUUUAUAUUUUUCUUAUAGGAGCUGAAUUACGACGAAGAAGAUGAAAUCAUGACCGAUAGCUCAUCGGACAAGGACCCAAAUGCAUAGGGAAUGAAUUUACAGCUAUAGUCACAAAAGAUAAUGUUUUGCGUCGUCUGAAAAUCUCCUGCAACACAGCAUUUUCCUUUUCAUACAAUUCAAUCCUUCAACAUACUAGUUGUUGGCUAAUUGUCUCAUGUUGAACCACCAGUUUGUUGUAUAAAUAUAUUGGUUUUAUCAAUGUUUGACCCUUGAAAUUAUUCUGUUGUUUUCGUUGUCUAUUGCGAUUGAUCUGUGCUUGAGGGUCUCUUGUUUCCCCCUGUAUGACAUAUCCUUUGGCACCACAGCACUAAAUAUUGUACUCAAUUGAACAAAUAUUAAGUUAGGAAAAGAAUUGGCUGUUAGUAUUAUGUAAUGUGUAUAGAGAAAAUACAAAGGAAAAUCUUCAAAAAAACAAGAAAAAUAAACAAUAAUAUUACAUGAAUGAAGCAUAACCAAAAAAAAAAAAAAAAGAUUUCUAUCUUCUCUUCCACAUCCUGAUCUCAAGCAUUAAAGCAGUGAUGAAUAAAAUAACCAAAACAACAGAAAAACCAGCCUUCCAUGAACUUCCUGCAUUUCCUAAAUUAAUACCAUAGAAAACAUUUAUUGUUGCCAAAAGUAUCAAUACUCUCCCUGUAAUGUAAUGGUACCAAUUCCAAUAUUUUCUUAUUUUUGAUUCCUUGUCUGGUCUCACCAAUAUUGCAAUAGCCUAUCCAAUAAAGAAAAAACAGACAAAAUGAAUAUCGGUAAAUCAUAAUCAUCAAUGUAAUUUUUGUAAGUCGAGUCACUUUAGAAACAACUUGAGCGUUGAAACAAACCUGCAAGCAACCUAGAAGAAGAAUGAAGAUGCCAAGGCCUUUGUGUCUAUUGACAUUGUUCUGAAGACGAUUAUUGAGAACGAGCCCACUGAUAACACCCGCGAAUCCAAGGAUGAACGCUAACGAUUGAAUAGUUACAUGAGAGUAAAACCAGAUUGGAUCAUAUUGCCUCAAAUACCUAGCUGUCAUCACCCCAAUUGGCAUGAGAAUUCCCCAUCCAAACAUAUUUAGAAGUCCAUGGCUUCUCCUCAGGUUUGCAUAAAGGGUCUUUGUCUCACUUUGACCUGUUCAACAACAACAUGACAAGCAUUAGAAAUCAAUACACAAAAACAUUAACUGAGUUCACUGUCAAAUAUUUAGUGAAUUUCUUGAUACAUAUACAUGGUCUAAGCAAAAAAUUAUUGAGCUCACAUGAACUCAUAACGUAUAAGUUACUUUCACCCUACUUCUGUCCCAUUAUUAUGUGGCAAUAAUUAAGCAGCCAUGAAGUUAAGAUGCGUUGUAAUCUGUAGAUUGUGAGAGUUUUGCAUUUUCAUUUUCAUCAUAAUAACAAGGUGAAUUUAUGUACCAAGUAUGUCCUAACGACUCAUGUCAUCGUCAUUUUCCAAAUAUAGAAAUGUAACACUCAUUUUAGGAUGAGUUAAAAGAAAGUUGUACAUAAACGAGGACAAACAGAGUACUUAAAAUGAUUCAAUCAAACAAAUUUACUUCAUAUUUUGUUUUUUCUAAAAAAAUAAAAAAGGGAAAAGCAUCAGCUUAAAGCUAUAUCUACCCCAUUUAAAAUAAAAUACAGCAUCAUGCUAUUAUAAAAUCCAGUUCAAUCAACAAACCAGACAUUAUUCUAUUAAAGAUGUUAUACCUACUACUACACCAUAGUACUUUGAUUUUCUUCUUUCCAAUCUGAGAUUUGCUUUGUCUUAAAAGAAAUUAAAAUACACAUUUAGUUUGUUAGUCAUGGGAUGCCAACUAUUUUGGCUUAUAGAAAUAGUUGAUUGAUUGAAUUGUACGUAUUGAAAUUAGGAAGCCCUUUUUUUUUUCUUAAAUAAAACUUAACAAACAACAUUGGCUUCCAACCACCAAACAUGUGAUGCAGUGUAUUAAACUGCUCCUUCCUUAACCAUAGAUCUCAAGUUCAAGUCUUGAAUAUGAAAAAACCUUGAUAAAGAGUAUUGUUGCUCCUUAAUGAAGCUUUACUCAACACAAAUUCAAAUUAAUCAAACUCUAGCACCAAACACCAUAUGAAAAAAAAUAAUAAAAAAUUGGCUUCCAACUUCCUAAAGUCAAAGACGUAAAAACUACAUAUGUUUGUUGGUACUUAAAACAUUAUUAUCGUUAUGACUAGAAUAUAAAGUAAGUGAUACAUUUGUUGGUGCAGGGCAACUAUCUUCUUACUCUUUUAGACCAAUUAUGAUUGCCUUCAUUAGAAGUUGUUCGUGGAACCCACCCACCGCUACUAGUCUCCCUACUAAAAAAACUUUUUCUUUUUUUAGGAUAGAAUUCGAAGUAGUCAUAUUCUGGGUUGUAGUUGAAAAAUGAUCAGAACUUCACAAGUUAAUGAAAAAUAGGCAACUUUCGGAAUUCAUAACUCCAUCAUGGAUUUCAAAUAUCAUGACUCUAUCUUAGAUUUCACACUUACUAAAGUUCGAAAUUCAUGGCAAUGUUAUAAUAUUAUUGUAUCAAAAAUGUUAUUUUUCAACGAAUUCUUAGAUGCUGGCCGGUUUAUUAUCCAAAAAUACACAAUGUGGCAAGUUAGUAUUUUUGUCCUUUUCAUCCGGUGUUUGGUAUCUAUAUUCAAAUUUCAAUUAUGAAUUUGCAUUGCGUAACAUGAGGAAACACUUCUCUGUUCAU